rnacentral:lncRNA from 1 species
AGCUCCAUUCUUGCACUUCUAAGAUCUUGAUUUGUCUGACCUCUUCCCUCUUCAACACCUUUGAAAAUGUCUGGCCCCUCCGACCGUCGUUUUGACUUGAAUCUUGGAGAAGAGACAGCCACGCCUUCUCCAGACAACAUAUGGCGCCCAUCCUUCAUAUCCCCUACUGGUCCUCUUACCGUUGGGGAUUCUGUGAUGAAGAAUGAUAUGACUGCUACGGUGGUUGCUAGGAACCUUCUCACUCCCAAAGAUAACAGACUACUUUCCAAACGGUCUGAUGAGUUGGCUGUUAAGGAUUCUCUGGCUCCUAGUGUUCAGUGUGCAGGUUCUGUGUCUAAUAUGGCCCAACGCCUAUUUGCUAGAACCCGCCAAGUUGAAUCAUUGGCUGCUGAAAUGAUGAGUCUCAAAUAGGAGAUUAGAUGGCUCAAGCAUGAGAAUAAACAGUUGCACCGGCUCGCACAUGACUAUGUUACAAACAUGAAGAGGAAGCUUGACCAGAUGAAGGAAUCUGAUGGUCAGGUUUUACUUGAUCAUCAGCGGUUUGUGGGUUUGUUCCAAAGGUAUUUAUUGCCGUCGUCUUCUGGGGCUGUACCGCGUAAUGAAGCUCCAAAUGAUCAACCUCUGAUGCCUCAUCCUUCUGGGGUUCUGUCCAGUACUGAGGCUCCGGAUAACCAUCAUCCGGUGCUUUCUCUUUCUAGGGCUCUACCGACUGCUGAGACUUCCCCUAAGCAACCUUUGUGAAGGCUCCCUCUUGUUUGUUUAUUUUGACUCAUGUAUAUGUACAUAUUUGUAGCUUAUCGGAAAUAUUAAUAAAUAAAUUUUACUUCAUUUCAACGUAUUGUGUUAAAUACACCAAAGCCUUCUUCAGAAAGUUCUCUGAAUUUUUUCUUUUGUCGAAACUUGUAUUGUUGAAGCUUUGUGAGUGAAACAUGUAGUUUGAGGUAGUGUUCCCUUAGUUUCCCGAGUGAGGAAAACUUCUCGGUUGGAGACUUGAAAAAUCCAAGUCACUGAGUGGUUGUGAGACUUCCGAGUAUCAAGGUGCAGUAGCAUAUGGUGGGAGUCCCCCAAGUCUUCAGGCGAGGAAAGUUGCCGAAUGAGGUGUCCUGCUUGCUACUAAUUUGUCAAAGUAACGAAGCCUUGUUUUGAUAUCACACCUUCAUAUAUGCCUUAUCCAAAAAUAUUUCAAGCUGGUUUUAGCUUUGCGAGGGCCCAAAAUUUUUGUGUGGCCCAAAAUGGCAAGCCCAAAGGGAGUCAGCGUAGAGGGAGCAGUAGCUCUUCAAUAUAACACCAUCUUCUGUAGCUCAAAUCGCAAAAUUUUCUUCAUGAAAAUUGUUCCUUAGCGUGUGAACUACAACAUAUCCAAAUUUGAGAUCCAUCGGAGUAGUACAACUCCAGACAUUCAGGUAUGAUGAGUAACUGUUCAUCAUUUUUCUGUUAACCCGUCAGACUUGUUGUGAGCUUCGAAACUCCAUUUUCUCUUUCAGAUCAACAUACUUUCUUCAUCGAAGUUGUUCCUCAUCAUCUCUUCCAUAACAUAUCAAAAAUUCAGAACAAACUAACGGUUGAAUAUUUCCAGAUCUUCGAAACACCGCAGCAGCUUUGAAGCUUGCAGAAAUCUGACCGUCAUGUUUGGAGCUUCAACACUCUAACUUCCGUCGCUCAAAUAGAAACAUUUCCUUUGUGAAAGUUGUUCAUCUGCUCAAGAACUAUAAGAUGUCCAAAAUUCAGCUCCACUGGAAUUAGCUUCGCACUAUCUUGAUGAAGAGUGUGUGAAGCUUUUAUAUGUUUUGGUGUUGAAAUUUAGUAUUGUAGGUGAAGUUUUGGUGGCACCAUAAAUUGAUUUUGCUUCACACUAUCUUGAUGAAGAUAGUGCGAAGCUUUUGAGAUUGAUAUUUGUCCUCCAUUGAUGAAGCUUUUUUGAAUUUCCUAAUUUCCAAUUUCCUCUUUUUUAUUUUUUAUUUUUUUUGGAAAACUAGAAAUUUGAAAAUGUGGGAGAGACAACGUAUACAAAUUUUGCUUCCACACUGUUGAGCAAGAGAUUGUGAUGCAAGCCACAUCUUGUAGUAGUCGAAGGUUUGGAUGAACCAUAUAAAUUGAAUUUGCUUCGAACAGUCUUGAUCAAGAGCGUGUGAAGCUUUCUAUGAGUUGUAGUGUUUGCAUUGUUACAGAGGAGAAAUGUCUGAAGCAGAUGCAAGAGGGCUGAAGAGCUUGAUCUUCGUAUACCAUGCACUGAAGCCAUUGUUGGCUUGCAAUAAGACUUUGUUGGUGACUAUAGCUCUUGUUAGGCAUAAGUGCUCCCCUAGUUGAGUUGUAAAGCUUGAGGGUUUUUGAUUAUUUGUGAAUGCUAGGAGUUCACAUGUACAAGUUGUACCACUCGUCUUCUGGUUAGUGGAAUGAAUGGUGGGUUGCUUUCAUCACUUGGUUGGUGGUACGAAUGUGAAUUCCUUAAUCACCUUUCAUCACAUUUCAUCACCUGGUUGGUGACAUGAAGGAGAGUACGCGUUGUACAUUUCAUCACCUGGUUGGUGGCAUGAAGGAGAGUACGCGUUGUACAUUUCAUCACCUGGUUGGUGGCAUGAAGAUGAGUUCCUUCUUCACCUGAUUGGUGAUAAGGGUGGCAAGUUUCCAAAUAAUAUUAGAGUACGGGUUGUACAUUUCAUCACCUAGUUGGUGGCACGAAGGUGAGUUCCUUCAUCACCUAGUUGGUGAGAAUAAGGGCAAGGUGUCGAGGCACAUUGUGGCAAAUGUCGAAUGACACAAAGUGUGUUGAAACCUUUUCGAAGCACAGUUGGCUUAUGUAUGGAUGUGUUGGAAUGUAUGAUGUUUAUGUAUGAAUGUGUUGGAAUGUAUGAUGUUUAUGUAUGAAUGUGUUGGAAUGUAUGAUGUAGAUCCUUUGUAUAGUCUUGUUGACACAUACUUAGAUUUUGUUUUGUAUUGGAAACAUUUGCGUUGAAGCUUCAACACUUGAGUGUUUCAUUGCUCAGAAUGUAAAAGAGUUUAGGGCCGAGUUGGCUAAAUCACCUCUUUAUUGAAUUCAUACCAAAUGGUCUUUGUUACAUAGGAUGCCGAACGGCUGUAGCUUAACACUUGUACAAUGUGAGUCUAUUUGUAAUAGUACUUUAAGUGGUCAACAUUCCAUGGAUGGCCAAGGGUCUUGCCGUCGGAGCUUCUGAGCUUGUAGGAGCCAGGGCAGCUGAUGCCGACGACUUCGAAUGGUCCAUCCCAGUUAGGACUGAGUGUUCCUUCACUCGGGACUCUAUCACAGAGUAAUCUUUUCUUCAAUACCCAGUCUCCCACUUUGAAAGAGCGAGGUUUGACCCUUGAGUCAUAGUAGUUGGAAAUGCGUUGCUUGUAGGCGACAUUCCUCAUGUAAGCCUGAUUUCUGUGUUCCUCGACUAGAUCCAGGUUGAGGGUGAGUUGUUUGUCGUUCUCACUCUGCAUGUAGUUCUGGAUUCGGUAUGUUGCUUGCUCAAGCUCAACCGGGACAACUGCUUCUGUACCAAAAGCAAGUGAGAAUGGAGUUUCUCCUGUGGAAGUUCGAUAUGAAGUGCGGUAUGACCAAAGAACUUGGGGUACGAAUUCUGGCCAACAACCUUUAGCUUUGUCCAAGCUAGUUUUCAGAGUGCGCUUGAUUAUUUUGUUAACGGCCUCGACUUGUCCAUUAGACUGGGGAUGGGCUGGAGAGGCAAAACAUAAGUUGAUGUUGAACUUUGAGCAGAACAUCCUGAACUUCUUGUUGUCGAACUGCCGCCCAUUGUCCGUGACUAUCGCAUUGGGAAUGUCGAAUCUGCAGAGGAUGUUCUUCCAUACGAAGUCUUUUAUUUUUGCCUCAGUAAUGGUUGCCAAGGGUUCUACUUCAACCCACUUUGUGAAGUAGUCAACUGCAACGAUUGUAUAGCGAACCUUGCCCUUCCCUGCAGGCAUUGGGCCGAUCAAAUCAAGUCCCCAUUGGGCCAAGGGCCAAGGGCUGAUCAUAGGAGUGAGCGGCUCGGGAGGGGAGUGAGGGAUAGUUGCAUAGCGUUAACACUUAUCACACGAGCGAUAUUCUAAUGGCAUCUUGGUGGAGUGUUUGCCAAUAGUAUCCUUGGCGAAAAGUCUUGUGUGCUAGGGAUCGAGACCCAGCAUGAUCUCCACAGACUCCUUCAUGUAUUUCCCGAAUGACAAUUUCCGCCUCCGCAGGUGUAAGGCAUCUUAGGUAUGGCAGGGUGAAACCGCGCUUGUAGAGUUGGUCAUUAAUGAUCAGAUAGCGGGCAGACUUGUAUCGAAUCUGCUUAGCUUGGACUUUGUCAAUUGGGAGGGUACCAUGAGCAAGGAAUUUAUAAAUUGGGGUGAUCCAACUAUCUUCUUGUUGUAAAUUGCACACUUCCGCGACCAUGGUGCUUGGUGCUACCAACAAUUCGACAUGAAUUUUUCUCCCAAUCUUGUCUUCCACUGCCGAGGCGAGGCGAGCCAAAGCGUCUGCAUGACUGUUUGCCGCUCGAGGAACUUGGGUGAUCUGGUAAGGGAAGUGCUUGAGCAAAAGUCGCGUUUGCGCAAGAUAUGCUGCCAUGGAGCUAUCCUUAGCAUCAAAGUUGUUUGUGACGUGGUUGACCACUAAUUGGGAGUCACUGAAGAUAUCAAUUCGUUUAACCCCGAGGUGUUUGGCCAAACGUAAGCCUGCUAGAAAGGCUUCGUAUUCGGCCUCGUUGUUUGAUGCCUUUAAUUUGAAACGAAUAGCGUAUUCCAUCGCCACUUUGUCGGGGGUAGUGAAGACUAAUCCUGCUCCGCAGCCCUGUUGGUUGGAUAAGCCAUCAACAUAUAGACUCCAUGCUGGGGUUGUUGAUUCUAUCUUCUAAGCUUCCGAUGGUAAUGAAGCUACUGCUUCAGGUGUAGAAGCAAUGUCAACAUGAUACGUGAAGUCGGCGAUGAAAUCUGCUACUGCUUGACCUUUUUCGGCUGAUUUUGGUUGGUAGGAGAUGUCAAACUCACCCAAUGCUAUCACCCAUUUGAUCAUUCACCCAGACGUGUCAGGACUCUGGAGUAUCUGUCGAAGAGGGUGAUUGGUAAACACGAUGAUGGCAUGUGCUUAGAAAUAAGGGCGAAGUUUUCGAGCAGACAUGACCAAUGCUAGAGCUAAUUUCUCAAUGUUGGAGUAUCGUGUCUCCGCAUUUUGUAAGGUCUUGCUAGCGUAGUAGACGGGCAUUUCGACCCCACUGUCCAUUCGAAUAAGAACAGAACUGACUGCUGAAGCCGAAACCGAUAGAUAGAUAAUGAGAGUGUCACCAACUUCUGGUUUGGAGAGCAGAAGGGCUUUACUCAUGUACUCUUUGAGGUUCCUGAAUGCCUUGGCACAUUCCUCCGUCCAUGUAAUGUACUUCUUAUUUCCCUUGAGUGCUUUGAAGAAAUGAGCACAUCUGUCUGUGGCCUUAGAGAUGAAUCUGGUUAAGGCUGCCACCUUACCAGUAAGGCUUUGGAUGUCUUUUGAAGUUAUUGGCUCUUUCAUGUCGAGGAUUGCUUUGAUCUUUUCGGGGUUAGCUUCAAUGCCUCGUUGGCUAAUCAUGAAGCCUAAGAAUUUGCCAGAGCCCACGCCGAAGGCACAUUUGUUGGGGUUCAACCUCAUUCGAUACCUCUUUAGAAUGGUGAAAGUUUCAGAUAGGUUGGUGAUGUGUUGGUCAGCAUGUUUGCUCUUGACUAGCAUAUCAUCAACGUAAACUUCCAUGCUCUUCCCAAUCUGUUCGGCGAACAUUGAAUUGACCAGUCUCUGAUAAGUUGCUCCUGCAUUCUUUAGGCCGAAAGGCAUGACUUUAUAGCAAUAUAGUCCCCUGUCAGUAGUGAAGGUCGUGUGUUCUUGGUCUAAAGGGUUCAUGAGGAUUUGGUUGUAUCUUGAAUAAGCGUCCAUGAAGCUCAAGAGCUCACACCCUGCCGUAGAGUCUAUAAGUCUAUCAAUGAGAGGAUGAGGGAAACUAUUCUUCGGGCAUCUUUUGUUUAGGUCGGUGUAGUCGACACACAUUCUCCACAAGACCUUUUGAAGCAGGAGACUUUCCUUGGUCGGAUUUUUCUUAACAAGGACAACAUUUGCUACCCAUGUUAGGUAAUUGACUUCACGGACGAAACCUAUGUCCUUGAGUUUUUCAACUUCUGCUUUCAUCGCCUCGUAUCGUUCAACAUCAUAAGAUCUUCACUUCUGUUUUACUGGUUUUGUCUUGGGAUCAAUACUCAAGUGGUGACAGAUGAUAUCGGGAGAGAUGCCCGGCAUAUCUUUAUAUGACCAAGCGAAGACCUCGGCGUUCUCUUGUAAAAAUGAGAUCAGCGACAACCGAAGGGGUGGUGACAAAGUGGUGCCAAUCUUCACCAUGCGAUCUGGAUGGUCUUUGGAGAUAGAGACAUUCUCUAACUCUUCAGCGGGUUGUGCUUGCUGGGUGAAUGAGUCAUCUCAAGGGUCGUCGGGUUGACUAUUGCUAUCAUGAAAAUCUGAGUUGGCUUCAUCUUGACUGGUCUUUACUACCUGGUUAUGUACAGAGAGGGUCUCCUUGGGGACAUGCAGGUGUUGUUGCUUAACUAAAGUGUUGUAACAUGAUCGAGCACUAAGUCGAUCUCCCCUGAUGUAUCCAUUGCCGAAAGGGGUUGGAAACUUCAUUAACAACAUAUGUGUGGAUACCAUGGCCUUGAGAUCAUUGAUGCCUGUGCGCCCAAAGAUGACAUUGUAUAUCGUUGGGCAAUUGACCACUAGGAAGUUAGUGGUAAUAGUAGCUGUGUAGGGGCCUGUACCAAUGGUGAGGGGUAAGUGUAUACUCCCUAAAGGUUGUACGAUAUCGCCAGAGAAGCUUAUCAGAGGAGAAAUCGAGCGAUCGAGCAAGUGUUCAGCUACAUUAAGUGCCUUGAAAGCUUCAACAAACAUGAUAUUGACUGAAGCACCUGUGUCUAUCAGGAUUUGUUUCACAUCAAAAUUUGCUAUGUGAGCCUCCACGAUCAGCGGGUCGUUGUAAGGGUAGAUGAUACCUCUUUCUUCCUCAGGGUAAAAACAUAUUGGAUCCCAGUUAGGCUUUUGAUACUUGCCUCCCCUGAUGUCUUCCACGUGAAACACUUGAUGGCCAGGUCUCAAAGUUCGUUCACUGUUUUUCAUGGCCCUAUUGGAAGAUUCAGACAUGGGUGUGCCGUCGCUUAUGGAAUAUAUCACAUUCACCUGGCGUUGGUUACAUUUAUCCCUUGAAGGGUGAAUGAGGAACUGAUCAAUUUUUCCGUCACGUGCCAAAGCUUCAAUAUGAUCACGGAGGAUGAUGCAUUUCCCGCCAUCGUGGCCAUUAUAGUCGUGGUAGCAACAAAACACGCCCGUGUUCUUCGUGGACUUGUAAUCUGGCUGUCUUGGCUUUGGCUUUGGUAUCAGGUGAGCUAUACUGGGGUAGAUGGACGCGCAUGUAGUGUUCAAAGGUGUGUAUGUCUCAUACCUUGGGGUAGGGCCUGUCUUGGCACGUGAUUGGUCCACUGCGUUGACUGCCUGGGGACGGGCGUUAUUGUGACGAUAUCCUGAGUUAUCGUGAUAGUGCCCCUUAUUCUUUUAUUAAAAUGAGAUUGGUGAGGAUGGAAAUCUUUCCUUUUGCCCUGGGAUUGAUAUGUCUGCUGACUUGGCGAAGCAUUAAAUGAGGCAGGGGGUGUGCUGUUACCGUUUGGAAGGUUGAGGUCUUCUCAUUUGGUUGGAUCUGGCCUCCACUCUCUACCUGCUGAUAAGGGGUGACUGUAGGGGGUUUCCCUUGAUAUGUUCUUGCCUCGGCGGAGGCAUGGUUGUAAGCUUGUGCCAUCACCUCAGAGUAAGUCUUCCAAGUGUUGGCGUUGAUCAUGUACUUGAAGAAACAGUCACGUAAGCCUGCCGUGAAGACCUUGAGGGCGGUCUUGUCAUCUGCCUCAGCGCAGCGAGAAUACUCAUGGCUGAAGUGGCCAGCAUACUUUCGUAAUGACUCGUCCGGCUUCUGGCGAAUAGUGUAAAAGUCAUCUGCAGAAUGCAAGCGAUCGGUCUGGAAGAUGUGUUGAGAGACAAACAGCUUCCUCAACUCUUCAAAUGAGUCUACUGUUUCAGGUGGAAGACGACAAUACCAGUUUAAAGCUCCGCCAGAUAGGGUGGAGGGGAAGAGAAGGCACCAUUCUUCGUCGGUGUGUCUCCGAUAUACCAUGGUGGACUCAAAGAGGUUAAUGUGUUCAAUCGAGUAUUCCCUUCCAGUAUAGAGUUGUAAGUCAAGCUUGUGCUUUGUCUUCGCUUGGAGGGGGGUGUUGAGGAUCUCGGCUUGACGUUCAGCCUUCAACUUGUUUACUUCCUCUAGGAGCUGUAGGACAAGGGGGUCCUGAGUGGAGUUGUGCACCACUGAAGUUUUCUUCCGUAAGUCCUCAUCGCCUCUUGUAAGUAGGAAAGUUUGAUCAAGAUAGUGUGAUUUUUCCUUGGACUCGCCACACUGACUCCUAGAGUGAGUAUGUCAGAAUAUUUCCGAGUCCCCUGUACCUUCAUAUUUUUAUGGGACCUGUUGCCCAUUCCCUAGAUUGGCUGCUGGCCUGGGUCAUGGAAGAGGACCGAGUCUUUCAGAAACUCUUGUGUCAUUGAUCUUCGAGCUUAUGUGGAUGAGAUUCUCUCGACGUUGCUUUAGGAAGUCUCGACAAUCGCGAUAGACGGCUUUUGAUCCUUCCACUCCCUCUGUGAAGAUGUGCUUUCCUCUACUUCUUCUGCUUCGGGUUGAAGCAGAUGGGUUGAGAGAAGUCUCAUGUUGAUUAUCACAUUGAUGUGUAGCUCAAUCCCUAUCAGGGAUGUCCGUGUUGGAUAUCGGUGACCCUCCAUGUUGGGGGGCAUUCAGAUGAUUGUUAACCUCAACAGAGGCGACGAGCUUAUGUGUUUGAGCAUGCCUAGCCUCGUGAAGCAUCUCAAAAAGUUUUUCAUAUUGUUCCUGGAGGAACUCAUUCUUCAUCGCUAUCUUGUUAUUCUGAACCUCUAGCUCAUCGACUUUAGCUUGAAGAGCAACUCUAUUUCCUUCCUGCUUUCGUUGCUUCAUACUAGGUCCAAGGGGGGUGUCAUUCUGUGUGCUAUGGCUUCUUUCGCUCCCCAUGUCGGAGAGAGAUGCUUGGCCAAAAGAGUGUACGAGCGGUGGAAACCAGCUUGACAAAGCUGAAGAAAGCGAGAAUAAGUGUCGUUCCCACAGACGGCGCUAAAUGUUGAUGCACAAAAUCAGCGAGGACUUUGGUACAACAGAAAAUGUCAGGUUUGUGACCUUCGCUUGGUUGCUUCGGUCACUAGUGAAGAUAAGUAUGUAAAUGAAUAGGGACAGGGAAGCAAACACAAGAUGUACGUGGUUCACCCAGAUUGGCUACGUCCACGGAAUAGAGGAGUUCUCAUUAAUUGUGAAGGGUUUACACAAAUACAUAGGUUCAAGCUCUCAUUUUGUGAGUUCUAGUGAAUAGUUUAGUACAAAAUGACAUUAGAGAUUAUUGUGGGAGAAUGAUCCCUAUUUAUAGAAGAGAGUUUCUAGUUUUGUUCUAACAUUGACACGUGUCGUGUUGUGAUUGGCUUAUGAUGUUGACACGUGUCGCGCUGUGAUUGGCUUCUGAUGUCGACACGUGUCGCAUUGUGAUUGGCCUCCUGGUUGAAAGGAAGCUCUUCUGGGUCCUUGACGGUAUGACGUUGAUCGGUGCUCAAUAGUUUCGGGAUUGGUCAAGUAUGGUACAAACAGUGCUCCCCUAAGUUAUGUUUAGCCCUUUGGCACUCGGUUGGAGACGGUUUUUUAUGAAAGGGCUAAAACGAGCCCUCUGGCCCUCGGUUGGAGACGGAGGCAAAUAUGACCCUGUACUGUUCAUUAAAAUAUUAACAUCUUGGAGAAUCUUGGAGGGCCAAAGGGCUAAAAUAAACCUUCUGGCCAGCCAUCGGUUGGAGAUGGCCUAAUAGUCCUUGUAGUCCUACAUUUGGUGUAGCAAGAGAUUAACUUAAAUGACGCUAGGUCAUACUCGCCUUGACUCGAGGCUUUGCUAAGUGUCAGUAGUUAACCCCGACCAAAAGCUUGGUAUUAGUUGGGACUAUGUCACUGCCGCUUGUCUUUCUAGACCCCUUGACCCACCACUGCAGGCUUGCAUCACUCACCCAGAAUCCGAUUAUGACCCAAACCUCCUAAAAUCUUAGAAUCAGAACCACCUAGAUGGGAAAACUCGCCAUGGCCGCCGACAGAAUUGGGAGAGAGAGAUUUGACCGAAUGGAUUUAGACGGGAAAACAAAGGAAAGAGAUAGAUUGUCGGACGGGAAAACUUGCCAUGGCAGCUAACGGAAAUGGGAGGAGUCAUUGAGGUUUUUGGUGAGAAUUGGAAAUUUGGGGAAAAAAAAUUAGGAAUUGAGAAUUGAAAGGGAGGCAUGUCUCCAUUUUGUGAUGAUCAACCUGUGCACUUUAACUAAUUUGGGGGAAGACAAAUAGAGAACUUGAGGGGGAGGGAAUAGAGUUCUAGAAAUAAGAAGAAGAAGAAAAAGAAAAAUGGAAAAAGAAGAACGGGAGAAAAGGGUUGGGGGUGGUAGAGAGUUCUAGAAAAAAAAAAUACAAAAAUAAGGAAACAGAUAGAGAGUUCUAGAAAAUGAAAAGCAAAAGCAAAAGAAAACAAGAAAAUUUUUAUUAUAUUUACUAUGGGCUUAGUUUAAUCAAUUCUACAACAAUAAAAUUUGGUGCUGAUUUGGUACUGAUGUGCUUUUAUAAAAAAUCGGUAUAAAAAAUAGAGCUAAAAAAGAUGUUUGGUAAACACUUAAAAACAGCUUAUUUUCACAGUUUUAGAUAAAAAAAAUGAAAAUGUGAAAUAGCAAAAUGAGCUUAUUCUCAACAGAAAUAGUUUUUUUUUUUCAAAGCACAAUAAUACCAAACCAGUUCACAAUCUGUUUUAAACUAAUUCAAUUUAAUUUGCGAAACUAAUUCAGUCUAAGAUAGUCUUAUAAUACAAAUGCACUCAUAGGUAUUAUACUUGUUGCAAUUAGCUGGCAUGGCAUAAGGCCCCACCAAUAAUGAGGGAUGACAAUAUUAAAUCUCCCUGAAUAUUUUAUUGUGGCAGCCAAUAUAUCGUACUUCACGUGUUCAUAAUUCAGUGGCUCCAAAUUUUACGAGGUAAUGAGGAUAUCUUUGUAACUAUACCGAAAAUUUUCAAAUUAUAUCUGUUUAUCAUAUAUUAUGAGAUUAAUUUUCAUCUAAUAUUACUUAUAUUUAAUUUUAAAUAAAAAUAUUUAAAAUAAUUUUUAAUCACGUAAUUUACUAUAAAUAAAUACGAUUCAAAGAUUUUAGGAUCACCCCAAAGAGGAUCCUCAUUCGGAAUUUACAAAAGAAACAGGUACAAACCAUCAACAAGUACCACCAUCAACAACCAAAUUUAUGCAAAAUUCUACCUUUUUCUUUUAUCUUUAUUUUGUUGUUGAAAGAAAUAUAUUUCAUAGGGGAUUGACGCCACCGUCAACAACCAAAUUAUGUCCCGUCACAAACUCAGCCUCCUCAGAAGCCAAAAACACCACCGCAUCCGCCACGUGCUUCUCCGUCAGCAUUCCAUUACCGCUCCUAGCAUACAUUGGCGCUAUCAUCUUCCCCAGAUCCUCCAUCCCAACCUUCAACAUAUCACACAGAAGCGGUGUCAGAACCGACCCAGGUGACACACAAUUCACGCGCACUCCACGCGCCGCCAGCUGCUUACUUGCGGACCUCACCAGCCCCAGCACUGCGUGCUUCGACAUUGUGUAGUCCGUCGCAAACUCUGUCCCACUCUCCGCCGUCAAACUAGCCGUGCACACAAUACUCCCCCUCACCCGCCCCUCGAUCUGUUAGUAAUACAUGAAAUUUAUUAGGUUUAUAUUAUCAACACUCCGAAAUUAUGCUAAACAACACAAAAAUAAGCAGUACCAUCACUCUCGCCGCGUGCUUGACACACGCCGCCAUCCCCCGCGAGUUCACCGCCAUGACCCUAUCGUAUAGUUUCAGGUCAAGGUCCAGCACGGUCUGGUGGGACCCACUGACGAUCCCCGCGUUGCUGAACAUGAUGUCGAGGCGUCCGUACAGAUGGACGGUGGAGUCGACGAGGGACCUAACUUGUUCCUCGUCAGUGACGUCGCAGUGGAUGUAGGUGCAGCGGUUGGUACCGAUGGACGAGGCGAGUUCUCGCCCCUUGCUGUCUUGCACGUCUGCGAUGACGACAGCAAGCGCGCCGUGUUCGGCGAAGUGGCGCGCUGUGACUGCACCGAUGCCGGAAGCGGCGCCGGUGACGAUGGCCACCUUGCCGUUGAGCUUCUUGGGUGUUGUGGUCUCUGCCAUUUUGUACGGUAUGCUCUUUUGGCACGGGAUGUUGAUAUAAGGGCUUUAGAUUUAAAAUUACAUUUAUACCUCUUACAUAAUUAUUUAACUAGUUAAUGUUAUCGUUUUUUCUUAAAAAGGACACCCUAUAUUGACCCGACCCAGUACCGACCCAAAUUUUAGCGGAAAAGAUGACAUACGGGUCACUUGUUCACAGCCCGGGAAACCAACGUGCGUAACGGUCACAGUAGCGAAAACAGGUCACCCCUGUCAGACGUACGAAAUUUCAGAAAGUUGGACAUUGGCGUUUCCUCUCAGAUCUUCGCAGCUGAACGCAGCACUCAAAUUUAAUUUGGUGCUCCCCCCGCACUCAAAUCUUCAUCAGGUACCUCUAAUCUUCCUCUUUCACUUCAUUCACUCUCUCAAUCCACUAAUCCAUCACUGCCAUUUCCUAAUCCAACGUUCUCAGAGAAAUGCGAUCGUUUUCUGUCGCCAUUGUUGAUUUCAAUCGAGAAGUUUGUAAAAAAAGCACUUCAAUUUGAUUUUUUUAUGGAUCUUUUAUUUAUUUGUUUGUUUUUUUUCAUUAUUUUUGGGUUUAUGAUUUGAAUUGUUUGAUAUGGGAGUGAUUGAUUUUCAAUGUAUUAGGAAACUGAGUGCAAAUGCAGCGUGCUCCGGCGACGAUCGAGAAACAGUUGUUACUGAAAGCAAUCAAAGAAGAGUGCCCGUGGGAGAGUCUCCCGAAACGCCUUCAAGUGGCAUUGUCUUCCAAAGAAGAAUGGCACAGAAGGUUACAGUAGCUAAUGCUUUUGCAGUUAGUAGUGUGGUUUCCUACUUGGUUUUUUGGUAUUGGCUUAAGUUUGCUAACCGUGUGCAGGGUAAUUGAGCAUUGCGUCAAGAAAAGACUUCCAUGGAACACUUGCUUUGCUCGGCAAGUGUGCAAAGAAAGUGAAUAUUAUGAAGACAUGAUGCGGUACUUACGAAGGAAUUUAGCAGUGCGUUUCUUACUUUUGAAUUUGGGUGGAAGUCCAUUCGUUGAAUUAGUUUGAACUGCAUUGCAUUAAUAGUUUACAUGCUACGAAAACCUAUUUCUUCCAGAUAAUGAAAGAACCACGCCAUUUACAACUUCAGCGUUUUGGAGUCCAACUGGAGAAAAUUUAAGUUUUGAAGUUUCGAUUUUAAUUUUGCAUUGUUAUUGGGUAAAAACUGUUUGUGUCAUCGUUUGCAUUUGAUAUGCUUGAACUAUACUUUUGGGGUAUAGUACAGUGAAUUGGUAAGAUUGUUCUUGUUGAACAAGUAGGAUGAAAUUGCUAAGUAGCUUCAUCCAGUCAUUUUCAUAUGAAAUAAAUUUAGCCAUCAAAGCAAUAUAAUUUUUUUUCUUUUUUAUUUACAUGCAGUAUUAUGUCAUCCAAUGCUUGAAUCAUAGAUUUCUGCGGUUAACAUGUUUGUUUUAUUACUUGCAGCUAUUUCCCUAUCACCUUGCGGAAUAUGUUUGCCGCGUAAUGAGGGUCUCCCCAUUCAGAUAUUACUGCGAUAUGAUUUUUGAAGUUAUGAGAAAUGGUAUGGUAUUAGCUUCUUUACCAAAUCCUUUCUUAGUAUGCUGAAUUUUCCUUCUAUUUUACUGUGAUUUGUAUGACAGUUUCUCCUAGAAAGUAGGUGUCUUAGCCAUUUUUCAUUUUUGCAACACUUUUAAUUGUUAGAAUAAUUUUCUGAUUGAAGGUAUAGUUUGUGGACCUCGUCUGCCGGAGCAAUGAUGUGUAUAAACUGUGUUGGAACCAUAAAUUGUUGUCUAAUUUGGAUUUCAAAGAUUUUGCAUCCUGCUUAUGCAGUAUCAAUUUAAAUUAUUGGAGACCUGAGAUUCAAACUUAACACAAGUCAUAGGUACAUUAUGCUAAUGAUGUUUUUUAACUUCUAUGCAAGAAACUUUUUGUAAGGGCGUGAAUUUGGCUACAAGAUGCGACUUAAAUGGGUGAUGAGGUUAUUAGUUUAAAAGUCUCUGUAUAUGUAUUUAUAAAGGUAUGCGAAAGGGAUAGUGUUACUUUAGCAACUGGGAUUUGAAGUGUCGGAUAUAUCCAGGAAAUAUCUGGUGGGGUAGCGUAUCUGACAUGCCAGAUCUAAAAUUUUUGGAGUAUCCAUACUUCACGGGGAUUAGAUUACGGAUGUUUUUGUUUUUUUGGAAAGGAUUGAAUGCACUAGAGAUCUAGAAAAAACAAUAAGUUGAAAGAGCUAAUUUGUCUUACAGGCGACUGCUUAGUUUGUGAGUAAAAGACGCAACAAAACAUUGCAGUAUUUUCUCGUUAGAUAUACAAAAUUUAACUGAGAAUAUGCCUCUCAUUACAUUGCAUUGCAAAAAGAAAAGACGAAUAUAAAAGAGAAUUUGGUGCUGAUACAGCUUGAUCAAGUUGAACACGUGUGUGCUAAGAGUGUGUUUUGUGAAAUGUUUAUUCACCGAGAUACUUAUCAGCUUAUGCUUAUUCUCAUGCAUAUCACAUUUUUUGCAGAACAACCUUAUGACAGCAUCCCCAAUUUUAGUGCAGCAGAUGCCUUGCGCCUUACAGGGAUAGGGAGAAAUGAAUUUAUUGAUAUAAUGAACAAGUGCAGAUCUAAGGUAUUAAUCAAUCUGCUCGUUUUCUUUAUGGUCCGCAUUAUGGUGCAUGCAUACCUGGUAUCUGGAUCGGAUACAAACAUUGCAUGGCACCCAAACAUGUAUGAAAGUAUCACAAUUUAUGAAUUCUUUGGUAUAGUUUAGAGCAACUACUCCUGGUCUUAGAAACUAAAUUUUCCGUCCAGCAUUCUCUGCUUCAAGACAUCCUAGGGAAAAAAAAAUUCUGGCAUCUCCUUCCUGUUCAUUGCUUGCAAUUUCUACAUCCAAGUUAGAUGAAUUUUCAGAGUUCUCAGAUGAAGGUCUGUACUCUGCAUCACAAUAUUAAAUAGAUUUUCGUCAUGCAUAAUGAGCUGUGGAUCCACUGUCAUUUGCCUUAUAAUUUAAUUCCUAUUAAUGCUAGACAUACUAUUUGGAUUCUUCUAUGUAAUUUUAUGAUGGGAAUGCAUAUUUUUACCUUAAAGAGUGCUUCAAGGUCAUCUUUAGGCAUUAUAUAGAGUUACUAUAACAAAAUGGAACUUCAUGAGUUGGGGUUGUUUGUUUCGAUGCUGCGUGUGUGUGGCAUUGUCUUACCUGUUGUUUACUUUAUUUUGAGCUAUCUAGAAAAUCAUGUGGAAGCUGAACAAGUCAAUUGCAAAAGAACUUUUACCUACACAACCUGUGGAUUUUACAAUUGAACCGUGGUGGGGAAUUUGUCUUGUGAAUUUCACGCUGGAGGAAUUUAAGGUGAGAACUGAGACUAAAAUCACUUUGAGCUCUGAACAGUGUUAGCCUACUGAAUUUCUUAGGUGUUUUGGGAAAUUUACGAAACGACAAAUAUCAUCAGGUACGUGCUUUUUGGAUGACCUUACAGUAAUUUUCUGUAUUUGUAGAAACUCUCGGAGGAGGAAAUGGCAACAAUAGAUAAAAUAUGUAAAGAGGAAGCAAAUUUAUAUAUUUUAUUCAAUUCUGAUAUUGUUAAAGGUCUUCACCAACGAGGAUUAGUAUACUUUGAUGUCCCUGUGUAUCCUGAUGACCGUUUUAAAGGUAACUUGUAUGGAUGAACAAUUGGCAUGCAGAGUCUAGCCUUUCUGAUUUUAUCUUUGUUUACCGCCUCAUUGGAUUAGACGCCCGAAUAUUUACAUGGUUUUACCUUCCAAAACCAAACACAGAUGGUUUAUGGUCAUUGACUCAUUGAUCAACUUUCUUCUUUUAAAAUUUGGUGUUGGCAUUUGUAUUCUUCAUUUUUCUAGUCCUAUACAGUCUAUAUAUUAAUAGUUAGCCAGUAUGAAGUUUCAACAUAUAAUCCUGUACUUCCUUUUUUAACUUUUGAAGUAUUUGGUGAAGCCCAAACUUUUGACCAACCGUACUUCCACCCCACUCCUUACCAUCUGAGCCAAAAGCUAGGGUGCCUUCUCUCUUACUUCAUUUAUUCUAAAUAAAACCGUGAAUGGACAUCCAUGCCAAGCUCCCACCAACCCCACUAAGAAUGAAACUGAACUUCUAAUGUAUUGCGCUAAGGAGUCAAAAUUCUAUAUCGUGGUGGAAUAUUGUGAUGAAAUAUUAAUAAAUGUUCUGGUUCAGUUUCCAGGCUCGAAGGAUUUGUUUCAAACAAGGAGCAAUCUUAUGAAGAUCCUAUAGAGGAGUAAGGCAGUUGUUUAUUACAAAAAUGCCAUAAUUGUCAAUUUGUCAUUUGAAUUCUGUUGACUGGCAGUGGAACCAGGAUCAUAAUACUCUACGCUCUGUUGUUCAGGUUACUAUAUGCAGUUUUUGUCGUUUCAAGCGAGAAUGCAACUGUUGCUGAACUGGCAACAACAUUACAGGCUGACCUUGCACAGCUGCGGGCUGCUGCAUCCUUUGCAUGUCAAUUGGGAUGGGCGGUAAAAGUAUUAGAUCCAGCAUCUGUGCUUCGAGAUACAAGUUUACCUGGAUCUCCUAGAAACAGUCUCCAUGAAGAAGAUAUUUCUUGUCGUAGUACAAGCUCAGCAAAUAUGUUUGCCAAUGGUGAAGCUAGUCUACAAGGAGAUGUUUCAGGGACAGGAAACUCUUUGCAUGAUCGUGUUGCAUUUGUUGUUGAUGCUAACAUAACAUCCUACCUUAUGAUGGGGUCUGUCUCACCGGGUUUGUUUCUUCUUCUCAAGCAAGAUUGAAUUAGUUUAUUAUAUUGAAUAUCAUCAACUUAUCUGCAAUCUGAGUUUUGCUGACAUACUGGUCAUGUGGUUGAAAUAGAUAAGGAGGGUUGUCUAUUAAGCAAUUGUGCUUGAAACCUUACGUUAAGAUAGAUCAGUUUAAGUGUCUAGAAGAGGCACCGGCAUAUUCUUUACAGCUGCUGUACCAGUUCAUUACGAGCUCUUAGCACCUUUAGUGUGUCGUACAAUUUUUGUAUUAUGUGCUGGUUUUUCUCAAAGUGGCACUACAGUUUGCAUGAACUCAUUUUUUUUAUGUCCUAAAUUUAUCGAAUUAAGUACUAUAGGGAUGAGUCUUUCACAUGUCUGUUUCUCAAGCAAAAUAGUGAAGGUUAUUCUCAUUUUGGUGGACUCUGCUUGAGUUGGCAAGUGACAUAGACUCCGUCCCAGAAUCUGGCUUGCACAUGGGAGAAAGACAGACUUUCUUGAACUCAAUUAUUAGUUUUCCUCAUUCAACUUCGUCAAAGUCUUUAAACAAUGUCCAUAUUUCUACUUGAACGUUUAAACAGUCACCCUCAAUUCUUUGCAAUCUGGAAGUUGACUUAAGCAUAAUACUUUACACACCCUAAUAUUUUAUCAUUAUGCCAAACAAUCCAUGGCAUCUUGCAUGGAAUGUCGGAUGGUAACUGACUUUAAUUUUGCGUUAGUUGUAACAUCAUUAUAUGUAUUACUUGUCCCCCAUUUUUCAUGAGUAGGAUAACAGAUUAAGUUUCAACUUAAUGGCAUGACUUAAUAGUGUCACGAGUUCGUCUUGAGCAUGAUUUUCAAAUCAUGUAAAAAGCGAGAUAGAAAUUGAAUUUUAACAUUCCAGUUGACAAAAGUAUUAUGUGGUAUGGAUAUAAAGUGCGGGUACCAUAAUCAGGGUAAAGGAAUAAUUUGUGUCCCUUUCCCCUUAAUAAUACUUAAGCACAUUGUGAAUGGAUUUCAUAGCUAAAGGCUUGUCCCAUCUUGGAGCUAUAAGCAUCUGUUCCACUUUCCAACUAGCAAUCUAUAAAAAGGAGUUAACCAGAUGGAAUUUGUAGGUGACUUUACAUGAGUUGCUGAUGAUGUGCAGCAAAGGAAAUUGUGGACCUGAUGGAUCGAAGGAAAUUGAGGACCUGCUAUGCAUCAAAUAGAUCCUAGUUUUUCCAUGUAGUAUAAGUUUCAUGCAGGAUGGAGAGUAAGGGAAAGGAAGAGGAGAUAUCUGGACUCAAUUUGAGCCUUGGCAUCACACAAGUAGUUUUCAUUUUUUUGGAUUCACUCCGAGAGAGAAUGGAAAAACAGUGGCAUCAGAGCCAAUGGUGUCUUGGGCUCAUGCCUAGUCAACUCACCAUUCGCAUGCGAGUUCAAACUGACAAGAGCUUUAAGUUCUUUCUCUGUUUACUUCAAAGCUUACAAAGUAGUACAUGAAUUGUUGGACAAAAAUUAAUAUGCUUAGGACUCUAAAAGACAUAAUCAAUAACACCUAAGAUAUUGUUCAUAUGAUGUAGAGAGGUUCAAAGACAAUGAAUAUUACACUACAAAAAAUAGACCUAUACAUUUAAAUUUGCAUUAAUUACAUGAAGAAUAUCAAGCAUGGCGUAAAGGCUUGUAGAUUAAAUUUUUAUUUAUUUAUGUACAAAAAGUUGUGUUUGUGCUUUUUAUUAUCUACAUUUCAUGCUUUUAUACGUUCUCCCAAUCAUGAAUCUUAUACUUGGGUAUUAUAUGCAUUUUGAUUUCACAUAUUUUCUUUUAGGCUUGAAAUCGCAUGCUGUGACAUUGUAUGAAGCAGGAAAGUUGGGUCAUGGUAGUAUUACCGAUCUCUGUAAGGAUCUGAGUACGCUAGAGGGAACAAAAUUUGAAGGAGAACUACAGGAAUUUGCAAAUCAUGCAUUUAGCCUCCGUUGUGUUUUGGAAUGCCUUCAAUCAGGAGGAGUUGCAACUGAUGUGAAAACAGAAGAAGUUUGCAAGAACAUGGAUAUGAUGACAUCAAACAAUGACGAGGCCACACUCAUAGCUGAUGCCACCUUGACUAACAAAUCAGAACACUUAGCAAUACAUGAAGUUGGGGUCGAGGAUGAUAUUUCUGUGAAAUCAGGGAUACCUGAGGAAGGUUCCGUUUUGGCUGAACCUGUUAGUGAUGGAGGAAGUGAUGGAACAUUAAUUGGUACACCAUCAGAAGAUAUCACCAGCUUAACUGAAGUCCCUAAACCAGACUUGAAUCUCCAGAAUAAUGAGAAAUCGAUGCAUGCUGAAGGGUUAGACGUUGAAAGAGAAAUGUUAAAGAAGAAAAAGAAAUUCCGAGUGGAUAUCCUUCGCUGUGAAAGCUUGGCGUCUCUUGCACCAGAAGCUUUAGAUCGGUUGUUUUGUCGUGACUAUGAUAUUGUUGUAUCUAUUAUUCCUCUUCCACCUUCGUCGGUACUUCCUGGACCAGCAGGUCCUAUUAAUUUUGGGCCUCCCUCGUAUUCAUGCAUGACACCUUGGAUGAAACUAGUAUUGUACUCAACUGUGGCAUGUGGACCCCUAUCUGUUAUUCUGAUGAAAGGACAAUGUUUACGAUUGCUUCCUGCCCCGCUGGCCGGUUGUGAGAAAGCCCUUUUGUGGUCUUGGGAUGGUUCUACAAUUGGAGGGUUGGGGGGCAAGUUCGAAAGAAGUCUAGUAAAUGGAAAUGUACUUUUACAUUGUUUAAAUUCACUUCUGAAAUAUUCUGCUGUACUUGUGCAGCCCCUCAGUAGAUAUGACCUCGACAAAUCUGGAAGAAUCAUCACCAUGGAUAUUCCAUUACCCUUAAAGAACUAUGACGGUUCAGUUGGUUGCAUAGGGGAGGAAUUGGAACUGAGUGAGAAGGAAAGGUCAAAACUGAAAUCUCUCUUAGGAAAUAUGGGAAACAAGAUAGAGUUGUGGACAGUUGGCUAUAUUCGCUUAUUGAAACUUUUUAAAGAAAGAGAUUCAGAACACUUUGCACCUGAUGAUGAGAAGUAUGAAUGGGUCCCGUUGAGCGUCGAAUUUGGAAUGCCAUUGUUUAGUCCAAAAUUGUGUAAUAACAUAUGUAAAAGAUUGGUCUCGUCGCAAUUACUUGAAAAAGAUUUACUCACUGAGCAUCAUGAUGCAAUGCAAAGCCUAAGGAAAAGGUUGCGUGAUGUUUGUGCAGAGUACCAAGCAACAGGUUCUGCUGCUAAACUUCUUUACCAAAAAGAGCAAUCAAAGGACUUCUCACGACAUCUCAUGAAUUAUGCUAGUGGAAGGUGGAAUCCACUUGUCGACCCAUCCUCUCCCAUUUCAGGAGCCUCGAGUGAGCAACAGAGACUAAAACUUGCUAACCGGCAUCGUUCCCAAACUGAAGUCUUGAGCUUUGAUGGAAGCAUUUUAAGGUUUGUCUCAAAAUGUUCUCUUCUAUAUUUGCAUCUUAUUCCUUUCCCUAACAUCUAUAUGUUUAGUAUUACAACCAGAUUUUCUUCUUAUAGUAUUCACUGUUUGCUAUAUGAUCAUCGUAACUUUCACCAUACACCGCAUUUUUACGUUUGUGCUUUUCUGUGGACACAAGGAUAUUUCCCACUUACAGUAUCUUAAUACUUCCCACUAAUACCUAUAAUUCAUGUAUUAGGAAUAUUGAAAUGAGCGUCGGACACGAAUGGAUAAGAGUGUCAGUAUUCUAAGGUGUCUUAGUAAAUCAGUUUCUACUUUGGAGAAGUUUUCUAUGAGUCAUGGAUGAGGAAUAAUGAAUGAACCCUUGUAAAUUAACAGUAUUCAGUUGAUAUUUUCUAUCUUCUUCGUAUUUGAUGGUAUUCAGCUUGUUUUCUGUAACUCCCUCGUAUAUCUGGUAUUCAGAUCAUAUGUUCUAGCUUCUUGCGUGUGAUGGUAUUAGAGAAUUUGCUCUGACUCCUUUGUAUUUACUGGUACUUAGAUCAUACGCUCUAGCUUCUGUUUACGAGGCUGCCACAAGGCCAGUUGAAGGAGCUCCUCCGGUGAGCACUACAAAAGUUGAGCAAGAAGAAGCUGACAGCAGAGAAGUAGUCCUUCCUGGUGUUAAUCUUGUUUUUGAUGGCUCUGAGUUGCACCCCUUUGAGAUAGGUGCUUGUCUACAGGCCCGUCAACCUGUCUCCUUAAUAGCAGAGGCAGCUGCCGCCUCCGCAGCUCUGCAACAAAGCAGAUGAUAGAAACUUGCUUGGAUGGCGUAUAUAGAAGAAUUCAUCACGCUGCUAACGACUAACCUCAUGCUUCUUUUAGUUUGAUUAUUUGGCUCGCUAGCUCGUCUCUGCUGUUGGUCAUUGUACACCAGCUCCAGCUUUGUUCAGAGGUAAACACCAGGAUCUCUGCAGAUGAUCAAAACAAACGAUAAAAGGAUGUCGGCAUAACGCUUUAGUUCCUGCUUGUGCUUGACAUAACUGCCAUAAAUUACACGAGUAGCUGAUAUCUGUCAAUUUGAUGCAGAUAGGUGUUUCGUACAAAGCUUUACCGAGGUUUGUAACUACAGUGUCGAGGUACAUGGUUUUUGUUACACGGUGCUUAGAUCCGGGUGAUAUACCCUCCAAUGAAACAGUACACCCUUUUGUUUCGUUUGAUUUUACGUUUGUUCUUUGUUCGUUUCGGAGGUAGGGAUAAAACAUGAUGCACAUGUUUCGGGUGCUAUAUCGUAUGAAUGGAAAUGCAUUAGAAUACCUUUGCAAGUCUGAAAUUGCAUUAUGAUAUAUGUGUGUGUAUAUAUAUGAGUCUGGAUUAGGUACACAUUUUUUGACACAUAUUUUAACACUUUUUUGUGGUUAACAUUUCGAAACUUUAUUCUAGUGUUCUGAACCGUAUAUAUUUUAAUACAUAAUUCAUAGAUUAUUUUUGCAAAAAAUUAGACAAAUACAAAAUUAUUAAGACAUUCAUUUUUCGUAACGAAUCACAUGAAUUUCAUCCUUUAGCAUUUGUGUGUAACCCGUAGUGUAAAUACAUGUAAUUUAUGAUCCUCAUAAGUAUGUGCAACCAAUGGCCUUUCUAGCCUACAUUCAAGAUAUAACAAAAUAAUAUCAUAAGACCUUAAAUAAAAUCCCACAUCUAGUAAUUUCGUUAAGAACAAUAUCGGUGAUAUUGGUGGUGUACCAUGUUCAGUCUAAUAAUUAGAUUUCCCCACUUAUCUUUUAUAUUUUCUAAGACUAAACAGUUAUUCAUUUUAAGAAUUUGAUUAAAGCGCUUUAACUAAUCUACACAUCAGCAUCUAUUUAUUUAUAUAAACUAAAUAUCAUUUUUUUUUAUAUUUUACACUCAAAAUGCUAUAGAUUGAUCUCCCAAUUUGGCCUUCUGGAGACAUAUUGUCCGAAUUAAACUUCCAUAAUUUUAGGGAACUUUCAAGCUUAAUUAUCUCUUUAUUAAUAAUUAAUAUGAUUGACUUUAAGCAUAGUCGUCUUUUGCUUUUUUACUUUUAAUCUGUAUGUUUUUUUAACAUUUCAUAUUUUUUACAUCUCAAUUUAGAGAGAGUUAUAUUGCUACGUUUGAAUUCAAAUGUACCAAUAAGUUAAGGUAGGUUUGUGAUACAUUUUUGGCACAAUUUAUUUAUAUUGGUGUGUUUGGAUUCAAAUGUACCAUUAGUUUUUAGGUAUGUUUGUGGUACAUUUGUGGUAUGUUUAUUUAAAUUAACUUAUAAAUUUCAAUACGUUAAAAUAAAUUGGGUACGUUUGUUUUACAUGUACAUAUGGGUACAUUUUCUAAAUUUUGUUGACAUUUGUACAUUAGAUUUAUAUGGUAAGAUGUGAGAAUAAAAUUGAAAAAAGAAAGGGGAGAAAAUUGUAUGAACAAUGUGGCAGCCAUUAACAUGUAUAUACAUAACCAAGCACGACGUUUGGAAAAAAAAUUUGUGACAAAUUAUUAACUUCCAAAAAUUAAGAAACAUGAAUUUUUUAUUUUUUAUUUUUUUUGAAAUGUAAUAUAAACUUGUACAUACUUUUCAAUUUCUCAUAUAAACUAAAAUUUUAAACAAUUUGUCAUACCAACUUUACAAAAUCAUUAAUUUGUCAUCUCAUCCCAACUCUUCGUUAAGUUUUCUAUCCAAUAUAAGUCAUGUGCGACACAUGACUUGUAUGCAGGGUUAUUUAGGUCAUUUUAACAUCUUUUCACAAGUUUUUAACUUUUAUUUAGUACAAACCUUAUUUUUUUUUUUUACUUUUCUUUAGUGUAUAUGUAUCUACAACUCCAUUUAUGGUAAAAAACGUCAACCUAUUUCUCAUUUAUAGAGCCCGUAUGAAAUUAUGUCUUCGUGACAUGCUAAAAUGCAAACUCCCACUUGUCUAUCAUUACAUAUUUGGAAUAACCAUAAGAAAGUGCAUUGCAUGACCAUUUCAUUGCUAUCAUAUAGAAAAUAUUAUUCCAUUGCCUGAGAAACCCCUACAGUUUUUUGUUGAAUACAACUUAAUAAAAGGGAAGUAAUGUAUUAGAAUGACCGAAAUAACCAUAAACACAAAUCAUGUGCUCGCACAUGACUUAUAUUGGAUGGAAAAUUUAAUGGAGUUAGGGAUAGAUGAUAAAUUAAUGAUUUCAAAAAGUUGGUAUGACAAAUUGCUUAAAAUUUUAGUUUAUAUAACAAAUUGAAAAAUGUGAACAAGUUCAUAUGACAUUUCAAAAAAAAAUUCCUUAAAAAAUAUCAAUUAUGAUUCAUGAAGGAUUCCUGGUCCAUUUAAAUGCAAUGGCAUCUUAUGUAAUUUUCUUUUUAAAGAGAAAUGGGCUUCCUAUACUCUAGGCGGCGCCACAUUUUUAGGGGGCAGUUUGAUCAAAAUUCUAAAACACACGGAUGUUUAAUAAAGAAAUAGUAAAAUGAGGCACUCAAUCUAAAUGCCCCAAAUAUUUAUCAUAAUUUUAGAGCAUGUCAUUCUUUCAAUACGUCUUAGUUUAUUAGGCUUAAAUUUAUGUCUUUAAGUUGGGCUUUUCAAAAGUUACGUUGGCUCUAGUGCAUGAUCGGGCUCUCUAGAAGUUGUGUUAGCUCCGAUAUAAUGAAUUAACUAGUUCCUGAUGUUGAAAUUGGUUUUCCGUGUGACCAGUGUGGGACAACUCAUGAGAGUGCAUGUUGGAGAAUAGAGUCCUACAUCAGAUAAACAACAAGAUAAUAUUUUUGAGAUCUCUUAUAAUAAAACCUCACACCUAGUGAUAGGUGAUUAAACGGGAGAUAACAUCGGUAGUGUUAGCAAAUGGGCCAAAAAAGUUUAUCAUCUAUAAAAGCAGACCUUACCUACAUGAUAAAACAUUGUUUAGAGCAGAUUUUCCACGAUCAUUUUAGUUUAAAUGUCUCUUCUUAUUUUUAUUAUAUUUAUAAAUAAAUAAAUAAAUAAACACUGUUAUCAGCACAACAAGUAUCUACCAACCAAGGUUAUAGUGGUUUGUUCUCCACAAGUUGUUUGGCUAUAGUAAACAUUCUGGCUAAAUUGAUUCGAUCCCAAAUGCUUUUAUUAUAAAUUAAGAAAUCGAACCAAACAUGUUCUUUGGUAUUUGAUUAAGGCGAGGAACAUAAAGAUGAAUUUACUUAAAUGGAGUGAUAAUAUUACGAAGCAGAGUUCAAUUUGGAGAGUAAGACUAUUAUAUAAACCGAUGACCAAGUUCCGAAUGCAACUCAACUUGUCUAAUCCUUCAUCAUCCUCUUUUUUAUUAAUAAAACUUCGAUAGAAGAGAUCGAUGACUUUGUUGAACGUAUGGUGGCGAUGAUAGUCGGCCCAAUGAGAAAGGAGGGACGAGUAGUGGAACUGGGUUAGGUAGUAAUUAAGAUAUUUCACUAUCUAUAUGCAUGCUUGGUUGUAAGUUACCAAAGCAACACAAUGGAUAAGAGCAUUUCCAAUGGCCUUCAUAAAUUUAAAUUUUUAAAUACAAAUUUGUUAACCUAUGUGACAGUUUGAACACUACAUUUUGGUUACUUCACAUUUUUACAUUCCAACAUGCUAUAAAUUUCCACAUCAUAUUAUUUUUCUUGAUGAAGAUGAGAGAUUGACGAAAUACAUUAUUAUAAUAAAAAGAUUGUUUGAAGAGAGGGAUGGCAAGUCUCCAAAUGUAGAGUGUAGCAAAGGUCCUAAAUUUGAUGGGUGAGUUUAUCAACUCUGUUGAAGCAAAUAAAUUCUACGUGGUACUUUAAAUUUAACAAAAAAAAAAAAAAACAUAUGUUAACUCUCUUGAAGAUGCUCUAAAGUUUUCUGUUCUAAAGAAAACGCCUUAUAUUGCCUCUAUGUUGUCUCCAAUCAACUUUUCAUAUGUUGCAAGUGGCUUUAUCACAGUGAUGAAAAUGAGUUGAGUCAUUUCAUAAGUGAGUUCAAACCUCAUUUCUGGCUAAUCAAAUAUCUAAUUUAAUAAAACUAUCGCUUGACAAAAAAAAAAAACUACUUUUGCAUAGGUUAUUAAUUCGUCUAUUGUUAAUGGGUUUUAAUCACAAUAAUUGAUUGACAUAUUCUUCGUGCUUUAUAAUUUAGAAAAACAAUUAAUAAUAGGUUUUUAUCACCAACGAUUAUUGAGAUUGACCAAACUCAUCAUUUUGGUCCCUCGCUUUCAAGAUCAAUCAAUGUCGUCUCUGACAUUUACUACCACACAUCAAUUUGGUCAUUCCAUUUAAAUUCCGUCAAUUAUUCUGUUAGUUUGUAUGUGGCACCCACAAAUUCAAUAAAAUUGUGACAUGUGGAUUACACAAAAGAAGAGUUUUUACCACAAAUGGUCCCUAACAUUGACCAAACUCCUCAUUAUGGUCACUGAGUUUCAAAAAAUGAUAAAUUUGGUCCCUGACUUUCACUAUCGCACAUCAAUUGAGUUAUUCCAUUAAAAUUUCGUCAAUAUUUUUUGUUAGUAUGCUGAUGUAAUCCCACUAAUCCAAUCAUAUGGGGCCAAGUGGAUCAACUAUAAGAAACUAUUUUUUUAGAGUAAACCAACUGACGAGUAUUUCGCGCUGUCAUUUAUCUCACAUCCCACAAUCCCAAUUGGAAAAAACAAAUCAAUCCAAAUUCAAUAAAAUCGAAUCCAAAUUCAAUUCAAAUUUCAUAGGAUUAUAACCAACUAGAGAGAAUGAGUAGUGAGUUCAAGGAGGCCAAGAGCUUUAGUGAUGUCCUAGUGCCUUCCUUUUAUUUUUUAGCAUACCAAGAUGAAGACGAUGAUUUCUUUUUUUUUUUUUUGGUUUUUAAUUUCUUAUUUUACUUCUAGUUUUAAAUCUUAACAAUAUAGUUUUUGUUAUAGUUAAUCCAUGUCGCGCCAUAUGAUUUGAUUAGUGGGACCAUAUUAUCACAAUAACAAAAAAUAUUGACAAAAUUUUAACGAAAGGUCUAAAUUGAUAUGCGGUAGUGAGUCAGUGACCCAAUUUAUUGAUUUUUGAAACUUAUGGACCAAAAUGAAGAGUUUUAUCAAUGUUAUGGAUCAUUUGUGAUAAAAACUCUUCUUUUGUGUAAACCAUGUGUCACCAUUUUAUUAGAUUUGUGGGUACCACAUACAUACUAAUGGAAUAAUUGAUGGAAUCUAAAUGAAAUGACCAAAUUCAUGUACAAUAGUGAAUGUCAAGGACGACAUUAAUUGAUUUUGAAAGUGAGAGACCAAAAUGAUGAGUUUGGUCAAUCUCAAGAAUUAUUGGUGAUAAAAAUCCAUUAUUAAUUGUUUUUCUAAAUUAUAAAGCAUGAAGAAUAUGUCAAUAAAUUAUUGUAAAUCAUUAAAAUUUAGGGAGUUAUAACGAAAAGGACCUGGAACUAUUCAUUCUUAAUCAAAAAGACAUUUUGUGUAUGAAAAGUCCAUAAUGGAUCAUGUUCUUUUCUUUAUUUAUUCUUAUGCCAUUACAGCGGGGUCCACAACGAUGUUGACAUUUCUGUCUAGGAAUACAUUAUUUCACAUUAUGCUAUUAAACUUAUGCUAAUUUACAGCUAGCUCUUCAGGCUUCCAUCCUAUUGUCGAUAUUAUGCAGCUCUUCUUCUGUCAAAUUAUUCUAGUACUGUUCAUCGUCUUUUACUAACUCCGCAUCUCUUUCUCUAUCUUCUUUCAUCUUGUAGUAUAUUUCUGCUGUUUCUUCUUUGAAAUUUUGGGGCUUCCAAUAAGACUGAUGACUGAUCUUUGUCUUGUUGUAAACAUACAUCUCUUCUUCUUCUACUACUAGUACCAUGUCAUACCUAAAAUCUUCAAACUUAUCUAAGGCAAACAUUUGGAUCCCUCUAAAUUUUAAAAUAUCUUUGUAUGAAUGAGUCCACCUAUGUGAGGAGAAAGGGGUUAGUCUAAAGGACUCUUCAUUGAUCAUGGCUAUAUGCCUAGCUUUCUCCUUAUGUAUAUGUAUAUACCAAUCUGGAGGACUACUAAUCAAACUUAUGCAAAUUUCUUUCCACCUUUCUAGAUAAUCUUCUGCUACUUUUAUAAGUUUUUUAGGAAUGAUUCUAGUUGAGAAAUACGGUUAAUAAAUAUUUUAUCGAGAUAACCAAACUCUAAUAGUAAGGCAGGGGUAACUUCUACCACACUAUGCUUUUUCUGAUGCUUAUAACUAAAAUGCCAUGAUUUAAAAUCUCUCAUGUUAAUCCUGGCCACAGCUACGCUAACCUCUGGUUUACAAAUACAAUUCUCUGUACUAUUACAAAGACAUGGAAGAUACAUCUUUGUAAUAAUAUUCAUCCCUGGUUUCGGAUCAAAGAUGGACUGAUACAAGGCGCAUUGUAAUUGUAACUCUUUCAUGGACUGUGAUGCUCUGCUCAGGGUCUCAUUUUGCAUAUAUGUUGGCAUUAUUCUUAGUUUUGCCUUUGAAAAUUCUUCUAAUAAAACAUCAUCUAAUAUUAAGUCUGAAGAUAUAUUCCUAAGAAAACUUUCAUAUUUUUCUUGUUUUUCUUUGUCACUCAUAACCUGAUGUUGCUCAUUACUUUGAUGUUGCUCCAUUUCAAAGUCUUCUUCUAAGAGCUCAAUUUUAAUUUCUUCUAUGGGCUCAUUAACCUCUUGUUCUAUGGGUUCAAUAACCUCUUUUCCUUUAUUCUUAUGCUGAUCAAUUUCUAAACCUAUUUUUAAUUCUCUUUUCAAGGUGUCACUUGCCUUUUGUAUGAAGGUUGUGCUCAAGAGAAUGAAUAUGCUACUGGUUUUGGUGGAAAUUAAAACUAAAACUAUCAAACUCUUGUUCCAAGGUUCUAAUUAAUUUUUCAUGACCUAACCUCAUGUUUGGCUGCUUAAUUUGGAUAUUCCAAAAAUUAUCUAAGAGAACCUGCUGCCUAUCAGAAAACCCUGGUACCCUUGACCUAUAUCUCAGAGUUGGAUUCUGAUUCCUUCAACAAUAUUGUCGUUAAAGUUGAAAGUUGGUACUGGUGGUGAUGCUGGUCUGCUCAUGCUAUUUUGAAUCCACUUAAUGGUGGAGGUUUAUGGUGCAUCAUCAUGCCAUUGAAAGAAACUCUUCUGCCUUACAGCCUUGUGCUAUUUGCUGAUGAUGGUCCACAAUAUUUCAUACAUGUUCAACAAAUUAAUCUUGAUAAGAUAUCAGCUAAUGUAUUGUCAUUACCUUUUAUAUGUUCAAAAAUUGGUUUAAAACCAUUUCUUGUAAUUGAAUCAACAAAAUUAACCCAUCUUCGGGCUGCCUGUUUAUUAGCAUGUAUCUUAUUAUAAUAAGAAACUAUAUUUUGACAAUCUGUUCUAAUCGUAAAUACUUCAUUAUAUAAAAAUAAAGAAAAUGCUUCAAGUUAAUUAAUUAUCCCUAAAAUUUCUAAAUCUGUUGAUGGUAAUCUUGACUGUACAUCACUAAACUUUCCUGAGGAAUAUCUACAAACUUGUUCGUCAAAUUUUGGAGACUCCCUAUGCUUUUUCUGGUAUAGUAUACCUGCCCAUCCUAAUGAUGAAGCAUCUGUUUCAACUAUAUUGUAACUAUCAUCUAAUGGUAAUUGUAAUGGCUUAAGUUUAGUAAUUUCUUCUUUUAUUUUUUGAACUAAUUUAAUAUCUUCACUAUUAAAAUAUUUUUGUCCUGUUUUGCUAGUUUAACUAUGUAAUACUGCUAUUUUUCUUCCUAAAUCAGGGAUAAAAUUUCUUGCAUAAUUUAGCAAUUCUAAAAAUGCUUGUAACUGUUUCUUAUCUUCUAAUUUGUUUGGAAAUUCUAACACCUUUUUAGCUAUAUGAUUUUGUAAUUGUAUUGUACCUGACUUGAUAUACAUUCCUAAAAAUUAUAUAUCUUGCUUUUCUAAUGCUAUUUUAUUUUUCCUAAUCACAAUUCCAUUAUUGAUAAAUUCUUGUAAUACUAUCUCUAAAUGCUUCCUAUGUUCAUUUUUAUUUUUACUAUGUACUAAAAUAUCAUCUACAUAAACACUACAAAAAUUAUCAUAUUUCUUGAAAAUUUGGUCCAUCUUUCUUUGAAAGAUCGAUGGAGCAUUUUUAAGUCUAAAUGGCAUAACGAGCCACUCAAAAUGUCCUUCUAGACAAGUAAAAGAUGUCCACUCAAUUGAUUCUUCUGUUAAUCUUAUUUGCCAAAAACCUGAUUUACAAUCAAAUUUGCUAAAAUAUUUACUCUCUUGAAUUUUAUUUAUAAGCUCAUCCUUAUUUGGUAAUUUAUAACUAUCUUCGUAUGUAUUAUCAUUUAAUCUCUUGUAAUUAUAAAUUAUUCUAGCCUUACCUCUCUUUAGUUCUGAAUGUUUUAUUACAAUAAAUGUUGCUGAUCUAUGUCUAGACUUAGAAGGUCUAAUUACUUUUAAAUUUAGCAACUCUUUUAUUUGCUGCUCAAACUCUUGUUUAUCUAUUAGACUACAAGGCAUAUCAGCUGUCUUAAUGGUUAAAUCUGGGUUAAUUAUAUCUAAUUUUGCUAAUAUUUUAUUUUUACUCUAAUGUAACUGUAGGUCUUCUCCUAUAAUCCUAGUUUGUUCUGCUAAUUGUAACAAUUCUUCUAAACUCUUUGGUCUAUCUAACUGUAAUAUUUCUAUACAUAUUCCUUCUUCUAAAAUCGGGUAUUCAUGUUCAAAUAUAUAUUCAUCAAACUCUUCUAUGUUAUUAUGCUCAUCAUUUUCUUUUGAGUUUUCUAAAUGAUAACUAUCUUGGCCACUAGGCUCUUCUAUACUUAUGUUUUUGUAUACUUCUACAAUAUUACUUUGAUUAGUUAUUGUAAUGCCUCUUUUGAAAAAUGUUAUGUUAAGGUUCAUAAAUAAAAAACCUUGCAAACUUUUUCAAAAAGUUUAAACCUAAAAUAAAUGGAUAUGAUCCUACUGGUGAAACAAAUGUUAAUGGUAAAUUAAAUUGUUGUUUUUCUACUUUAAUAAACUCAUUAUUUAUACAAUGUGUUGAGUAAACUGGUCUCUCAUCAAAUUGUGUUAUUCUUACUGGUUUUGCUAAUUUUUGUCUAUAUUUUUCUGGUACUAACUCUUAUCUUAUGACACUCUUUGUACUCCCUGUAUCUAUCAUAGCUAUCGUUUGUAUCUUAUGUUCUUUUGCUAAUUCUAUUUCACAAUUUAUGGUAAUUAAAGAACUAUUUUUUGGUUUUUCUAUACUAUGAACAAUAUUUCCUAAUAUUUCAGUAUUUUCUUGUGAUUUUGCUGAAUUAAAUUCUAAUAACCUAUUAUUAUAACGUUUUUGACAUAAUAUUGAAUAUGUAUUAUAGUAUUUAUUUGCAACUAAUUUACUACACUUAUGACAUUUUUCUAGCCAACCUAAAUUGAUGUAUUUAUAUUCUUCUUCAUGCUGUUCUUCUAUGAAUGCACACAUAUACUCUUCUAGAUCACUAUUUGUGUUACUUGAAUUUUUUGAGUUUGAAUCUAUCAUGUUAAUACUCUCUAUACUAUAAAUACUCUCAUUAUCACUUAAUUUAUCUAAACUGUAUAUUGACUGAAUAUCCUCAUCUUCUUCUAACUUAAACAACUCCAUCAAAUGUAUUUUUUCUUUCGAUUGUUUACCUAAUUUUGGACAUUUAGGUCUAAUUUGUCUAGCUUCUCCACAUGAAUAACAUUUACAAUUACUCUUAUCUUUUGAUGCUUUAUAUUUUCUAAUCCAAGGUCUGCCACUUCUUUUUCUAAAUAGUUUUGGAAUAUAUUUUCUUUUCCUAUAUGUUCUUAAAGGUCUUAUGUUGAAAUUCUUAUGUUGUUUGUAGGGUUUAUACGACUUAUAUUUCUUUUUGUAUAUUUUCUUAUGCUUUUUCUUCUGGCAACCAUACUGUUGUGGUAAAUUUAUAUUUUUACAACACAUGUAAAAUUGUUUCCUAAUUUGUCUCUUAGCUUUUAUUUGACUACACUCUUGUCUGACUAUAUCAUAUACAUGUUGAAUUCUAGGUCCUAUAGCAAUAUCAUUUUUCUUCGGAUGCUUUUGCCAUUCAUUCCAAAUCUUUUCACAUAUUGGUCCUUUUAUUUUUGUCAUAUAAGUAUCUAAUAAAUUAAUAUAACUAAUUCUAUUUGUUCUUCCUAAAUAUUUAAAGAAAUCUGUGGUAAACUCAGCUAUAUAAUGUAAAUCGUAAAUUUGUAAUUGUUCUAAAUUUGUAAUUGCUCUUAUUUGUUCUUGUUCACUUCUGCCAUCUAACCUAUUAUGAUCUAAAAACUCUUGUUUAAUCAAAGUAACAAAACUAUCAAUAUUAAAAUGUGUUUUAGCUGCCUAAUGUUGUUCUAGAUUUUGAACUUUUCAUGACUGGAAAUAAUAAAAAACUAAACCAUCCAAAGUAUGCUCAAAGUAAUCUAACAUAUUUUGUGAAUUACUAAAAUCUAACAUUAAUGCUGCAUGUACGCAGCCUUUUUCCCAUCUCUCAAUCGUUCUUUCCCAAUUUUGUGGAUCUACAUUAUCUAAAUUUAAUAUAUUACCAGCUACAUUAAUUUGUUCUAACCCUCUCAAAUAUGGAAUCCUAUUUUUUCUAGGUUUUAUCAUACUUUCUUCAAUAUAGUUUACUUUUGCUUUUUCAUUAUAUUGUUCAUUUGUUGGUCUCAAAAAUUAUUUAUCAGUUCUACUUGCGUGUCCUGGAUUUUCUACUUCUGAUGUACUACUUUCUUCUGCUAGAUUACGUUAUGCCUUCAAUUCUAAUAAAUUAUUAUAUUCUUUUGAUCCUAAAAUAUGUUCUACUCCUAUUUCUAAGAUUAAAAUUUUCAUUUAUUCGUCUGAAAUUUUAUGUAAUCCUAAAUCAUAUGUCUUAUAUUUUUCCAAAUAUUAUUCUUCAUCUAAAUGAUCAAUAUCUUUUAUAAGUUUAUCUACAAUAUGAUCAAAUUUUUGUUCAACUAAAUUAAUAUCUAAAUUAUCAAAAGCCAUAUGUAUACUCUCAUUUUCGAUUUCACUCUCAUUCUCUUCUAUUUUUUCUAGUUGCUUAUAAUUACUAAACAUAAUUGUUGCUUGACCUAUACUAGUUUCAUAUAUUUUUACUUUAUCUGGUUGUCUAUUUGGUGCUACUUGUAAAUUAGGCAAUGUCCACUGAGUUCCUUCUAAAAAGCUAUUAUCUACGGGUUUUGCUUUUAUCAUAUUUACAUAUUUACUGCCAAAUUUUUGAACUAAAUUUUGAAACUCUAAUUAAACUUAUGAUUAUAUCUAUCAGACACUUUACCUAUUUACAUUAAGUUAAUACACAAAUUUUUAUACUCUCCUUUCAUAUUAUAAUUUUUUUGUUCUUAUGCUCACUUUAAUAUAUUUACUAAAUUCAUUAAUCAUCAUAACAUAAUUUGGAAUACAACAUAUGACUGCUAAGUUUGAACUUAAGUCUACUUCAGCUGUUGAUAUUGCUGCUUGUUGGUGAUUAUCUCAUCUAUCAUCAUAUAUAUAUACUAAAGCUUUUGUACCUACUUGUGCUCUGGUUAAUCCUGAUAUUCCAAUUAAUAUUGUUCUUAUAUGAAUCUAACUAAAAUGUGAUUUUCUCAAAUGAGUAACUGCUUCUUUACUAAUUAGAUUAAAUGUGACUUCUUUAUCAAUACAGCUAACUUCAUGUUGAUUGAUGCUGCUUACAAUUCUACUUUUGUUUUCAAAUAAACCUAAUUGAUACAAGUUAUAUUUAUUUUUCUGUGUUCUCUCAAAACCUCUUCGAAUAAAUUCUUGUGUUUCUUCUUCAUUUGGAUAAAUAUCUUCCGCUCUAACUACUUCUUUUCCUUUUUUUUUCCUAAAGAGUUCCAUUUUCUAUUAUCAGAAGGAUUUAGCUUAGGUCUUCUAUUAUUAUUUUCACUCAAAGUUAAAUUUUCUAAUUUAUCCAGCAAGGAUAGUGGAAGUGAUGAAGAUGCGUUAUGUAAAACUUGGUUUAUUUCUACUAUUUGUUCUUCAACUUGAUCUAAUUUUUUAGCCAAACUUAAAACUAAUUGAAUAAUCAAAUUAUUUUGCCUAAUGGGAAUAUUACUACUGGAUUGUGUUGAAAAAUCUGUUAAACCUACUGGUUCUUUAUCUAACUUACUGAUUUCUUUCAAAGCUUGUAUAUAUUUUCUACUAGUUCUAGAAUCUGUCAUUAAACCAAUAAUUUAUCUAUUUUAUAUGCAACUUAUCUACUUGUUCACUCAACUCCUUUUGUACUAAUUGAAUUUUUUGAACUUCUAAUUUUAGUUGUUCAACUAUUUCUAAUGAUCUAAGUUCUACUUGCUUUGGCUUGCUAUCUAUAAGGUCAACAAGCUCUUUUAUCUCUCUUUUGCUAGGAAACCUCUGAAUAUUUUUAUUAUUAUCUUCUAACUGAUAUGUAAUAUAAUCUAAAUUUUGUCUAAUUAUUUUUAUGGAAUUUUUCUGAUAAAUGCUCUAACAAUUGGUUUAACAAAUGAUUAUGCUUAUUAUUUUCUAAUUUUAUAUUUUCUGCUUGACUAAUAAUAAGAUCUACAAUACUAUUGGCUUGUGGAUUUUCUUCACUGUGCAAAAUAUGAUUAUGCUUUCUUGAUGGAAAAUAACAAACUAAACUAUUUGGUCUAAAGUUAUUUUUCUUUUUUGAGGUUCACUAAUUUCUAAAUUAAGAUAAUCUAUCAUAAACUACAGUCUAUCUUUCUCUAGAGUUAUGGCUAUUUGGUUUCUUAAAAACUCUCUUUCUUCUCUCAAGGUCUCUAAAACUUGAUCUAUUGUUCUUUUUGCUUCUAAAACUUUAUGCUGCACUUCUGUGUUAUUAUAUUUACGAAUAAAUGAAGGAUGUUCAAGAUAGCCAAGAUAAAACUUUUGCUUCUUCAAAGUACUGAUAAUUCUUUUGGAUAUAUAUGCUAAUAUUCUCUUUAUGCUAGUUAUAGUCGGAUGUCUAGGACAAUAAAUACCUGGUAAUUGUGGUUGACAGGGUCUACAGGGACAAUAAUAUCUGUUGUUCAUACACAAUAAACAAAUAUAAUAUCAGUUGUAUCAAUGACUUCUAUCCUCAAGGUACUUUACUAUUAUAAUUAUACUGUUAAAAUGCUAAAUUUGGCUCUGAUUCCAAAUUCGCAACGCAUGCUUGGUUAAAUAGUCGGAUGACCAUUAUAGCAACUACACAUAGAACCUUGCACAUGGAACUCGACAUGUUUCAGCAUGACGGCCACUCACGGUACAAGUAUAAGGCCUUAACGGCUAAAUUCAGAGGUACGAAGAACUCAGAGGUACCCUGGUUAAUGUCCAGUUAUUUGUAUGGCAAGCAUUCAACUAUAACAGAGUGCUCGAACAAAGUAUGAUCGUCAGUUAUUUAUAUAGCCACAAUAAUGUUUCCCUAUUUUGGACUAGAAAUCUAAUUAAACAAACACACUAAAGAAGGAAAAGAAAACUUACUUAAGACUUGGAGAUUGCUUGAAUAUGUACACUUGAACUUUUAUUGAUAUAUGGAAUGUUUACAGAAAUAAUUGUUUACAAGAAAGUGAUUACAAAGAAGUGUUUACAAGGAUGCUAUGAAGGCUACGAAUGCUUGAGUGUAUGAAGUGAGUAUGAUGUUUUCAGAUGUUGAGAGAGGUGUGUUCUGUAUGGGAGGAAAGACUCCAUUAUAUACAAAAUCUAAUUCUUCAAAGACAAAAUAACAUUUCAUCUAUUUACAAUUUUUGAAUAGUGACAACACUGUUUCUGAAACCUGUUAGCACUGUUUCUGAAAGCUGGCUGUCUUGUCUUUGCUUGAAUGUCAUGUGAAUUUAUGUUGUCUUGGUUGCUGCAAUGUUUGCCACAUUUUCUUUUGCAUGUGAAUCUGUAUUGUCUUGGUUGUUGCAAUGUUUGCCACAUAUUCUUUUGCAUACAAAUGUUUUAUGAAAAUGUCAAUCUCCUUUUUCUUCUUUUGGAUGUAUUCACAUGAACUUUGCAGAAAACUGACCCAAUCUUGUACAUAUGUGUGAAGGGUAGGAUCGGUAUUUUUGAAAAAAUCUAUCAUGAUGAUUAAAAGUAAAGUUUUGAGGGUGUUUUGGUUAGUUUUCCAUAAAAUUUAUGGUUAACAUGUGUAAACUUACGUUUUAGUCACGAUAAAGUAGCUACUUCAUGUUGGCUAAGGUUGGUUCCCACUAAAUUUUUCCAAAAUUUAUUCUCUUCUUUUUAGUUUUUAAAUCAUGUUCUUUUGGAACAAAUAAUAUUAGCUACACUAAGCGGUUAGAGAGUGGGCUAAGCCUCACAAUAAGAUAGUAAUAAUGUAGUUCAAAUUUAUCUUUGGCGAGAAUCAAACCUAAGACCUCUCACUUACAAAUGAAGAGGAAUACCACUAGACCAUAAUACUAAGUGGCUGAAUUAUGUUCUUUUUAAAAUAACAUUCCUAAAAGUACCAUUUUAAUUUGAUUGUUUCUUUUUCACGUGACACUUUUAUGAAUUCCACACCAACAUAAAUGUGGGUUCCAUCCUUUUCAUUUCAUCAUUUCAUAGUCAAAUAAGCGAAUCGACUAACGGAGAUAUGAUAUUGUAAUGAAUUCGUAAGUUUGUUUAUGACUUUGCAAUGUUUUGAACUUGAGAUAUGAAGUUGUUAUUGCACCCAAAAUUGAGGGCGCAAAAUGUAAUUUAACCUUUAGCACCAAACACUGACAUUUAUACAAAAAAUUGGAUAUUACUUAUCAAGAAAAAAAAAAUCUUUGCAUAUAAUCUGAACCUGGAAAAAAUUGGUGACAAUUUAAAAAAAAAAUCUAGGCGAACUAAGAUUGAUAAUAGACUUAACUACAAAAGGUCCAUAAUACAUGAACAACUUGUGUAAUUUUGUUAGUAUUUAUGGAGUAAAAUAAAAUUUUGCAAAAUAGAAGAAAUAUUGUGGCCUACAUUUAACUGACAAGGAGAAAGGGUAGGCGUCACAGAGAAAAUACAAAGAGAUGUGUUUGUAGGGUUGUGUAGAGGAUGCGUUAUUCUCCAUACGGAUUGCCUUUAUUUAUAGUAAUAAGGGGGGGAAAGAAAUCCUUCAUUUCCAAGGAAUGCAAGUCCUAAUAGGGAAAAAUAACUAAAAUCAAAUCUAAUAUGAGAUUUACACAAUCACACUUAAAUAAGAAGUUUAUAGCACUCCCCCUUGAGUGUGUAAAUACUCAUGUAGAUUCGGCAUUAUGUAGAGUUGAGGAAGUCGACUCGUCAGCACUGAUUAUGGGAAUACACUAGUCUCAAAUAAGGCAAGAACUUGCAUAAGGAAGUAAGUCUUACAAAAACCCUAUGGCUAGUAAAAACCCGAGUAGGGACAAAAUCCAUAGUCUAAGAAAAAUACAUGAGUAAUGCAAAAUUAAAUGAAAUGUCUACGGGACGUCAUCAGGGAUAUGAUUAACCCAAGAUGGGUGCCUUGUCAAAACUUAGUUAGGUAGCAAAAACCCAGUGGAAAAAAUGCUUAUAAUCGUAUGGAAAUAUAGUACAUUAAGAUCAAGCAAGUAUACUUUAGGAUACUCUCCCUGAGUUUGACACAAUUUCAAAGAGAACUAACAAUAUUACAACUCAGAAAGUUUACGCAUACCAAUUCCUUGAACAAGCUUUUGAAACAUCACAUUCGAUAGUGAUUUGGUGAAGAGGUCGAUGAGAUUGUCUUGUGAACGAAUUUGCGUGACUUCAAUCUUCUGAUGCUUUUGAUUUGAGAAGAAGAACUUCGGCACAAUGUGCUUGGUGUUGUCUCAUUUGAUGUAACCUUUCUUGAGUUGUUCAAUGCAUGUUGCAUUAUCUUCAUAGAUAGUCAUCAGGAUGUCAACAACGAGGUAAAUAUCACAGAAGCUUCGAAUAUGGUCCACAAUUGCUUUCAACUAAAAGCAUUUUCGAGUUGCUUUGUGUAAUGCGAGAAUUUCAACAUGGUUAGGCGAAGUGGCAACUAAGGUCUGUUUAGUUGACCUUCAAGAGAUUGCAGUGCCUCAAAUGGUAAAGACAUAACUCAUUUGAUAACAUGCAUUGUGUGGAUUAGAUAAGUAUCAUGCGUCAACAUAACCAACAAGACGAGAAUCGACUCGAGAAAAGAGGGUGUGACAUCACUCAAGGAUUCAUAGUGGUAGAAUAGCUCAGAUCCGUUGUACCUUUAAGGUAGCAGAAUAUGUCUUUAACACCAGUCUAGUGUCUGCAUGUUGGUAUAUUACUAUAUCUUGCCAAAAGAUUAACAGUGAAGGAGAUGUUGGGUCUAGUGCAUUAAGCCAAGUACAAUAAAGCGCCUAUUGCACUUAGAUAAGAAACUUCAGGCUCCCAAAUCUCUUCUUCAUCCUUCUUCGGACGGAAGGGAUCUAGUUUUGCAUCUAGCAAUCGAACGACCAUAGGAGUGCUUGAAGGCUUUGCCUUAUCCUUGUUAAAGCGGCGCAACACCUUCUGAGUGUAGUUCGAUGUACUAAGAUUCCAUCUGUAUGGUACUUUAUCUUAAGACCAAGACAAUAUCGAGUCUUUCCGAGAUCUUCAUCUCAAAUUCUGACUUUAGGUGUGUGACAAUUCUUUGGAGCUCUUCAGAAGUUUUGAUGAGAUUCAUGUCAUCGACAUAUAUUGCAACAAUCGCAAAAUUGGAAUAUGACUUCUUAAUGAACACCCAAGGGCAUAGUUCGUUGUUAACAUAUCCCUGACUAGUCAAAUACUACUCAGACGGUUAUACCACAUUCUUCCGGAUUGCUUUAAACCGUAGAGUGAAAGCUUCAGCUGAAUUGAGAGUGUGUUCCGAGGUUUGAAAAUAUUUGAUCCAGUCAAUGUAAGUCAUUCGGGAACUUUCAUAUAGAUUUCCGUAUUAAGAUCCUCAUAGAGAUACGCAGUUACUACGUCCAUUAGCUCCAUACUCAGUUUUUCAGAAACUACCAAACAAAUAAGGUAGCGAAAAGUAAUUACAUCCAUAACAGGUGAAUAAGUUUCAUCAUAGUUAAUCCUAAGGCGUUGUGAGAAACCUUGCACAACAAGAUGAGCUUUGUAAUGCACAAUUUCAUUCUUCUCAUUAUGCUUAUGAAUGAAAACCCACUUGUAGCCAACGAGCUUCACAUGUGAAGGAGUAUGAGCUACAAGUCCAAACACCUUACAUUUCACAAGCGAAUCGAUUUCAACUUAGAUUGCUUGUUUCUAGUUUGACCAAUCAGUUCUACGUCGACAUUCAUCAACAGAACGGGGUUCACUAUCAUCGCUUAACAUGAUCUUAAUAGUUACUGCAUAUGCUAAUGCAUCGUCGACGAUCAUCUCAUUUCUACACCAAACAUCAUCUAAGCUAGCAUAAUGGACCAAAAUCUCACGAUUCUUGGGAGAUGGAUUCUUCUCUUCAAUGACGUUUUUAUAAUCUAGAAUUUCCUCAUGAGUUAGAUAAAAUAAGUAGGCGAUAGUCAGAUUCACGGUAGACUCUUCAAGGGUUGUGUUGUGUGUUUCCUCUUCUAGGGGUGUGAAUCUUUUAAACCAAGUGGUAUGCCACACUUGUGUGUAGGGGCAGAUGAUUGGCUAGUCGCUAAUGUAUGUAGAUCGGCCAAUGUGGCAUCCUUGGCCUCUAGGAGGGAAGUCCGUUGUACAUUUGGUACAUCCAUCUUUUGUAGGCACAUUCUCAGCUGGAAUAUGUGAAAGUAUCUGUCAUGCUUUGAGCUACGUUCUGAAUAUCUAAUAUGUGUUGCACUUCAGUUUCAAACUGAGCGAUGCAGGGAUCUAAAUGAGACAAAGUGGGAGUCAUCCACGAUAAUUUACGUCGUUCUUCAACAACAAUGAUGUUCUUAUAUCCCCUUAAUGACGGAAAUACUGUCUCAUAGAAGUGACAUUUCGUGAAACGAGCGGUAAACAUAUCGUUUGUUCAAGGUUCUAAGUAACGAAUGAUCGAAGGAGUAUCAUAUCCGACAUAGAUUCUCAUCCUUCACUGAGGCUCCAUUUUUGUACGUAAGGGCGGUGAAAUUAGCACAUAGACUGCACAACCAAAAACACGCAUAUAAGAUAUGUCGGGUUCGUAUCCGAUAAGCAAAUGAAGGGUGCUAUAUGGUUGGGUUGCAACAGGCCUCAAGCGGACCAACAUGGCUGCAUGCAAUAUUACAUAACUCCAAGCAGCGAUCGGGAGCUUGGUACGUAUGACCAACGAUCAAACAAUCAUUUAUAAGCGCGUAAUGAAUGUCUCUGCCAUUCCAUUUUACGUGUGAACAUGGGGUACUGGAUGUUCAACUUUGACCCCAACUGACAUGCAAUAGUCAUCAAAAGUUUUGGAUGUGAAUUCUCCAGCAUUAUCUGAUCGAGUAGAUUUGAUCAGAUAAUCAGGGUGGUGAACUCUGAGCUUGAUAACCUAGCCAACAGUUUGGAGAAUGCAUCGUUCCUUGUGGACAACAAGCACACGUGUAACUAACAUGUGGAACCGUCAACCAAAACCAUAAAAUAUCUAAAUGGUUCGCAGGAAGGGUGAAUCGGUCCACAAAUGUCCCUCUGAAUCCUCUAUAGAAAAAUAGGAAGAUUCGAGUGAAUCUUGUCAUAAAAAGGCUUAAUAAUAAGCUUUCCCAUUGAGCAGGUUUGACAUGUCCUUGAAUCGAACCAAAACUUCGAGUUAGUGGAUGCCCAUAUAAUGAUUUGAGGAUACAACGUAUCGCUGUUCAUCCAGGGUGUCCCAAACGAUCAUGCCAAAGUGUAAUUUCGUGUGCAGUUCCAGAGAUAGGGUCGGCCACAUAGUGACUUUCAAUAAGGCGCAUGGUCAUAGUAUACAGACCACUCGGGAUAUGCUCAAUCUUAUCUUGAAUACGCUUCUGGCCAUAUUCGUUGAAAGUGAUGCACAAAAAUUCAACUUCAUUUUCUACAUAGGUUUUAGCAUGGUAAUUAUUGUCUUGACUUUAAUGCUCAACAACAUUCUUCUGGAACAUGGAGAAUAAAGUGCCUUUUGAAUGGUCAAAAUAGUGCCAUUGGACAACAUUUACAGGAUUUUUUGUAUCCUUCGAUCAGGUUGGAUGGACCUGGGAGGGUUGUCAGAGGUAUUAUUAGGUACAAAGUUAAUGAAAUAGAUGCGUUCACGCAAAACGGUGUGUGUGGUUGCACUAUCUACCAAACAACUAACUUUCCCACUAGUCAUACCUAGAAUAAAAUUAAUUAAACCAGUCACAUGCAUAAAAGUUCGAAAACUUAAAUCCAUUCAAUUAAUUUUUUCAAGAUAAGUUUAUGAACUUCAGGUUCAUAGUACCUACAAACAAACGCAUAUAUACAUAUAAAUAUGCAACAAGAAAAUAUGCAAAUAGAUCCUUAGGUCUAGAAUUAUAAUUGAAAUAAUUAUUUGGACUUCGGGCCAAAAUUAAAAGUUGGGCGAAAAAAUUAAAACCUAAAUUGUCUAAAAAAUAAAUAAUUCAGCUUGGGGCCCAAAAAUAAGGACCGAAACCCAUAUACGGGUUGAGCAAAUUGGAUCGUACGACCUAGGCCCAAGAAUUAGGUUGGGUUGGGCUACAGGCCCAAGACAAAGAGGGCCCAUAAAGAAACACGGAUCCAUUGUUUUGUAGCGCAGACGUUCUUAGAGGACGCAAUCUAAUGUGUUACGGGCCAGGUGCACCAAAUCACUAGCUGCUGACUAGGAUCAAGUGCGGCUCGGUGCAGGGAACUAGGGGAGCCCUACGAGGGCUGGGUUCAACUACGGUAAGGACACGAGGAUACCAAAGCCCAAUUAGGCUAGUGUCGUUCGCGGGCCGAUAGUCCAAUUUAGCCCAAUUGGUUGUUUGGAUUUGGGUCGUGGCAACAAAUGCAACCAGCAGCCCAAAAAGGGUGUUGUUCAAUGCAUGCCCGAGUGUUCGAGGCCCACUAAGGCUUGGGUUUGGAAACCAAAACACCAUAACGACACUGGGUGUGGGAUUCGAACUAGAAAAGUCUCUGGCGUCGUUUCAGGCGACUUCCCUCGAUCAGUCAUGGCACAACGAUGCAUAGGGGUUCGAUUGGAACCCUAAUUUAGGAUAGAAAACUAAGUUUCGAUGUCGGGGGGGGGGUUGAGAAACAAUGAGGAUUCGAAGAAUCCUUUCAAGAAAUCACCGAUGUUCAUCGGUUUUUCUAGAAACCCAUCAUCUUCGACGAUGGUUAGGUCCCAAAAACACGACAACAAGUCGUGAUUUUCCCAGAGAGACGGCGGUGUGGCCGUGGUUGAUUGCAAGUGGCAUUAGGUUCAUGGGAUCAAUUCCAAAAUAGCAUCGUCUUCUUAGAUGGAGCAUUAGGGGUUUUACCCCAUGCAUUGGGGCUCAAAAUAGCUCAUGUGAGCUCAGGUUUGGGUUCGACAAACCCUAGAAGUUUUUUUUGUUAUUUUUUUUUUCAAUUUCCAGAUUAAUUCAAUGCAUAUUCAACAUAUAAUUCAAUGCAUGAGCAGAUGAUGCAAUUCAUAGCAAUAUCAAUUCACAUAAUUCAACAAUUAUGAAUAGGCUUUUUGGCCAAAAUGGUCCUUGAAAUUUGCAUAACACAUCACUUUGGUCUCUAAGAUUGAAAAUCAAUAGAAAUGGUCCUUGAGAUUGUCCACAAUCCAUUAUUUUGGUCAUUCCGUUAAAAACUCCGUUAAGUGUCCUGGAGCUUUUGGCCGGAAAUUUGGGCAAUUUUCAAAGCUUCGUAACUCAAUCGUUUCUUAACCAAAUUCUACCCGUAAUAUAUCAAAAUGAAGAUAAGAAAGUGUAGAACAAGAUUGUACUUAUUUAGAAGCCCAAUGAUUGCCGAAGAUGGCUGGAAAAUAGCCUGAAAGAUGACCGAUCCAUGGAAAAACUAAAAAACUCGCUGGAAACUGGGUAAACUUUAAACGUUCAUAACUUCUUCAAUACUCAACGAAAUCGAGUGAUUCAAAAAUGAAAAUCAUACUCUCGACGGUUGUCUCUAGUUUCCCGCAGACCAGUCACCUUUCAGGCUAUUUUCCAGCCAUCUCCAGCAACCAUUGAGCUUCCAAAUGGGUAUAAUCUUGUUCUACACUUUCUUAGCUUCAUUUUGAUAUAUUAUGGGUAGAAUUUGGUUAAGAAACGAUUGAGUUAUGAAACUUUGAAAAUUGCCCAAACUUCUGGCUAUUAGCUUUGGGACACUUAACGGAGUUUUUAACGGAAUGACUAAAAUAAUGGAUGGUGGAAAUCUCACGGACCAUUUCUAUUGAUUUUCAAUCUUAGGGACCAAAGUGAUGUGUUAUGCAAAUCUCAGGGACUAUUUUGGUUAAAAAGCCUUAUGAAUAUAAUGCAUACACAAUUUAUGUAGAAUCUAAAAUUCGAAAAACGUAAAGUUGGGUCAUGCAUUAUGUUGAAUGUUCAUGCUAUUAUGGAUGCAAAAAUAUCGAGAUAAAAACCAUUGUUUUGGAAGAACUUGAUUGCGUGAUGAUAUUGAUGAAUUGGUUUGAUGCAGAAAUUUUUUCUUCAAUUUCGGCUUUCCAUCUCCAAAGCUUGUAUCACGUUCAACAUAAAAAAAUUUAAAUUGAAUUAAUAAAAGUAUAUGAAUCAAUAAAAUCAAAAUCUAAGCAAUUAAAAAUAAUUGAAACGUAAUACUCCCCUAAUUGAAGAUGAAUAAUUUUCAAAUCAAAUGCCUAAGCGCAGCGGUAGGAGCGUGCUGAUAAUGUGUUGUGGCCUAUAUUUAAUUGACAAGGAAAGGGGGCUGGUGACACAGAGAAAAUAUAGAGAGAGAUGUGUUUGUAAGGUUGUGUAGAUGAUGUUUUAUUGCCCCUACGCAGUGCCUUUAUUUAUAGUAAUAAGGGAGAGAAGAAAUCAUUCUGCUCCACAUAAUACAAGUCUUAAUAGGGAAGAAUACCUAGAAUCAAAUAUAAUUAAACUUUACACAAUCAUACUUAAAUAAGAAGUUUAUAGCAAGAAAAUCAUUUUCGAAAAAAUGUUUUAUUCAAAACAAAAACUAAAUCUUUUUAAAAUAACAGUCGAGAACAAAAAAUAUGAACAACUUGGGAUCGAUUUUAGUGAUUACUUUAGUGGGUUUUGUUUUAAAUUAAUAAAUGAAUAUUUCUUCGUACCAUAGAAAUUUUCUAAGAAAAGAAAUGAAUACUUUUCAACAAUCAAGAAAGAAGAUCACGUCUUUUUAAUAUGCCCACACUUUCUAUGUGAAAAUAAUUUUUAUUUUUAUUUUAAAAUAGAAAGGAGAAAGGGAGAAAAAAGGAAUGUGGAUUAGAAAGAGAAGGAUUAUAUAUAUAUAUUUUUUUUCAAAAUUAAAGGAUGUUUUUAAUGAACAAUUGAUAUUAUUUAUCACUGAGGGGAGGAGAAUGAGCUUAGCCUUACAAUGUACUACAAUAACGUGAUUCAAAUUUGUUUUUGGCGAUAAUUGAAUCUAAGACCUCUCACUUACAAGUGAAGAUGAAUACCACUAGACUAUAGUACUAAGUGGCAAAAUUAGAGGAUGUUAGAAUCGUCAUUGGGUGAGGCUUUGAAAAAAAAAUUGUAAAAUUUAGUUUUGGGAAUUUGCUUUACUGUCCAUAAUUUUGUUUUAUGGUAAAAGAUAAAAUUGUCUUUUUACACUCUUUUAGUUGAUAAAAAUAAUUUUAUUAAUAUAGUUUAGAAUACUGAUUGAAAAUGUAUUAAAAAAAAAAAACCAAAAACUAUCACCAAACUUGUGGUAUCACAAAUAAGUCUCCAAUAAAAAUGAAAUCAUCACAAAUAAGUCCAAAAAUCAAAAGAAAUAAAAAUCAUGUUAAAAGAACUGUUAUCGAACACGUGUCGUCUGUAACAUCAAACUUGACCCAACUCUCUCGUAUCCGUUCACGUGGCGGACAUGAAAGUGCAUCCCGCUUCCAUGCCGCUCUCCCUCUCUUUCUCACAACCUCUCUCUCUUCACUCUCACUCUUCUUCCACUUUCCGACUUCCCUUCCACGUGAUGUAGCUUCAGCUGGCUCAAUCGAAACGUCACUAAAAUUGUGCCCUCCUUUUGGUCCUAGCUUUCUCAGAUUCAUCAUCUUUCUCGGAAAAUUCGAUCCCCUUUUGGCUCUCAAUAUACUCUCUCAGAACUUUUAUCGUACACUUUGCAAUCCAACGAAAAGAUCAAGGAUGCUUCGAACCCCACAUUUGUACGAUUCAAAUGUCGCCAAGUUCCCUCUCGUUGCAUCUCCCCAUUCAUCUCACCCUGUCGCUUCUUGCACACUAGCUUCUCCUGUUCUUGAAAUGGGGUAAUUCUUUUGUAUUUCUCUGUUUUCUUUAUUUUUUUUAUAUGACAGAUUGAAUUUUCGGUAUUUUGGUUUGAAUUUUCACUUUUUGCGCACUUGGGUCCAUUUUAGUGAUUAAACUUGGGUGGGUUAUGUUUUAAGUUCAUAAAAAUGAAUACUUUUCAACUUUCAAGUUUAAAGAGUAUCAUACAAAAUUGUGCCAAAAAUGCAUUUGUAGCAGUGCAUCUUCCAGCAUUUUAUUAGGAUGAUACGUGGUGAACAGUGCUGUCUUCUUUGUUGGAAUGACUAGUUUCAUGUUAUGGUACUAUUUUGAUUUGUGAUGAAAUCGAGUUAUUGUUGAUUUCGGCAUUGACGGUUUAUUAGAUUGAAGUGGAAUAAACAAGCAUCGGGUAGCAAUCAGCAAGGAAUUGUCAGAAAGGCAUGUUUAUCUUUCCAUAAUGCAUCAGCCUUUGUAUUUGUUUUGGUUUUGCAUUGUUGGUAAUUAUAUGGAUGGACUUGUGGCAUAGGUUAGACCCGGGAUGGUGCAAAGCAUAGCACAGCUAAUGCUUACGGUCAGCGUGCUCAAGAACGUGUGCUUGAGGUAUUUCUUUUCAUGUAGGAUCAUGUAUUUUGCUUUCUAUAUCUGUUGGCUGAUACUUCCAAAUUAUUUAAUAUUCAUAAAUACAAUACUAAAACAGUGGCGAUUCAUCUAUAUGCUUGAGAGCCAUAUACUGAUUGAUGAUUUUUUUCCCUAAUCGACUUCUUACCAAUGCCGGAAUGGGAAUAUUCCACAUUUUCAUGUGUUCACUGUUUGUGGUUAUAGGAAGAAGCCCCCCAACUGUCAGAAUCCAGCUCAUCAUGGAAAACUUUCCCAGGUCAAGCUUUUCCGCUGGGUGUAUCAGAAGUUGACAAUGGGAUAAAUUUUGCUAUCUUUUCACAGCAUGCAACUGCUGUCACACUUUGCUUAUCACUUCCAGAGAGGUAACAUCGUAUUUUCAUUUUGUUCAUUGCCUAAUAUCCAAUUGUGUACACUCACGUAUAUAUGAACAUCUGUAUUUAUGGGUAAAAAUCUUGCCAUAUACCAGGCCUGUUAUGUUACAGAUUGACAAUCUAAAAAUGUAAGUUUGGAAAUCAAUCUGGGGGUUGUUCUCUCUGGUUGUAGAGACAGGUUUCUUUAGUUUCCUUUGAGAAUACAUAUGUUUGGUUCAUUCUUCUCUCUCUCUCAGUUGCUGAAACUUGUGGUCUGGACUGGGGCCUUUGUGUAUAUCCACAUUGUGUGUUUUGCAUAAAAGAGCGGCAGAGAGCAUUCAUCAUUCCUUUUCCCAUUGUCCAUUGACUCCAUUCACCAUGCGAUUUUGGUUUAGGUUUAUGCAUAAUUUUGAAGUGGUCGGGGUUUGGUCUAGAUAUUUUCAUUCUUGGGUGGAAGUGUACUUGAGUGUUGGGGCUAGCACAAGGGUAAUUAUUGUUUUGUGCUGUUCGGGCUCAGCAGCAAUGUGGAAGUUUUGUUGGAAAGAAAUGAUAGGCUAUUUGAUAAGGUGGUGGAAGUUUCCCUUUGUUUGAAACUGAUUAGAUCAUUUUUUUGCGUGUAGGAAACUGAAAAAAGUAGAUUUUUAACAUCUUCUGAAUGUAACUUUGAUUAGAGGGACUUUGAUCUGAAUGGAAGUUAAUUUCUUUUUUAAGGACAGACUGUAGUGUUGAUGUAGAUGGAUCAUAGAAGUCGUCUGCAGCCUUUUUGGAGAUAUUUAUUCUUUCUCUUUUAGUAAAAGUUAUGUUUCCUAUAAAAAUGUCUGUCUUUCUAAAAAGUUUCAUUGAUUUAUGCCUGUUGGUUUAAAAUUCAAUUUAUUAAUUGCUGUUACUAGAUGGACAUCUUCUGUAGACCAACUUUUGAUAAAUAUAAUUUUUGUCAGGGAAAGGCUUGGAGGGCUGGAUGGUGGAAUGAUGGAGCUGCCUUUGGAUCCUAAUGUUAACAAGACUGGUGACAUUUGGCACAUAUGCAUCAAGGUAAUUUUUGAUAUAGGUUACUCAAAGCACCACCUGUCUUUGAGCUGUCCUUGAUUUAAUGAUGGCAUUAGUUCUAUGCUUGAACACACACUACUCUCUUUCUUUGUCUCUGUCUCUGUCUCUGUCUCUGUCUCUCUCCUAUGAGAAUAUAUCUCUUCGCGUAGUCUUCAUGAACUAUGACUCAUGAUAAUGAAAUCAUUUCUUCCCAGGAUUUGCCCCGGAGCAAUGUUCUUUAUGGUUAUCGUAUGGAUGGGCCACAAGGUUGGCAUCAGGGACAUCGAUUUGAUAGCAGCAUUGUGCUUGUAGAUCCUUAUGCAAAGCUAGUUGAAGGCCGUCGGAUGUUUGGAGACACCACGAAAAAGUUAUCUAAAUUUCUUGGAACUUAUGAUUUUGAUAGCUUGCCUUUUGACUGGGGAGAAAACUACAAGCUCCCAAAUAUACCUGAGGUAAAUAAGUUAUGCAGAGAACAUGAUAAAUUGUUGUCUUGAUAGAUUUGUUCAAUCAGAUGCAAGUUUGAUAGUUCCUCUCUCUUUCUCCCCUCAACAUCACAACUUAUGGUUUAUGAGCAAAUCAUAACUGAAUACAUUUUUAUUAAUAUCUGUAUUAUUUAUAUGCUCAUAGUUGAUAUGAUUUAAUUUUCAAAUUUUGAAUUAUUUUCUUUUUUUACGCAACUAAUCAUUUUAUGCUCCAUCUUGUUUCUGAGUUAAAUGUAGACUUCAAUACAUUGCAUCACAUCUUAACCUGUAUGUAUUCUGCCGUUUUUUCAGAAGGAUCUUGUUAUAUAUGAAAUGAAUGUUCGUGCAUAUACAGCUGAUGAAUCCAGUGGUUUGGAUCCAGAUAUUCGUGGUAGCUACCUUGGUAUGAUCGAGAAGGUAUUAAUUGAUUAUAACAUGACGAAUGACAAUCUAUCCAUAUAAUAGCAUCUCUUUAUACAAAGUACAAUAUCCGAAUCAAUUAUCUGAAUGCACCCUGUAUCCUUCCUUACCUUGAUUCAAUGACAUUUUGCUUUGUUUUUUGAAAUUUCGAUUAUUUCCUUUUAUUCCAAGCCAUGCUUCCAUAGAUAACGUUGACCAGAAAACUAUAACUAAGUUAUGGUAAGGAGAUACCUAUGGAGACAUGUAUAAUGAUAUCUUAAAUCUUUUUUUUCCAUAAAUGGGGGUAAGGCUAGCCGACAUUCACCUCUCCCAGACCCUGCCUAAAGCGGGAGCCUUGUGCACUGGGUACGACCUGUUUUCUUUUGAAAAGACAGUAUCUCAGGUUUUUAUCUGCUGCCUCACUUUUAAUAAAAUAACUUUGAUUUUUUGUUUGAGCUCUAUAUUUGUUUGAAGUGAUGCCCAAUUGACCAUAAGUAUGUCUAAUAAAAGUUAAAUUUUUUGCCAAGUUGUUCUUGCUGGGCACGAUUUCCAGGAGACAAGACUAGUGAACCUUUAUGCCCUCAGAAGAAAUUGUCUAAGGGGCCCUUAGUUCUAAUUUGCUUAAAGAAUUGAUUUGCAAUGUGAAUACAUCUAGUGCUUUCUUACAUGCAAUAAAGCGUGGCAAGUUAAAGACAGAUCAUGAAUAAUGACAACAUAUACUGCCUUACGUGCUUAGACUUAUCCUUUUAUCAUUCAUUAAGUAGAAUGAUCGCUCUUUAAUUGUUUUCAGGAAGAUGCUAUGGAUGGUUCAUAUUUCAAUUUCAACUGUUGAUGAACUUCUCUGAUAUUUCCUCUCCAUUUUAUCUUUAGAUUCCACACCUUCGAGAGCUUGGUAUCAAUGCAGUGGAAUUGCUGCCUGUCUUCGAAUUUGAUGAGUUUGAGUUUCAGAGGCGACCAAAUCCUAGAGAUCACAUGGUAUUUAAAUCAACUUCUCUCAUUUGUUUACUGAAGUUUAUAAUAUAUACAUUGCUGUAGCUUUCCUUUUAACUUCUCUUCAUAGUCGGAGAUGAAAAUCUGGAUGUUAUCACUGUCACGAAGAGAUGCUAGUGACUGAUAAGUAGGAUACCCUGGGUGGUUCUGAAAUUAAAACUUGAUAUCCAAGAUGUUUCAACAAGAUGAUAUUUUGAUUAUUUUUUGUGAUUUACAUGAUGAACUCCAAUCAGCCGACCCCACUUAGUGGGAUAAGGUUUGGUUGUUGUUUGUACGUAAGGAACUCCAAUAAAUUGAACAUUGAAUAAUUGUUGUGUAUUUUUCUUUUUCUGAAUUUUAAAGCCUGUAAGCAUUAACCGUCAGCCUGGCAAGCGAUCUAAUUUGUUUACCAAUGUGUGUAUAUGGCUUCUUUUGCUUUGAAGAUAAAUACCUGGGGCUACUCGACAAUAAAUUUCUUUGCUCCUAUGAGCCGCUAUGCAAGUGCUGGUGGAGGACCCGUUAAAGCUUCUCAGGAAUUUAAACAAAUGGUUAAAGCCUUGCAUGGUGCUGGGAUAGAGGUAAAUUAUGUCUUUUCUGCAAUUUUCCUGUUAUUGCAGUAGUGAAACUUUAUCCUUUUGGACAGGUCAUUUUGGAUGUUGUCUACAAUCAUACUAAUGAAGCUGACGAUGCAAACCCCUAUACAACUUCAUUUCGUGGCAUAGAUAAUAAGGUGAUGUCACACUUCUGUUACACUAUUUAAGUUACAUUAUUUCAUGAACUGACCAUAUGUUUUAAUCCCCAAACCAUAUGUUUUAAAUUUUAAUCCCCAAACGGUUGGAAUUAUGGCUGAGAUAAACUAUAUUUUACUGCCAUCAAAUAGAGAAAAAAUUUCCUUGCACCUCCUAGGUCUAAAAGACUGGAAUUUAGUCAACUAUAUAAGAGCGAACUGAUUCUUUUUAGUCUUUAUAAAUAUCGUGCAUCUAAUCUAAGCUAGAAUUUUGCUAAUAAGGAUAGGCUACAACUGUUUAGGGUUCUGAAUUUUGGAGUGUACCUACAUUUUCUAAUUCGGAGUUUACCUACAUGGUUCCCUUGUCGAAUAAAUUUCUGGCUGUGGCAGGAUGUACAACUUUAAAAUACUGGACAUCUAUUUUAAAAUAAGUUAUUGUAUUCAUUAUAUCAGAUAUUCUUUAUAAAUGAUGCGUCCUACGCCUACAGGUUUACUACAUGCUGGACAUGAACAACAAUGGCCAAUUACUGAACUACUCUGGCUGCGGUAAUUCAAAUGUCUUUUCUAACUGUCUUCUUACCUGUAAAUUGUCUCUUGCUGCUGCUAUAGAGAUAUAUAUUAAAUGAACUUUCUACUCUCUUUUAUUAAUUAUCUGUCUCAUCUGCAAUUGAUGGAUAUUCUGACGGUGCCUUUUUAUCAAGUUAAGGUGUAUGGAAUGUUUUAUACUAUGGAUGUGAUACAUUAUAUACAUAUGGGAUGGUUAUGUCAACGAAGGGCAAGUAUAUGUAUUUCACUAAACCGAAGCAAACUUUGAAAGUGACGAAAUUUAUGGACUGUACUGCUGGAUUUUGGAUGCAAAACAGGAUUUGACUUUGUGCUUGAAUAAAGGUUAAAACUAUUAUUGUUAACAUGUGAGGUUCUAAGAUUUUGUUUUCUGUUGGUUUUCAGGGAACACAUUAAACUGUAACCAUCCUGUUGUCAUGGAGCUCAUUCUUGACAGCUUAAGACAUUGGUAAGGUCACAAUUCAUAGAGUACUAAUUUAUCUUCUUUUGUUUUUUAAGAACAAAGGAUUGCAACGUAUAUGUUUUUUAACCUAUUGUGUAGCCACCUUCAAUCUGUUGUCAUUUCUAUUCAUCUGGUUAAAAAUGUCCUAAUUGUAUUUGUGAUGUCUUUUAUCAUGUAACACUUAUAAACUUAUCCAAAUGUCAUAUAUGACAUAAAAGUCUAUGGCUUUAGCCCCUUCCUACUCCCUAAUACCUUCUUUUUCCUUAGUACUUUCAUGGAAUUAUACCUUCUCCCAUGAUUCAGGCAAAGAAUUAAUAUUUAGCCGAAAAUGACCGACCCAUAAUUUAAUUUAAUAUUGUUGAACUUAAGUCAGCCAAUCCAAAACCAAUUGGCAAUAAGCCCAAGAGUUUGUAUAUUGUGGUGCAAGACUUAGAAUUCCCGAUUUGGGAUUUUAUAUUCUCAUUAAGCCCCGGUCCGUGUGGCUAGACUCAACCAAACAAGUAGAUGUAAAAAAUUGGGUGAUGUUGAGCAUGUGUGACCAUAUUGGGCCGGACAAUAAAAAUUGCCUGUUCUGGUGUCAUGUUAGUAUUAGAGCAUGCAGCCCUAACUUAGAAUUUCCAAUAUAAGAGUUUAAAAUUGUCUACAUAAUUGACUAAUAUAAUAUCCAUUGUCUCAUAAAUGGUCUUUAUUCAUUGAUUUAUAUACUGAAUAGGUAGUUCAUAUCAAGCUUCAUACUUUAUCGUUUUUAAAAAUUUUCAGGGUUGUUGAAUAUCAUGUAGAUGGGUUUAGAUUUGACCUUGCCAGUGUUCUUUGUCGGGGAACAGAUGGAACUCCUCUUGAUGCACCACCAGUUAUUAGGGUAAGUUAUCUGCAAAUACACCCAUAUGGAAGUUCUCUUCAUAUAUCUAGUUUUAAAUCAAUAUCUUUGUUAUUAUGAAUUCCUAAAAAUAUGUGUUGUUACUUUUAUAGUUACAAGUUUGUGGCCAUUGCUAUGGGCAUAAUUAUAUGUGCUUUUCUAUGUAGAUUUGCCUUCUAGUUAUUGAGUGGAGUUCUAGAAACUUAGUUGUGUGAGGAUUGACUUAGCCUUGUUUGUUGGACCAGGCUAUUGCAAAAGAUGCUAUCCUAUCAAGAUGUAAAAUCAUUUCCGAACCUUGGGAUUGUGGAGGCCUUUAUCUUGUUGGAAGAUUUCCAAAUUGGGACAGGUAAUUCAUGUUACAAAUGUACACCUCAUCAUAGUUAUGUUGGAGACACUGUUAACCUGAGAUAUCUACAAAUAAAAGUACUUUAUUCUCAAAGAAAAAAGAGGAGACUAUGUUACACCCUCUAAUUUUAUUUCUGUUUCUUUGUGAAUAAAGCUGACUUGCCAGGAAAAUGUAACAAUUCAUUGUCUCCAUCAAUAGCUGAGUCUUUUGCUUCUGGAUUAUGUUUUUUUUCCUUGUCGUGCUUCACAUUGUAUUUAAGGACCACUUCUUGGUCUGUAUUGUUACGAGUUGUGCAUGGGGUGUUUCUAUUGUUUGGUUAAGGAUGCAAAUAUUGAUGUUGGUGGAAAUAUCAGAAAUAUGCGUAAAAGUUAAACUUAAAAACAUGAUAAUUUUGAAUUGAAGUUUAGGAAAUAACCAAUUACUGAUGCAUCAAUUAAACAUGUGGUUCUACUGGCUGGUUGAUAGGAAAUUACAGAUUCAUUGUAAUGCUUGCAGAGGAGUACGUGUCUGAAACCUGUACUUUUAGUAACAGACAUCAAAGAGCUUAAGACUUUUAGAAAAACUGGAUACGAUUACUACCAGAUUGGUUGUUUAACUUGCUUAUUUGUUUCUUUAAUCGACCAACUCCUAGACUAUCACAAAGUUUCCUCUCUGGAUAAACAAGCCCUUGUACAUAGACUUGCAUCAAAAGGUUUAAUCUUGGACUUUCAAGGCGUUGUUCUUUGUUAGCCAAGUUGUAUCUACUAUGUACUGUAUCCAAGAGAUGUCGAACAUUAUCAUAUCCGUGAGUAUGUCAGGGAUCGGCUGUAUGCAUUUUAGAUUAUUAUUAACAAGUGUGGUAUUGCAGCCACAAGAAAGAAACAAUGAAAAGCAAACAGAUGAUUUUAAAUGUGGGUUUCUAGUUGGAACUUUGACAAGGAAAAAAAAAAAAGGUCGUACCCAGUGCACAAGAUUAAGGGUUUUAUCUUACAUUGCCGGUCCCAAGCCCGGAUAAAGGAGGAGGGGGAGGGCGUCAGGUAGUAGACAACCGGCACUCCUAAGUUACGUCGAAUCCUUAUGAAAAUGAAUCCAAAACGAAAUCGAGCUAAAGCUAGGGCGUCACCAGUAAGUGGCGCGUUGUGUGGCCCGAGCACAGUGAUAAAUGAGCAAGGGUCGCUGUUUUCCCCACUUAGUGGGAAAAGGCUUUGUUGUUGUUGUUAUAUUUCAAUAUUGGUAGAGACGUAUUGUUCUCUCCCUCACAAUAUAAGAACUCAGAGGUUGGCUUCUUCUUGGGAAGUCCUAAUUUGUUUCUUUCACAUGGUGGGCACUCUUUUUCUCUUUUGGCCCUCACAGUUUUUCAGAGGUUAUGCUCUCAUUAGAGUAAGUCCCAACUUGGUUACAUUUUCGUUGCACUCCCUUUUGGUGUUUGAUGUUUUCUUUAACACUUUUCCACCAAUACACGUUACACACACUUUUUCGUAGCUAAAGCAAGCAUCCACUAGGAGUCUAGGACGAAGGACUUUGCAACCAUCCGAUACAUCUCAUUAUGAAGGGAUUAAUUUGUUGGAGCUCUCAUUUAUCCUAUUCCUAGUUACAAUAACAUAAUCAAUACAAGAGAUUAAUUUUAACAUUCCGGACCUAUGAACCAAUAUCAGUGCUUUGCAGACAAAGUUUCUUUGCGGGGAUAUACUAAAAAUAGAUGAUUGAAAAUUAUAGCUUUAUCAAUGAGAGUCACAAAGUAUGUUAAUUUGUGAGAUUCUGAUGUUACCUUUGCCCUUUUGAAGCGCACUCGGCCUUAUACCUUUUCCUUUGAAGAAGUUAUAGCUUCUUUUUUCCCAUCAUCAAUGUUAUAAAUCCUGGUAAAUGGCAAGCCUGUUCCAUGAAGUAUCUAGUAGUAUAAGGCACCUGAUAUUAUCAACUUUAGUUAUGCACCAAUUUGUUUGUAAAGAUCUUUCUAUGCCUGCGAAAGUUUGGAUGGCUCUCCUCUGUUACUUAUGAGAUCCCUUUAAUGCAGGUGGGCUGAAUGGAAUGGGAAAUAUCGUGAUGAUCUAAGGAGAUUUAUAAAGGUAUUCCCAUGAAACAACACUUGCCUUAGAUGGUCUAUAGCUUAUCCGCGUUGUUAACUUUAGUGCAAAGUACAAGAACUGAUAUAAGAGCAAAUACUGAAGUAUGUGUAUGGAUUAUAAAUCAAAGGGAUUUCCUCUCAAUUGAAUCCAAAAGAGGCUGAAUUUGAUAAGGAAUGGUUUGCAUAAGAUUGAACGGGUUCAUCUAUUUAUAUUGGUGGAUGCUUUCUGAAGCUUUUCCAUAAACUGAUGCAAUGGAAUAAAUUUUUAGUAUACAAUGCUGUUAGUCAUUAUUUCUUUUGACUUCCAUGAUCCCUUUUCUUUAGCGUUGCAUUUAUGUUUCUCUCCCUCUUUUUCUUGGCAUGAUUUUAACUUUUUAUCGUUGUUAUUAUUUGUAGCAUCUUAGCACCACUUUCUUGUAUUUUAUUGUGGUGUUUAGGGAAGCUAAAGAAACAUUUGGAUUGUAAAUUACAUAGAACCACACACACAUACGCAAAACAUGUACCUAUUUAUUUAUAUUUUUAGAUUUUUUUUCAUUGAAUUUCCUUUAUACAGGGCGACUCUGGUAUGAAGGGAAGUUUUGCAACUCGUGUUUCUGGGUCUGCUGACCUUUACAAAGUAAGUAUUUUCAUCAAUACUAUUGCAUUAACUACUGUUUGCCGUUUACUAUCAUUUCCUUUUCUUUGUAACCAUCAAUUCGGUAUUCUUGAUGUUUGCCAUGCAAACUUGUUAAGCUUUCUAUUCUGUGUUUUGAAUUUCAACUGGGAUGAUUUGCCCCCAGCUUAAAAUUCAAUGAAAUUGAACAUGGAGAUGGGUUCAUUAUUGGGAUCAAAAACUUAUCCCCCAAGAUUUAUCGUCUCUGGUGAUACCCCAUUACAAUCAAAAGAAUGGAAUGCCUUAUAUUUCAUAUUGAGGCAGCCACACAUCUUUCUGUUCUGAAAAUGAUCUUUUUCUCCACAAACUAUCUUGAUUGCAUCUGGUCUCAUCACCCUCCUUACUGAAACUUUUUAUUGUGAUGCAACCAAAGUACCCUCAUGCUCAUGCUUAAAAUGAUUGAAUGUGUUUUUUUUCCUUUCUCGUUUCUACAAUACCCCAAAACUCUUUUUUAAGUUUAUGGUUUUAUUCUAUCAUCUGGAAUAAUAGAAAGAUGUAGAGUAUCUGAUUUCACAACCUUAAACUACAAUUAUUAUUUCUUUUGUUUUAGGAUAAGGGUUUGUUGUUGUUGUUGUUGUUGUUGUUGUAUGGUCAACUUAGCAACAUCUUAAUCUGGAUUUGUAUUAUUUUACUCGCUCUUGUUCAAAAUCUGUGAAUUUGUUUGGAUUUAAUGCAAGGUCUCGUUACAUUUUCUCACUAUUUUCACUUAUUCCACAGGUGAAUAAGCGCAAACCCUAUCACAGUGUUAAUUUUAUUAUUGCGCAUGAUGGGUUCACUCUAUAUGAUCUUGUUUCAUACAAUUUCAAGGUACUUCAACAGUUAAUACAUCAUUUUGUUUUUUUUGUGUUUUUGGUUCAUUUAAGGCUACAUCAUCCACUAUGUCCCUUCAUUGUUGAUUUUGUAGCACAACGAGGCUAAUGGAGAAGGAGGAAAUGAUGGAAGUAAUGAUAAUUUGAGCUGGAAUUGUGGUCAUGAAGGUAGGGCUAACUUCGGUGCUUUCUCCUUGAUAUAUUUUGUUAUUAUUCCAGCUUUAGUGUAUUGGCAGGACAGAACAUUUGUAGUCAAGGCCACAGGGUAUCAAAAUGGAUCCAUCAUUUUCAAUUUCAAGCUAGCAUUGUAUUAGUCAGUGUAUUGGGAAGGCCUGGGAGGGGGUGGUUAUUAGUACCAAUACUACAGCUGAAAAAUAAAAGUUCAUGUCCUAUCUCUUUUGUCUUUGGUCUAUCAAGGCAUUCGAUUUGGUGUUUAGUGAACUUUCCAUUUCCAUGUUAUGUAAAACCACAAAGUAAAUAAGUAUGGUGUAGGUGCAAUUUCGAGUAUUGCACAUAUAUUCUGUAAGAGGAGAUGAACUUACUCGUGCAAAUGGGACAUGGCAGUCCUCUAGUACUAUCAUUGUAAUUACAAUGACGAAAACUUAAACUACCAUGGCAUUUAGGAAGUUAGUGUAGAUGACAAAUUAUAUUUAAUUGUAAUUACAAUUGUCGUGUAUAAAUGGGUACUGCUUAAUUGAAAAAUUAUAUUAUAAUUUGUCCUUGCGGCUUUAGUUUGUGUAUACCUUUGUUUGUGUUUCUUGCAUGUGUUGAAAUUUCAAUUUUUCCAUUUAUUGGACAGGAGAAACUGAUGAUUCUACUAUUAAAGCUAUACGCUCCCGCCAAAUGAAAAAUUUUCAUUUGGCAUUAAUGAUAUCCCAGGUAAGUUUAUUCAAAAUCUAACUUCACGUGUCAUUUAUGCACGCACUAUUUUGUCCAUUUGAACUAUUUUAGACUUGUUAAGUUCAGAUACAUGGUCUCAAAAUUCAGAUUUAACUUUAUAUUUUCCGAAUCUGGAAGCUUUGAAAAUUAUUAUGCCCCUUGUAACGGGGUCCUACCUGGGGCCUUUUUUCUGCCUGUUGAUUGGCAGUAAAUAGACUUAAACCUCUGGUAUGAUCAUGUACUCUUGCUAGACAAUUCGUUUUCGGGUCUAGCAGCAUUUAUAUCUUUAAAAUACUUAAUUUGCAAUAUUGUCACUUGAGCGCAUUUAGUGCUGAUGUAAGCUUCUGAAUGCACUUGACCAGGGAACCCCAAUGAUGCUGAUGGGGGAUGAAUAUGGGCAUACUCGACAUGGAAAUAACAACAGUUAUGGACAUGAUACUGCUCUUAACCAUUUCCAGUGGGGACAGGUAAAUUGUUUUGUUUUGUUUUUUUUUUUUUUUUUUUUGGAAACUAGUAAAUUGUUUUGUUUGGCUUUUGUUCAACUUUAAUCUAUGACUGGCAUGAAAUAAUCUUUUUGGCAUGGCAGUUGGAGGCACGGAACAACAAUCACUUCAGGUUUUUCAAGGAGGCAAUAAAGUUUAGACGAGCACAUCGUGUAUUUGGUCGUGAAGCUUUUCUUGAGAAGGUACUCUCCUUUUCUUUUUGUUUUAUUUCUUAUGCAUUCAUGCUUUAAUUUUAACUUAAAAGAUUACUUCCUUGGAAGACUCAUUGAACAAUUAUUUGUGUAGCAUGAUGUGACAUGGCAUGAAGACAACUGGGACAACUAUGAGAGCAAAUUCCUUGCAUUUACGUAAGGACUUAUGCCUAUCUUCUUUGUAAAGUACAGAUAGAUGGUACCGUAAGUUUGAUUUUUCUUUCAAGAUAUUUCAUGAGGGGAGUGGCAUGGUAUUUUCAUUGUGCGAUUUGGCCUUGGAAUCACGAUCUUGCUUAUUGAGUUAGAAAACAAAGUGGAUGAGUAAUUUUCUUAAGUGAUCGUGUCUUGCUUCAAGGUGUCCUUACGUUUGAUGGCUGUUGGUCCUUAAUGCGGUUUUGUACUUUUGAGCAUGUGCUGUUAAGUUAGAUACUUACCACCUAGAAAAGCAUCUGAUUUUCCCUUAUUUUUUCCUCUCUGCUAACAGCACGAUCUUCGACUUGUUUCUAUGGCUUGAUGUAUAGCAUUUUCCGUUUUCUGUUUUUUCUUAUUCAAUUUUUAUUUCUCUUUAUAGAAACUUUAACCUUCAAGGUCAAAGUUCAAGACUGUUAAAUGCAUCAGAAACAUAUAUACUGAAACUUUUGUUUUGCAGGUUUCAUGAGAGUAGUGAAGGCGACAUCUAUUUGGCAUUCAAUGCUCAUGACUGUUUUAUUACAGUUCCAAUACCGGCACCACCAGUAAAGAGGAGAUGGUUUCGUGUGGUUGGUUUUAUUCCCACUUCUGCAUAAUCCUUUGUUUUCUAGACGGUGUUCAUAAAAAAACCCUGCAUUUUUACUAUAUAUAGACCUUAGAUAAUCUUAGUCAUAGAUUGCCACUUCAAUUAGUUUUUGCUUUUGAUUAUCAUCCCUCAUGUACCAUUAUCAUCCAUUUCUAAACUCAACUGAAUAGAAGUCCUGUGGAUUGCAGGUUGACACGAAUCUGGAGUCUCCCAAUGACAUUGUGCCUGAUGGCGUCCCGGGCAUUGAAGGCACUUAUAACAUGGCCCCCUUCUCCUCAGUUCUUCUUCAAGCAAAGUGAUAGAGAUAACAUCAGAAGCUGCCUGCGGGUGAGUUUUCCAAAUAAGCUGGAUUAUCUGGAAGCUGGGUGAAGCAUUCGGGUUCUUGCGAUUUAGAACAAUAUUUUCUAUUUUCAUAUUUAAAGUCCUUGAGCCCUAGAGAUGCAUGUUCAUAUGACGGGGGCCAAUAAAGUCAGUACAGAGUAGUUCAGAUCACCAAUAAGUGGUACAACCAGCCUCAACCAUGUAUUUGCUGGGAGCUAUGAGGGCAUGUAAUUACUAGAAAUAAACGAGGUUUAUAGUGAACUUACAUAUGGAGAAAUGAAACACUUGUAACUUAAUCGAUAUCCAAAACUUUUCGUAUUGAAUUCGUGUAUGUUAUCAAAGUAUUUGAAUUGAAAGAUCGAUUUAUUGUUCGACCUUUUUGUUAAGUUGUACGGUCAUCCAAUGAUACAAUUCAGGUUCUAUUACUACUGUUAUUUCAUCUUAUGAACGACAAUGACUGAGGAAAAAGGAGAAAAUCAAGCUGCUUUGUACACAAGCUGUCCCAUGGAAUCUGGGUUUCCGUUCUCGUCGGAAGACAUCUGACGCGGCAGCUCAACAAAGAUAGUCUCUUGAGGAGAUAUGCAAGCAUAACUUUACACUAUUGACAUGUUCUUUGGUGAAGUUGAAAUGGUAAAUGUAGACGUAACAGUCACCGUACGCAUUUCGUGAACAUGCUGCAUGUGUCUUGCCACAUGAUUGGAAUAAAUGCAUGGUAAGUAGCGGACAUUUAGACAAUCCAUCUUCAUCAAGAACAGUGAAGAGAUUGUUGGUAUAAACAUUUAUGAGAUAUAAAAGUGGACAUGUUUUGGGAAUUUCCAACUCUCUGCAGUCUACAUCCACUUUUGCAAUUAUACAAGCGACCAACGAAUUUCCAACCGUGUGUGUUCGGCAUUACCAACUGUUUGCGAGACAAACUUUUAUGGAACAGACUUAUCGUCAUAGUGGCUUUUUGAAUCAUUCGCUAAUACAAAGUUAUGUUGGACUUUUUAACGGUUUGGGAUGCUGUAGUGGCGGUCAGCACGUUCUACCCAAAUCCUUAAUGUUUGCAAUCUACAUCUAGAUGGAGUCGUUCCUCUCUAACCGUGAAUUUAUGACUGAAUAACAUAUAUAGUAACUAAUUAAAGUUUUUAUUUUAUGUACAUGUCAGACUGUGAUUUGUUUGUAAGGAAAAAUGACUCCUUCUGAAGUACUAUUGGAAUCAAAUCUAUGUACCAUCGUGAAUGAAGGAAUUGUCCGUGAAUGCCCACCUACAGACAAGAACAAACGAUUGUAGUUAACCUAAGGUACCAGUGUCGUACCGACCACAGGGUCUCCUAUGGCCAAGUUAAUAUAAAAUAUUCAAACUCAAAUAGUGGCUAGAGAGCAAAGUAUGCGAUGAAAAUAUUAUUGACGAGUCCUAAGUUGGGUAUUUAUACUAGUUGGGAGAGAGUGCUUUUAGGAUAUAAAAUCCGCAUUCAACCAAGAGAAUCCUAUAGGAUAUCUAGCAUAAGAUCUUACUUCCUUUUAAGAAUGUGAUUUUGCGGCGCACAUUAAUCCCUAAAUUGUAGGAAUCUCCAAGAAUAUAGGAAACCAAUCUAAUCCCCGAACGAAUUAGGUUUCCGUGUCUUGCUACCAAUGUAUUAAAAGGCGAAGGCGUAGGCGAGGCAUCCCAUGGAUAGCCCCACCUCGCCUCAUGGUAUCUAAAAUUUAUAUAUAUAUAUAUAUAUAUAUAUAUAUAUAUAUAUAUAUAUAUGUAUAUAAUUCUUUGUAAACAGAUAUAAUUAUAACUAAAUCAAAGAUUAUAUCAUCUUCUUUAUUACUAAGUCUAAUUGUACUUAGAAACUAUGUCAAAAUGUCUUAAAAUGUUAUGUAUUAUUUAUUUUAUUGUAAGCAAUGAUAGAGAACUUCAAGAGAAAUAAGGGUGAGUGACCACAAUUAUAGAGAAUUUCAAGGAAAAUAAAAGAUGAAUGUCACAAUUACAGGGGAAUUUAAAAUGAAAUAAAGACUGAGUGGAGCAAUUAUAAGGGAUUAAAAAGGAAAUAGCGGAGCAAUUAUUAUAGGGAAGUUAAAGGAAAAUAAAGGCUGAGUGGAGUAGUUAUAGGGCAUUGGACGAGAAAUAAAACUUGGCAAAUCAAAAAUGCUAGGUGGCGGAAUCUGAAUGGGCAACAAUUUAAAAAAAAAUAGAAAAGAGUUAGAGUUAGACUUUAUCACGUCAGAUUUGGAGAUAGUCUCUUGCAUUUUAGAAACAAACAUGGAUUUUGGAGGGAAAAAACGCCCUAGGCGCACCUCAACGCUGCCCUACACCCACCCCCACAAAACAGAGGCUAAAACCCAGCCGCCUAGGCACACCCUGAGGCGAGUUUUUCAAAACACUGCUUGCUACAAAUCUACGGGUCUCGCCAACCAUUCCAGAGUCAAUAGGGUGUGGUGCCACUGUUGGUCUUUAAGCAGCUUAAUCCAAUUGGAGUCAUUGCAUCCAUGAUUGGACUUCUAAGGUACUAGUAUUCCAAUCUACCUUACUUAGCAUAGUAAAGUUCAAGGUCCACCAAUGCCACUAACUAUGCUUUUGAAAAGGCAUUCUGCUUGAGGAUGGAUAGUUACCCAAGGACCAUGACUUUCGAAGUAGAUCAGAAUAUCUUACUGUUCAGAAUUCUUAUACAAGCGUCAAUCCAAUUAUGUUACCGAUGUGAAGUAGUGGAGAUGUUUGGAUUCAAGUGUGCAAUCUUGUAGGUCAUACCAUUAAGACAGUAAUCAUGAUGGGCCAUCAUAUCAUGUGUGCAAGAAUCCUGAAAUGUUACUAUUGGAACUAAAUUCGUGCACCGAUAAGGUGGUGGAGAUGCAUAAAUUUGAAUAACCUAUAAAAGAGCAAACAACUAUGAGCAAGCCUAAGACUAAGGGUGUGCCAACCAAAGGCUUUCCGAUAGUCAAGUUAGUAAGCAAGUAUAAGAUUCAAGCAGUGGGCAAGAAAAUUAGAAUGUGAUGAUUGCGUUACCAUAGACGAGCCCUAGAAUGGUGUAUUUAUACCAGUUAGGAGAUAGACCUUUUUAGGAUAGAAUCAUGUACUAAGUCGGGAGAAUCCCACAUGAUAUCUAGGGGUAUUUAUUGCAUCCUCUUAGGAGUGUGAUUACUUGUGGUGCACACCAAUUCCUAAAUCGAAGGAACUCCAAGAAUAUAGGAAACUUGGUUGAUUCCAUGUUUUAUCAGGUUCUUGUGUCUUGCGGAACAAGUAUGGUCAAUCUCAUCAAAGUCGCUCGAACUUCGCCCACUGCUCCAAAACAUGAUGAUGGUGGCAUUACACAACCACACGAAUAGAAAAUUGGUACUCAGACAAAAGCAAGUAGCCAUUUGAAACUUGGAAACAGCAGCCAACUAGGUCCACAAACCACAUCCAUUGCCAGUCUACCAGCACACUUCGUUGCAACCCACCUUUGCCCCAACCACUAGUCAUCAGCCACCAGGCUCACAUCUGGCCACCGUAAUUUUUGAGGUAAAACUCUAAUAUUUCAAAUUUAAAUCCCUAAUUGACAAUCUAAAAAAUUGGAUUGAUUAUUGAUUAGUUGAAUUGUUGUUUGAUUAGCUAGCUGAAUUUUUGUUUAAUAUAUAUGAUUAUUGAUUGUUGGUUGUUUAAUUUGAGAGAGAUGUAUUUACUUUUAUUGAUAAUGAGUUUGUUAUGCGACAUUUUCAUGACAUGAAGCAUUGAGGCAACAAUUGUAGCUUGUUUGUAUUGAUAAAUUAUGAAUGACAUUAAUAUUGUCUACCAUCUAAAAAGAAUUUAGUUGUCUCUAUUUUUUGUAACCUCGCACUCUUUUAAAUCCCCCCCCCCCGCUCCGCCGACAAUCUUUGACUUCACCACUGGUUGAGGGAUCGAUAAGUAAGAAAGUAGAGCUAAAGAAUACAAUUAUUUGAUACAAGAUGCUAGAUGUAAGUAUCUUAAUUAUCGUUCAGUUGGCCUUAGUGAUUUUUAUAUUAGCCAUGUGUCGUGCAUAAUGAUUUUUCAUUCUCUCGUAUUCUUUGUCAUGAAGAAUCUAAAAUGAUAUCGACUGUCACUAGCAUAUUACAGUCUAAUAACAUAUCUAUACUUAUAAGUGAAAAAUCUUAAGUUUGAAUCGCAUAACUUGAGGUUUAUAACCUAAUUAUUAUGACUAACUCAUUGUUGUAUUGGAUAAAAAUGGAGUAAGAUCAACCAAAGACAAUUUUGCAAUGCCAAUGAGGGUAGUAUGUUAUUAAAGGAAAAAAAAGAUUUUAAAAUGCGAAUAAGGUAGGGUUAAUGAUUGCAAUCCAAUUGAUUCUUUAAGGGGGCGUUUGUUUGCCCUCAUUAAGUGGGAUUGGACUGGACUGGACUAGCUGUUAGUCCAAUACUGUGUUUGUUCAAUGCUGGGACUAACAUUAAUGAGACUAGCAUGGACAAAACCCUUCACUAAGAGGUCUUAGCGAGACCCCCCAAUAAUCAUGGGACUAGCUAAGACUAUCCUCUCUCGUCCUCGUCAUGCUCAACAACCACUCCCGAUAGACUCUUCGUCAUCUCCGGUCACCUAGAUCAUAAUAAAAUAUUAAUAAUUUAUAUAUUAAAUAAUAUAAUAUUAGAAUUUGUUAUUAUCUAGCUUCUUAGUCCAACACUGCACCAAACGCUUCACUAAGUUAGUCCAGCUUAGUCUAGUCUAAGCCAGUCCAACUUAGUCCUUGAAGCUAGUCUAGUCCGAGAUAGUCCGGCGCAACAAACGCCCCCUAAGAGUCAUAUGAUGAUUAAGUUUUUCAACAUAUCGUAAGUUUGCCAAGUAAUCUGACCUUAACCCUAGAUGUCGGACUUAGACCUUGGGCCCCGACCUCUAAUUUUGACCUUAAAUUCGAGGUUCUAACAUUUAAUUUCAUACGCCAAUUUAGCACGAAUUUGUUAUUAGGUAAAGUAAUUGAUUGUAUGAAGAGGUUGGGCCUAAACUUAGACCUACAGAGCAAAUUCUAUCCACCGUGGAUUGAGUGAUUAACCCUAAUUUAUUCACAUUUUAAAAUCUUUAUUUUCCUUUUGUUUACAAUGAAAAAAUACUAUACGGUAUAAAUAUAGGGUAGUACUAUUCAAAUAUUAAUUUUUACUUCUCACAUGUCGGUCUUAGUUUUCGAUCGUCAGAUCGAGUGAAUUAAAGAAGAUAAAUGAGAAAAAAAAUUAACAAAAAUGUGUAAGAAGCAAAAAUAAAUAUGUGAAUAACAGUAUCCUAAAUAUAGAACGACAUUUGUGUUUUUCAUAUACCCUCUUGAAAGUGGGAAAUAUAUACCAUAAAUAGCACGGAUAAUGCUACACAAUUACCAAAUUAAUUCAGAGGUUAAAAAAAUGAAAUUCUAUUUUUGAUAAAACAAAAAACUAGAAAAUCGAAGCAAAAUAUAAGAACACGUCGAUCAUUAUUGUACAUAAAUUUUCGGCUAAUAAAAGAAAUUCGAAAUAAGAAUUUUACCAGAAAAAAAACAAACGCGCUUGUAGGACUACCAAUAUGGACGGCUGGGAUUUCACCUGACCCAUAAUUUUUGCAAAAGUCUGGUCUUUCCAUACACGUUUACGGUGGCGCAUUCACCGUCAACCAACUUUAACGCAAACCCCACUAUAUAUACUCCUCCCUCCUGUCUUUCCCUCUCAACCCUGUCCUUGUCCAAAUCACAAACCCUCCUGCUCCCUCUCUCUCCCACUCUCUCUCCACCUGCCUGUGUUUUCUCUCUCCCAUACAGAACUCACAAUGGCAAGCUCUUCAUUCGGGUUGUUGAUGGUGACAGUGGCUCUCCUUGCCACCUCCGCCUUCGCCAACGAUAAGGCUCAAUCUCCCUCAUCGUCUCCCUCCCAAUCACCAUCCUCCACUCCUCCCCCAUCCUCCACUAAACCACCAUCAUCAACCCCAGCAGCCUCUGCCAAAACACCAUCCGCCACCCCAGCAGCGACCCCAUCCGCCACCCAAGCAGCUACCCCAUCCGCCUCCUCUAAGGCUCCCAAGUCUUCGGAUGCAUCCUCCUCUCCAUCCUCCGCCCCCACCACCUCCACCUCCUCCUCCUCCCCAUCCUCCUCCCCAUCAAGCUCUACAUCAUCCUCCUCCUCCUCCUCCUCCCCAUCCUCCUCCCCAUCCUCCUCCCCAUCCAGCUCUACAUCAUCCGACUCUCCACCCUCCCCACCCACCUCCACUCCCGCCUCCAGCCCAUCCACCUCCGACACCUCGGUUGCUCCCUCCGAGUCGACUACUUCUGCUGAGGCUCCCGCCCCAUCUGGAGCCGCCGUGAACAGAGGCUUCGCUGCCGGAUCCGUGGCCGCCGUCGUCAUUGCGGCGUCGUUCUUGGCCUAGAUGUGCUUUGCGGACGAGGCCUUUUUCCGCUGUUGGGUCACCGAGAGAGAGAUUCGGCGGGCGGAUCUUGAGUUUCGUAUAUUAGCGGGUAGAGUUUAACUACUAUUUUUGGUUUUAUAGUUGUUAUAGAGUGGGUUAUUAUUGGUGAUGGAGAUAUUAUUGGACGGUGUUGAUUUGAUCGGACGGGGGUUCUGCGGCUGAUGAUUUACUCCAUCGACCUUAAUUAUUAAUUAUAAUUAUUAUUAUUACUUGAUCAUUCCCGUUGCUAAUGAUGAUGACUAUGGAAAUUCUUUUGUUAUGAUCUAAUGAUAUAUAUCAUUAAUUAUAUCUAAUUCGUUGAGUUUAAUAUCUUUGAUUUAAGCAUGAAAAAUGCUAAGAGACUCUUAUACAGUAUUUACAUUAAUUUUCGUGCUUAUAUUAUAAAAUAAUAUGUUAAAAAUAUGAGUUAAUAAAGAAUUUAUGAACAAUCUUAUUUUUAAAAAAUACUUUCUUUCUUUUUUUCAUUUUUUUUUGUGUGUAAAAGAGAAAAUUGGACUCUUUAACUCAUUGGAUAACUCUAGAGGAUAGAAUUGAGUAAUGCUAAGAAGACAAUAUUUGAAGACAAUAUUUUAUAAACUAAAUUAUAUGGAGGGUUAUGAUUAGAUUAUUACUUAAGUAUUAUAAAUAUGCUCAUUUUCAAUCGGUGAUAUAUUAUUUAAUUUGUAAAUUUUAUUUACAAAGUUUGUCUUCCUAACAUUACUAUCUGAGAAGCACAUUAGAUUGCUUCGUUUGAAUAAUUAAACAAUGUGGGUAAAGAUUUUAAAAGCCUUCGUUUAUCAUUUACUUAUUAAUGGAAAUGAAUUUUCUUUGGAUCUUUUUCUACUUAAUCCAUCUAGUUCGAGAUCUUGACAGUUAAAAUUUGAUCCAACGAUUACAAAUAAGAAACUCUCUUUAAAAAUAAUAAUAGUAGUAACCGUUAGAUUAAAUUUUAACAACAUGAAUUCCAGGUGGAAAGAGAUCCUUGAAUUGAUUUGGUUUUUGUCGUUUGGUGAAGAAAAAGUAGAGCAACGGUCUCGAGAGCCACGUGGUUUGCGACAAACUGACAUGCAAAAAGCAACCCAUUAGCUUUGAGAAGAGGGUAGCUAGGUUAUGCUGGUUUAGUAUUAUUAAAUUUGUUAGACCUUUCGAUUUUAUAAAUUUGAACAGGCUACUAAAAAAAUGAAUAGAAUUUAUUGUUUAUGGUCGAAAUUGUUCAUAUCACAAAUCAUUCUAUAAAAACAAAUGAAUGAAAUUGGUAAAAAUAUUACGAACCGUCUAUAUAUUUGCUAUAAUAGAUUGACUAAAUGAUCUAACUUUUAGUUUAUUUUUUGCAAAGAUGAUAUUUAUAAAGUGAUUCAUAAUAUAAAUAAUUAUGACCAUAAUCACGAAACAGUUGAAUAUCAGAGUGCGGAAUGAAUAAGACUAACAAAAUAAUAAGAAUAUUAUUAAACUAACUGAGAAUGCCGAAACGGCUAUAAAACUCUAAGGGGGCGUUUGUUUGCCAUCGUUAGCUCUCACUGGACUGCACUGGACUAACAGUCAGUGUAGUCCCAUGUUUGGUGUAGCAAGGGACUAAGUUAAAUGGGAUAAAGGGGGACUCGCUUUCACUUAGUCCCUCACUAGGAGGUCUUAGUGAGACCCUCCAAAAGGCGUCGAACUAGUAAGCCCGUCAGCUUCGCUUCGUCUCCGUCUGUUGCGUCUGCAUCCUGCUUCAUCUGCUUUUAAUCCUUUCCCGCAUGAUUUUUCCUCUCUGCCUCUCCCUUGCCUUAUCUGUUUGGACUGACUGCCCCACCCACCCCUAUAAAUCACAAAAUUCGAUUACUUACCACCCACCAAUCGGUCAGCUCGAUCCACAGCCCAUAUUGAUGUCUCCCAAAUGCCUCCCACCUCCUCAAUGCCUCCCAGAUCAUCCUCCGCGACCUCCAAUUUCAUUACCUCGCUGCCAAGUGCUCUCUCUCUCACUGCUGAAAUUAGGAAAUGGAUUCCCUUUUUUGCUGAUUUGGUUCAAUGUUUUGCUUGAAAUUGGUUUUCCAUUUGUCGAUUUUUGGAUUUUGUGGUUGGGUUUUGGUUCACUUUGACUGCUGAUGCCUGGGCGAAUUGAGAGCAUACUCCAGGAAUUGUCUUUGGCAUCACUUACUAUCUCUUUCAAUUUGUGGCUCAAUACAAUUUUUGGGCUCACAUUUUAGAACCUCAGAUGGCGACGGACAAAAGGAUUACAAUACAAUUUUUUCCCUAAUUUUAUUUUUUUAUUUUUUUAUUGGGUGGCUUUGUGAGAAAUUUAUUAUUAUGUUUUAAUUCUGAGAAAUUGUUUGGUUUUGUUUGAAUUGGGCAGGUAGAGAAAAGUGGAUUUAGUUAAUUUCAAUAAUAUCUUUAAUAAAAAAGCAAUUAAAAUAUAACAGUAAUGUAGUUCUAGUCUGAGCAAACACCAAACUGGUGACAAUAUUGUUUUCAUUAUCCUGCUUCUUAGUUCGACACUACACCAAACGCUUCACUAAGCUAGUCCAGCUUAGUCUAGUCUAAGCCAAUCCAGCUUAGUCCCUGAAGCUAGUCCAGUCCGAGACAGUCCGGUGCAACAAACGCACCCUAAGAGACUACAUUGUGAAUGACUUGAUAUUCUACGAGCUACAAAGCAUCAUAUAUAUAGAGAACUAACAUAACCCUAAUAAGCAAGAAAGCAAAACUCUAAUACUAAUGGGCUAAGCCCAAAUUCAAACAAUAAAAUAAUCCUAAAUUCCAACACCCCUCGUCAAACUCAUGACGGUACACUUCAUGAGUUUGCCAACAAGCAGAUGUGGAUGCAAGCUUCGUUAGGUGAACAAAAUAAGGCAAGCUCUGUUAGACGAACACGACAAGGCAAGCAAACGAGCAAUCAAAUGAGCAAACGAACAAUCCAGGCUUCAAUCAACAAGGCCCAACCCAAGGCCUCCAAACAAAUCAUAAUAGCCCAACAAAUUGUGAGCUCCAUGCUUUUUUUUCUUUAUUUCCUUUUUUCCUGUUUUCUUUUUCUAUUUUUCGGCUUCUGUUUCCUUUUUCCCUUCUUCUAUUUGGGCAGUGUUGUCCAGAGAAAACAAAUCCGAGUGCAGGUAUGGAAUCUCAAUUUUGGGAUUCUUGAUGCGAUGGGAUAGCAGCGACGGUGAAGUGUAGAUCAAACAGGCAGCGAGGAUGCAGGUACGAUGCGAAGGUAGCGCAGUCAGUGAUGGGUAGAUGAUUUCACGGGUCUGGUGCGGAGGUGCAGGUGGUGCGGGUCAGAUCAAAGGAUGUGGAUGCAGUGCAGGAAACGGUGUGGUGAUACGGCUUGUGUUGGAUUGCAGGUCGGGUUCUACUGUAGAAGAAGACAAUGACGUGAUGCAGCAAACAGAUUCAGGCGGCGAAAUUUCAGGCAAUGGCAGUCGCAUGAUUGGAUGGCUUAGCGGCAGGGUGGAUUCGGACAGCAGAUGUGCUAGGUUUCUGGUUGCAGCGGCAGUAUGCAGAUGGGGUUUGCCGAUUUGGGUGAGAGUCAUCCAGGCAGCCCUGGAUGCGGUGAUGCAGCGGUGGGGCUGAAGGCUUGGCGCGACUCCGGCUCCAAACUUCAACAGAUUUUUUAUUUUUUUUUAAAACGACAAACAAAGGUUAACCCAAACCAAAAAACAAAAAGUUUCACAGAAUGAAACUGGACAAAACAAACAACGGAAUAGACAAAUUGAUACGAACAAAACAGAAGCAGAUUAAAUCUCGAAGUAUCAAACCUGCUCUGAUACCAAGUUGAAUAUCAAAGUGCGGAACGAACAAGACUAACAAAAUAAUAAGAAUAUUAUUAAACUAACUGAGAAUGCCGAAACGGCUACAAAACCCUAAGAGACUACAUUGUGAAUGACUUCAUAUAUAUAUAAUAUAUAGAGAAUUAACCUAACUCUAAUAAGUAAGAGAACAAAACCCUAAUACUAAUGGGCUAAGCCCAAAUUCAAAUAAUAAAAUAAUCUUAAAUUCCAACAUAAACUCUGUAAUGUGAUUUGAUGACAGUUCAUGUUGCUUAAAAAUGUGCAAUUAUAUUCCUCCAGUUUAGGAGAAAAACCUUAGUAGUGUACGCUCCUCUCACAAUGUUGCGUUGGUCUUACUCGGUAUGAAAGUUUAACAAGUGCAUGAAAAUUGUAUUUUGAUAUCACUUUACAUUAUGUUAUAUUUUAUGGGUGAAAAAUGACAAUGAGUGAGAUAACAAGACAUGUGGAACACAUCCAAAACUGUUAAUAUUGUGUUUGGGCCCAAAAUAACAGUUUGGGCCGAGUGUAGGGUCAUUCUCGGCCCGGGAGGCCUUGCGACAAGAAUACCACGGAUCGUUCAGUACGUGGGCCUCCAAACCUAGGUCGGCUAGGUCAUAACGCAAGAGGUCGAAUCCUAGUGCAAUAAGGAGUCUCGGCAGGACCCGGAAGCGAAUCCGGCUCAGGUAAAGGACUAGGUUCACAGUCCUAGUGAAGGUAGGACUGGUCGAGUUGAUGCUGAUCAGGGAAAGAAAACCUAGUCCGAGUAGGUUUUUAACUCGACCUUGGGGGGAGCCAUCGCUAUAAAUAGAAGAGGUUGCACAUCAUUCAAGCCCCUGCAAAUCAAUACAAAAUUGCCCUGCGCAAACUCUCACAACUUGUGAUUUUUCUUUUUCCUUUUUCGCUAACACAUCUUCCGUUGGCAUCAACAACACUGUGAAAGCAACCGGUGAUAUCUUAAGUCGGCAUAGAUAGCUCUGCCACCAUAGAAUCGAUCGGUCUUGCAGUAUCUUCCGUUGGCAUCAACAGCACUGCGGCGAGAACGGUUGAUUACCUAUCCAAGUCUCGGUCGAGAAGGGUUUCUGAACCCUUAUUGGUCGAGGUCAUCUCAUCAGCCUUCUCGGCGAAGUGAGGUGUUACAGUUAUUACAUUCGGCACAUUGAAAGCCGAAUUUGAUAUUGAACUUCGUAAGAAUAGUAACCUUGUCUUCAGGUUUGAGAGCCCAAGAGGCCGAGAUGUGUUCCUUUCUCGGCCGCAAUCGCAAGACGCAGAAGUCAGUAGCGCGACUCAACGCAACAUCAACAAAUUUACUCCUCGGCCGAGCUCGGCCGACGAGUUGGCACGCCCCGCAUUCACCGAAGGACGUAGUUAGCUCAUUAAUUACUCGGCCUGCGCGCCACGUAGGCUUUGUAGUUUUUAGGGUCAAUAUAUUGCUAUUUUACUAUAUAAACGUCAUAAUCGAAAUUAUUAUCUCGUUAUUAUAAUUUAAAUAUCACCUCGUGAACUUAGUUAGUGUUUUAGUUUGGAGGUAUUACUCUACAUUUGUAAGUAAGAAGUUUUAAAUUCAAAUUUUAUGAAUGUUUAUGCUAAUUUAUUCUCUCCCAUAAAAAUAUGUCAUUGUUUGAAACAAAAAAAACCCAUCUCUGGAGAAUUCAUUCAAUUUGAUGAGGAUUGUUUAAUCAUCCAUCUAAAUUAAUAAAUUAAUUAACAAUUCAAUUGUAAGGAUGCUACUUAUUAUUACAAUUGUACUGUCAAUUUGUUCGACACACACUGAUGACUAAAUUGUUUUUGAAUUAAAUAAUUAUUUUCAAAUGUCAUAAAUUUAAGUGAUGAUAAAAAAAAUGAUUGAUUUUGACUAUAACGUUUGUAUGAUAAAACGAUGUCACAUUAGGCCGGGAAGAAAGAUUUUCGUUCGUAGCGGAGGAGGAAAGUAUUAUUCAUAUUGAAAUGAGCUUGUGGAAUGAGCCCAAGCUUAUGGUUGGGAAAGCAAUGAGCCACAAAUGGUUCCAAUUUGCAGCCUUAAGAUGUAUUUAAUGAACUUGUUUUAAUAUCAAGUGGUGAACAGACAACUGCUUAUCAAUAGGAAGACGUUCUUCUUUACAGAUAAAUUACAAUUUGAAAUAUGCACAUAAAUAUUUAUUUGGUAAUUUUAAUUAGUUAAGUGAUGAGAUUUCUGAGAUUGUGGUUUGCAUGUUACAAUUCUAAUAGAAAAUGUAGGAUAUUAACACCUUAUAUAACUUAUCCCUUCUAAUUUUCCAAAAAUAUAAAAUUCCUUUGUACAUACUUUCAUUUCUUACUUUGACAUAACUUGAAUUUAUUAGUUUACUUUCAUUUCAUAAUUUGGUGUACUAGUUUGUGCAUCCAAUGGGUUUCAGUUCAGCUUGUGUGUCACAAUUGGGCUCCGACCAAUUCGGCCUUGUUUCCAAUGGGUCAAUGGCCCAGCUCGUUGCCUCUGUCAUUUUUAUUUCAUUUUCUCUUUACACCCAUCACAUUUCAAAGAAUUCAAAAGUUUUCAAUUUGAACUUUUUAUUCACUCACGUAAUUAUUAAUAAUUUUCUUUUGGUAAAUGAUGUUUGUUGAAUUACUCCAAGGUUAUUUUUCUUUUUUAAAUUUUCAUAUUUUUAAUAUUUUUAAUAUCAAAUUUCGAUGAACUACCAAAAUAAAAUCAGGAAUGAGAUUCAUUAUCGCUUACGUUUGGAAUGUUUACUUGCAUUAUAUUACAUUAAAAGGGUUGUUGAGUGAGAUGGGUUAGGGAAUCAUGGCCCUUCAAAAGCGAAGUGCAUAAUAUAUAUGAACCCUCAAUUAUGCUACAUAAAUGUAUCAUGGACCCUAAAAAAUUAUAAAAUCGGACUAAAUUAUAACAUAAGAAACUCAGAGUACUUAAAAUUAAACAAGAAGAAAUAAAAUGGCACUGCCUCUAUCCUGGCACUUAGAGUGAUAUCAUCUCACCAACCGGCCAAACUUAAGAAAGAAGGAACAUACAAAAACCAACCAAACUAAUGACACUCCACAAAGCCACAACAAGAGAGCUAGAGUGGCUAAUCCCAACACCAGUUGUUGAGGAUGUGGUACUUGCAGGGGUUGUAACUGUAGAGUUACCGCCGGAACCACCGGAUGCUGAAUUACUGGAUGGUGCUGCGGUUGAUCCUGACCCUACAGACACAGAAAGCUUCAUCCCCAUACCGCAAUGCCCAAUCGUAGCGCAAAUGUAGUUAUGAGUCCCGGCAGUCUUGAGGAGGAUGGUGGUGGCUCCGCUGCUAUCACUUGUAAUUGAAUUUCCCACAGUGCAUGUUUUGUAGUCACUAGCAGUCACUUCAUCCACCGUGUGUCCACUUCCAUAGUUGAAAACUACCAUGUAACAAAAAUUUAGGAAAAAUAUACACAAUUAGCUAAAACAUAACCAAAGUGGGGGUGCUUUUGUUCACUAGAUAUCUGAUACGUUAUUAGACCAUAAUUUUCACGCCUACGUAAUUCUCAAACCAUACUUUAAAACAAGAAUUUUCCUGAUCAACUAUUUAGAUUGAAAUCUUGUACGUAAUUCUCAAACUGUACUCAUUAAACAAGAGCUCCUCUAAUAAAUGGUCUAGAUGGAUAGUCUAUAUAUAACUUUCAAAUGGCACAUCAAAACAAGAAUUUAUCUUAUAGUCUGAUAGCAUAAACAUUUAUUUUGAAGCAUGUUCAUGAUAGUAUAAUUAAAGGGAUGUGAUAUCCACACACUCUAUUUUACUUCUUACACACCUUUUGAAUUUUUAGUCAUUGGAUUGAAUGAAUUGAAGAAGAUCAAUGGACAGAAAUUAUCAAGGAGUAUGUGAAAAGUAAAAUAGAGUGUGUGGAUAACACACCCCUAAUUAAAAGGGAAUAAGGAUUUUUACCUAGGCUGUCACCAACUUUAAAGGUCUUGCCACUAGUCCAAGUGGUAUAAUCCACUCCACUAGCCCACCCAGAGGAGUCUCCAACGGUGUAGACAGUGGCUACGCAGCUUGGCACCAUGACCAUGGCAACAACUAGGGCUAAACCCCCAAUUCUGGCCAUUUUUAAUGAGCUAGCCCAGCUACGACGAGAGAGAGAGGGAGAGAGAGAGAGGCCCUUUGUGAUGAUAAUUCUAUAGAGUGGAACUCACUUAUAUAAUAGCAUGAAGGGGGCUGGAGUAAGUAGGGUUUGGUCGACUUAAUUGAAAUGCAGCAUGUUCUGUCUAGGAACUCAUUGCAGGAUGACUUAAGUUAGACGUCAUACCUAAUGCUUUUCUUUUUAUUUCUUUUUGCAUUGUUAUUCUCCUAACUUUCAGAAGAAGAAAAAAAGAAAUAAAUGUGAUGAGAAAUAAGGCUAUCAUCAUCAAGGUUUGUUAUGAUAAAUAAUGUUCUAACUUCUAUCUUUUUGUUUUUUUUUUCAAACCCAAUUCUAAGCACCAAAGUGGACUAAUUAAAUUAAAAGAAAUGUGAUCGAAGGGGUGGUAUACUUUUAAUUUAUUAUAUGGCUUUGUUGGUAGACCUUUCAUCAUCUCUAUGAUGAUGGAUUGCGAAUUAAGAAAGGGUUAACACGUUAAGGUCAUAAGAGUUAUGAUUAAUGCCAAAUAGAAUCCAAUCUCCAAAGAUAAGCAUAUUUAGACACAAAAUAUUUGAAAGAUAAUCCACAUUUGAAAUUUUGUAGUCUUAUUGGAGAAAAAAAAAUGGGAGACUUUGGAUGCGGUCUCUAGUUAUGAAUAUUCUUUGACUGAAACCUUGUUGGUUUUCAAUUUUUGAUCGAAGUCCCUAAAAUUAAUGUGAUAAUUUAUUUCUGUGUACCCAUAUAAAUAAAUAAAUAAAAGAUAUUAGACUUAAUAACAUUAGUAAAUUUCUUUGAUUAAACUUGACAUAGAUACAUUCUCAAAUCAAAGAAAAAAGAAUGCACCCAUAUAAGUUUAAAAAUGGAUUAGAAAAAAAUUGAAUAGAUUUUAUACAGAAAAAAUGGUACGUUUUACAUAUAACAAAUUGAUAUAUUUAAUAAAUGAGUACAUUUUAAGAUUAAAAAUUUGAAAAAAAUUACAUGAAUGGGUACAUAUGACACACCCCGACCUAAUAUCGAGGCAUGUUGGCCGUCACGUGAGAGUGACGUAGCCAUGUGCACAGUGUGGAAACAAUAUUAAUAUAAGGAAUGCGAAUAAAUAAAAACCAACUGACUAAAACACUAGAGGAGAUAAAGUGAAAGUGCGAUAUUAAAGGUGACUACACACAACCAGAGCGUAGGUAGCCUAAGUGACGAAUACUAAUUACACAAUACCAAAGAUGGUCCUACAUUUGUGAUGAUCUGUCAGAACCACCGUCAAUUCCUCGUGAGCUACCAACGAGCACUCCAACCGGGGCGCAAAACAGAAAGUGUGAGUGGGCAAAAACAAAGCUUUUUCAAAACCACUCACUAUCAAAGUAGUAACCCCUGGGCCACUUGCUUAAAAAAAUUAUUUUAUAUAAAAUAAUAGAUAUAUAAUUAUAUAAUUAUAUCUAUAAACUAAGAAAAUCCGUUUUUUUUUAUCCAAUUGUUCAUUCCCGGGAAGAGGAAGAAACAUAUAGAGCAAUGGCCUCCUCUUUCCUUCCUUCCGCUCUUCCCGAAGUGGGCGAAUUGCAUGUAGAGAUCCGCAGGGGCUUAUAGUUUAAUUGGUUGAAACGUACCGCUCAUAACAGUUAUAUUGUAGGUUCGAGCCCUACUAAGCCUACCACCCCCUUCUCUGCACCCGAUACAAGGCAGUCGAAGUCCUUCCCAGAAAAUAACAUAUAUGAUUAUAUCCCAAAAUCAUAUUCAAAAAUAGCAAAUACGAUUACAGUAAUUAAGAAAGCCGUGAUAUUUAAUGACCCCAAAGGGUAAGGCCUCAAAUGAUCAGUAUUUUCGCCUGGAACUUGUCUCUGCAGUGUUGGAAAUGUGAAAAAAUCAUGUGAUGAUACUUACGGACAUUUCACAUGUUAAACUAAUCUAGUUUAACAUAUAAAGGGCAAAGAUUAUUGUUUGAGCCGUCUCAUAUAAAUGUUAUAUGCUUAAACGAUAAAGUCCAAGGAAUAUGUGAUUGGGAGAAUGUAAUCUAAUGAAGUUAGAUUCAUGAGACCAUUCUUUCGUAGACACAUCCUAAACGUUCCUGAUCAUAGGAUUGCCAAUUGGGCAUUGACAGUCCGUUAAGAUCAGUACGUACUAUGUCUUCUCUCAGGGAGAGUGACUAGUCUCGAGUCAUUGGUGUGUGUGACAUCAAGACAAGUACGUAGGUGCUCAAUAGAGAAUGAGUUCACUGAACGCGAUCAACGAAGAGUUCUCAUAUUCCAUGUCACAUGAGAACUCAUGGUUGGGAUAAUGCAAAGUAGUCCUUUGACCUGAGGCAUCAUAGUUGUCUUGUGGUUAAGUCCUUGAUCUUUGAUUAUGUCAAAGUCACCCACCAGGAGGGUGUCCACGGCAUCGUUGGGGUUAAGCCACUUAGCUAUGGAGACAAGUGAAUGCGCAACAAGGGAUCUCUAACCUUCAAACCGUUUGAGGGAGAAUACUCUAUGAUAUGAUUUGAAUCUCUGGCCAGAGUAUGAAUGAGAUUUAGGGAAUGCGUUCCAAAUCACAUUCAAGGUAAUCAUAUAAGCACAAGACAUCACAUUGGAUAGUAGACAUGAGAAAAAACUAUCAAACCAAACAAUGUGGUCAAGAGUAUUAGAUUAGAGAAAGACCGUAUUGCAUUUGUAAUCCCGAACUGAAUAGGUUCUCUAACCUCUUCUGAUUAGCUUGGGUAACCAUGAUAUGCUGCUAGGUGUCACUCAUGGUUUGUGGAAGCCCUAAACGUGUAUAAUCACUAAAGGGAGAAUUGAAAAAAUAGUUUCAAUUCACAAUCGAUGUAAAAUGGUUUUAAUCGCCCACUGCCUCGCUAAAAGGAACCUAAUGGAUCGCACACCGUGAAAGGUGGAGAUUGGAAGAUUAAACGGAAAUGAGUAAGAAUGAUUAAAUGGUUUAAUCAUUUAUUUAUGGCAAGGAUUAAUUAAUAUGUUAAUUAAUCAAACGAAUAAGUUCGUUAAAGACUUCGGGAUAGUUUUGGACCUUAAGGCCCAAUGGGCUUCGAACGUCAAGCCCAUUAACUUAAGUUGUAUGACAAUUUAAUGAAUAAAGAUUCAUUAAAGCCCAAAAGCCCAAAAUCCCUAAAUGGCCGGCCAUGAUUUGAAUGAAUUAGGGUUUUUGGUUGUUUAGGUCACUUAAAGAAGUGACUAUAUAAAUGACUUUAUAGCCAAAUAUUCAUUAAGUGAAAUAAGGGUUUAUUUUUGGGGAAAAUUGGUGAGAAUUGUCUCUCCAUUUUCUCUCUAAAGAGGCCAACACCUUGGAGGGUACAUCUAGCAAUCCUACUACUCCAAGGUCACUCAUUUCUUCUACAAUCUAAACCUUGGUGAAGAGACUUAGAGGUUCUCAAUUUUGGGAACUUGGAGAACCUAUUCUUCCAUCCAAAUCCAUGGAUCUAAGAAGCAAGGAAUGAAGGCCCUAUCUCUUUGGGUGAUUAGCCUUUGCUUAUGCAAAGAGGAAUCUACAAAGGUAUUAAUUUCAACUCACUUUGUUUUGAGUUGAUUAUUGGUUCACCAAUCUACUAGGCUUUGAAUUUCAUGGUAAUGUUUUGUUUUUUGAGUGCAUGCAAGCAUGAUUCCGCCUUUAAUUGUUAAUUGCAUGCUAUAUGAUGUUGCUCAAAUGAACAUGUUUUCACAAAAUAAUUCCUUCAAGUGGUAUCAGAGCCUAGGUCUAGUAGUUGGUGAAUCCUUUUGGGUUUUGUAGUUCAUAAGUUUGUGAUUUAAAAGUUGUAAUUGUUACAAGCUUUAUUCUUGCUUCUUUGAAUGUAAAUUUUGUUGGAAAAUUUGCCAUCUCAAAUGUUGUAGAUGUAGUUCAUAUGAGCAUGAAUAUUGGAGCUAAAAUUUGGUGCCAUGACUUUUUGGGAAAAUUCGGCCAAAUCCAAAGGGUGAAUUUUUUGGGUUCUUGUUUGACUUGUUAAAAGUGUUUUAAGUGACUUUUGGAACCCCUAAGUACCCUAGUUUGGUUAGAUGUUAUUUCCCUUAAGUUUGAAUGGUUUUGGAAUGUUUUUGGGUGAAAAAAGUUCAUGGAAAAAUUUGGGUUUUUCAUGGAUGUUCUUCAUUGUUCUUGAUGUUCUUGCCAAGAACAAAAAGGUUUGGUGUUUUGAUUCAAAGUUUUGAUUUAUUUCAUAAAGUUUAUGUGAUAUGUUUUUCAAAUGAUUUUAUGUAUUUAAAGUGUUAGAUAUUUGUAUAAAUGAUGAUUGAAAUAAUUGUUGAUUGAAUUAUUUCAAAACUUAUCUUAACAUACACUUGCAUGUUUUUGACAAAACUCACAAAUCAACACACACACCAACUCUUAUCCCUCCCAAAACCGGCCACUCCCUCAAAGGGAGUACUUUUUGGGGCUUUUAUGCAAUUACAUAAAGUUUUGAUACUUUUGUGUAUUUGCACUUUGGCCCAAAAGUUUACGUUUUUACGUUUAGGUCCAAAAAACGCUAAAGGACAAAUUGUUUUGCUCCUUUAAUGAAGUUUUUGCAUUUAUUAAAAUUUUGGGUUCUAGUUGUAUUUACAUGAAGUAGUGGACUUUUGUGUUUUUACAAAGUGACCCCAAAAGUUUUUGUUUUGCAAUAUGGCCCAAAAGUUGAGGUUAAUUGCAUGAUGGCCCAAAUUAGGAUGAGAACAAAAUUGUUUUGUCUCUUUAAAUGAGAAUUGGAUUUUCAUUUUGUUUAGCUCCAUUUAAAUCAAUUUUAUGGAUACAAAAACCAAAUGAAAAUGUUGCAUUCAAUUUAAUUAGUUAAAGUGUUAAUUAAUUAAAGGGUGAUUAUGAACCUAAGCCUAAUAUAAUUGAGCUAUGUGAAAGGCCGUUUCAAAUUUGUUUGAACCAUGGGAAUGUGUAGAUUAGAUUUUGGUUGUAAUUUGAUUUGAUCAAAUGUUGUAAAAGGGCAUAAGCUCUUCUUUACUUUAAAGUAAUUUGUUUUAUGCAAAUGUUGUAAUGAGCAUAAGCUCACCUUUACUUUGAAGUACUUCUUUCUUGCUUUAUAUUGAUAUGCAUGAAAAUGAAGUAGUUGGGUCCAACGCCCCUAAGACAACACGCCUUAAUGUGAUUAAACGCGUAACUAAAAUCAAUCACCAUCCCUAGACCGAGAUUCAACACAAGGCUCGUGUUGAAUCUAAACAAAGGUUCAUAGUCAUCCUAAGGCCCUAAGGCAACUAUAUAGUCCAUCAAAUGAAUGCAAAGUUUAUGUUAGUAGUAUCAUAUACUCUUGCUUUAAAAACCGUUUUAAAAGCAUAGUGGGAGUAUUAUAUACAACUAAAACAAUCAUAUGGACCAAUAGUUGUAAUAGGACCAAAAUUGUUUUAAUAGAGAUUAAAAUGUAUGUUUAUAUGUGAUGAGACCUAAAACCCUCAACCAAACCAAUUAUAAGUUGAUAAGCGUGAGAGUGCUUUAGAACAUCUCUUCGUGGCCUUCCACCGUGGUGGGCUCCAAUCGUUUAUGACUUGUACACCGGCUUCACCCUAUCAUGGGGGAGUACAAAGUGCAUGCUUAUACUCAGGAGGAAUCCAUAUACAUAUGAUGAGGUGAGUGUAGUAGGCAACGAGGAUAGCCAAUAUCGUAUCAUUCGUGAGGCUAUUCUUGAACCCCUUCACAAACUAAGCAUGGUGGGAAUGACUUAACUAAGUGCAAUGGAACCAAUAUCAUAUCAUUGUGAGGUUACAUUCUCUAGAGGCCAAAUAAGAUGGGUACUUGCAUUAGUUGCAAAUGAGUAAGCGUACUCUCUCAUUAUUAUUGUUGCUAGCCAAUACAUCGUAUCAUUCGUGAGGUGGGCUUGGUAAUAGUGAGCCUCCCAUAACCUACUAAGAGUUUCAUCCAAAACUCUCGAAUUCCAAUGAGGGAUAUGGAAUUUGCCAAAAAUAGUGGGUGGUGCUAUUUGAUUUAAAGACCCGAAUCAAAUGGCUUAAAAUCAAUCAAUUUAUAUUCGUUAUGUAUUUGUUUACCAAUAUAUUUGCAAACGCUAUCCAACACUUGACAAAUAAAAACCGAAUGUUUAGUUUCCGGACUUGGUACUACAAAACCAUAGAUUGUCUUUAAUGGCUUGUAAAUGUACCUAAGUAGUCUCAUCCUCACAAUCUUCCUAUUGAUAAUGUAUCAUUAGAAGAAUAUGUUAGAAAAGGUCUAUCAUAAAGAGGACAACACUUUUAAUGUCAUAAUUCUUCAAUUACAAAUUGUUGUAUGAAGAAAUAGGAGUUGCUUUGAACAACCCUUAGUCAAUGCAAACACUUAGUGCUUGUUUCUUUGUUAAAUGAACAAAGAACUUGAGAAGAAAGCACAAAGGCAUGGACACUUUAUGUGCCAUGAUUCUUCACUUACAAAUUGUUGUAUGAAGAAAUGAGAGUUGCCUUGUACAACUCUUGAAAGUUUGUAAUUAUGUUUAGAACAUAAUGGUUGGUUGACAAAAAUAGUCCAUUAACAUGGACUUAUGAUGAUUUUGAAUCAUUGAGUGUUGAAGUGAUAAACCACUUAACGAGACGGAAACUAGGCAAGGACUUCACCUUUGUGUCCCUAUCCUAAUGGUUCACUAAGUUUAUUGUAAACUAUGUAGUGAACAAUAACCACAUGCUCUCCAAAAUUGUUUGAUGUGUAUAACACAAUUGAAAAAGGUUUCAAGAGAGAUAGUGGGAGUUUAGGGACCAUGACUAAUUGUAGUCAAAGGUGAAAGUCAAAUGAAAGAAGAUAAAUAACUCCAAGGGAACAAACUUUCUUUAUGAAAGGAUGGACAUUGGAAGGGGUAUUUGCAAGAAAUGUCUUGCAAGUGUCAAGAACACACCUUUCGAAGGUGUUGUAAAUUGUUCUUGAAUAGUUCAAAACAGUUGGUUCUUCUACUUGAAUGCUUGAUUCCGUAUUAGUAACUAUGUUUUACAAUCGUUGUAAAAGUGUGACUAAUAAGAAGUAGAAGAUUAAUGAGAGAAGAGAAAGGUACUUCACAUUCGGAACGUGAAUCAAAUAUAGAUCUCUGCGAAAGCAGAUGGUACUUACUUCCUCAUAUGAACUACCAAAGAAAUUGAAAAAACAUAAGAUUGUCUUUACAUUCCAAUUUUAAGGAACUAAAUUCCGUCACUGUGUGAAAUGGAUAAAUGUUUUGUUUGACAAAACAUUGUUCUUUAUUAAUCAAUGAUUGGAUUAUGGUAAUCUAAUUAAUUAUCUCUAUAGUAGAGAUAAUAUGGUGGUGUUAACUGUUUAGAAUAUAAUGAUGCUUAAAACCCAAAAGGUUGCAAGGUAGUGACUAAUCCCAACUAAAGUUGUGAUACCUCUAAAACAUAAAUUACGAGUUGGUCAUAGAUGGAUGCUUUGGAUCGUUAGAUCCGGAUCCAAUACCUUCUUGUUAAAAUUGUAUAGAGGCGAAAUGUUUGAAUCUUUAUUCUUUUGGAAAGAAGAAAGAAUCACAAAGUUGUUGUUGAGGUUAAUUCACUUAGAUGUUAGUGGCACUUGUCCACAAACAUAAUACUACUCAUGUUGUAUGACAUUCACCGAAGAUCACUCUCGGUUGGACUAUAGUUUAUUUUGAAUAAACACAAGUCCGAAUACUUUGCAAAAUGUUUUCAAAGAAUUCAAGAAAUGUAAGUUGAUGAGUAAGACAUCUAAAGUAUUUACCUCCUUAGAUUUGAUCCAAGGAAAGGUAACACUUUAGAUGAGUUUCCUUGAAAGAUAUCAAGGAAAAUAGCAUCAUAAGAUAAUGUAUUUUCUCCAUUAGGAGAAGAACGAACUUGAAUAAGAUUUAGUUCGUUAGAUGUUAUCUAUUACCCAUAUAUAGGAUAUAUACUUCUAAAAACAAUAUGAUUGUCAAUUAGAAGAUCUUCCAAUAUUUUCAUGACUCCAUAAGAUGUAGUUGGAAAGAAAGACAAAUCUUAAGCAUGUUAAAGAUUUGGGGUUGUGUGCUAAUAAGCAAUAUUUGUUUGAUAACAAUCUUGUAGGAUAUAUCCUUAAAAUUAACUUUUGGAUAUCGCUUCUAUAAACCAACUAACAAAUGUUGUUUUGUUGGGUAGUUCAUUGUAAUCCUACAAUGUGAUUUGCCUAAAAGCAAAUGAACGAGAGAUAGAACUCAAAGAAUGGGUUCUUUGAGAGACAAGAAAGUAAUCAACAAAUAUAACAACCUAGUUCCUAUACCACAAGCUCCAAGGUAGUCGAUAAGGAUUUAUAAACCGUCUCAGUUGAAUGGUUUGAACUUUAUGACUAUGUCAUAGAGUUGCACCUCUUAAUUCGAAAGAAAUAAGAAUGAAAAUCCUUAUGACUACAUUGAGUGCAUAUACGAUAUAUACUCAAGGAAAUGGUAAAGUACCAUUUGACUCGAAAUAAUGAAACCUUCAUAAGCUAAUUGGUAGCUUAAGGUGACUACAAUCAAAGAGAAUGGUUGACUUUGAAGGAAACCAUUUUUGACGUAGUCUUAGUUUCAAUUAAUUCGAAGAUUGCUAGCUACAACUAAAUGGUGAUUCAAUGUUUGGACAUAAUAUGGGUUUCCGAAACCAUUAUUAAGAUAGUCUUGAUAAUAUAUGUGUCUAAAACUAUAAAAUCACAAGACAUGUAAGUUGUAGAGAUCCAUCCAUCAUCAUGGAUCUUAGCAAGCUAGUGGGAGCUAUUUGCAUUUUAUGAGAAAAAGGAUCAAAUCGUUUGAUUUCUCAUAAAGAUGUAAAUGAAUCUUUUGUUUACUAGUUUUACAAAAGAUUAGUGGGAGUUAAUCAUGUUCCUAAAAUUUAAAUAUAUGAUGAUAUAUUAAUUUUGGAAAUGAAAAGAAUACUUCUUCGUUAAAGUUAUGACUUUAAUACAUUAUAUGAAGAUAGAAUGUAUAUGGGAGAUAUAGUCUAUAUACAUGGGAUGGAAAUCUAUAAUGAUAUAUUUCAUGAUAUAAUUGGAUUAUAUCAAUCCCUAAUAAUAGACAAUGGAUGCUAGGAAGUUUCUCUCAUAUGAUGAUAAACUUCAAUAAGAAGGACGAUUCUAGUGAGACUAGCAAGUUGCCCUUCUCAAAGGGAACGUACCCUUUGACUCCCAAAGAAAUAAUGCGUAAAUAGAAUCCUUUAUGCAUACGCAGAAAGGUGAUUUAUGUAUUUCAUAUUGUAUGAAAAACAUUGAUAUGAGUUGUACCUAGAACGGUACAAGACGAUAUCAGUGCAAGCCCAGGAUCAGAACCAUGGCAACUGUCAAGUGAGUCCUUAAGUAUUUAAGAAAUACUAAAGGAUAAAUUCCUCAAAGAAUGAGGAAGAAUUAGAGUAACGUAAUGGAAGCGUAAAUGUAUUAGAUUAUGAAUCUAAUCCAUCAUUGGAUGUUUCUUCAUUAUGAAUGAAGAGAUAAACGAAUAUCUCUUUAUUAUGACUAAAGAGAUAUUUGGAUGGAAACAUUAAAGUAAUGACUUUAGUGUGUUCCAUUAUGAAUGCAAGAUAUAUUGCCAUAUAGAAGUUUACAACAAUGUUGUUUGGAUGGGAAAGUUCAUUUAUGAACUCUCUAUUCGGUUCCAACCAGAAAGUGUAUGACACUAAUGGGGCGAUAGCUCAAGCCUGGGAAUCAAGGUCUCAUCAAGAUCCGAACUCAAAUGAGAGACUGAACCACAUGAUUGAGAAUCAUGUAUAAUGGUGACGUCGUUAUUCUCAAGGUUGCUUCUAUGGAUAACACAUAUAGAUAUCCACUUGUCUAGGCCUACUAUUCAGCCAUUUAUGAAAUGACUACAGAAGAGGUAUCAUCAAGAUGACCAAGCUGAUUGGCUCUAGUGCAAGUGGGAGAUUGUUGGAAAUGUGCCCUAAAGCCAAUCAUAUGAUGAUACUUUACGGACAUUUCACAUGUUAAACUAAUCUAGUUUAACAUAUAAAGGGCAAAGAUUAUUGUUUGAGCCGUCUCAUAUAAAUGUUAUAUGCUUAAACGAUAAAGUCCAAGGAAUAUGUGAUUGGGAGAAUGUAAUCUAAUGAAGUUAGAUUCAUGAGACCAUUCUUUCGUAGACACAUCCUAAACGUUCCUGAUCAUAGGAUUGCCAAUUGGGCAUUGACAGUCCGUUAAGAUCAGUACGUACUAUGUCUUCUUUCAGGGAGAGUGACUAGUCUCGAGUCAUUAGUGUGUGUGACAUCAAGACAAGUACGUAGGUGCUCAAUCGAGAAUGAGUUCACUGAACGCGAUCAACGAAGAGUUCUCAUAUUCAUGUCACAUGAGAACUCAUGGUUGGGAUAAUGCAAAGUAGUCCUUUGACCUGAGGCAUCAUAGUUGUCUUGUGGUUAAGUCCUUGAUCUUUGAUUAUGUCAAAGUCAUCCCACCAGGAGGGUGUCCACGGCAUCGUUGGGGUUAAGCCACUUAGCUAUGGAGACAAGUGAAUGCGCAACAAGGGAUCUCUAACCUUCAAACCGUUUGAGGGAGAAUACUCUAUGAUAUGAUUUGAAUCUCUGGCCAGAGUAUGAAUGAGAUUUGGGAAUGCGUUCCAAAUCACAUUCAAGGUAAUCAUAUAAGCACAAGACAUCACAUUGGAUAGUAGACAUGAGAAAAUAAACUAUCAAACCAAACAAUGUGGUCAAGAGUAUUAGAUUAGAGAAAGACCGUAUUGCAUUUGUAAUCCGAAACUGAAUAGGUUCUCUAACCUCUUCUGAUUAGCUUGGGUAACCAUGAUAUGCUGCUAGGUGUCACUCAUGGUUUGUGGAAGCCCUAAACGUGUAUAAUCACUAAAGGGAGAAUUGAAAAUAGUUUCAAUUCACAAUCGAUGUAAAAUGGUUUUAAUCGCCCACUACCUCGCUAAAAGGAACCUAAUGGAUCGCACACCGUGAAAGGUGGAGAUUGGAGAUUAAACGGAAAUGAGUAAGAAUGAUUAUUAAAUGGUUUAAUCAUUUAUUUAUGGCAAGGAUUAAUUAAUAUGUUAAUUAAUCAAACGAAUAAGUUCGUUAAAGACUUCGGGAUAGUUUUGGACCUUAAGGCCCAAUGGGCUUCGAACGUCAAGCCCAUUAACUUAAGUUGUAUGACAAUUUAAUGAAUAAAGAUUCAUUAAAGCCCAAAAGCCCAAAAUCCCUAAAUGGCCAUGGCCAUGAUGAAAUGAAUUAGGGUUUUGGUUGUUUAGGUCACUUAAAGAAGUGACUAUAUAAAUGACUUUAUAACUAAAUAUUCAUUAAGUGAACUUAAGGGUUUAUUUUUUUGGGGAAAAUAGGUGAGAAUUGUCUCUCCAUUUUCUCUCUCUAAAGAGGCCAACACCUUGGAGGGUACAUCUAGCAAUCCUACUACUCCAAGGUCACUCAUUUCUUCUACAAUCGAACCUUGGUGUCGAGAAUUAGAGGUUCUCAAUUUUGGGAACUUGGAGAACCUAUUCUUCCAUCCAAAUCCAUGGAUCUAAGAAGCAAGGAAUGAAGGCCCUUAUCUCUUUGGGUGAUUAGCCUUUGCUUAUGCAAAGAGGAAUCUACAAAGGUAUUAAUUUCAACUCACUUAUGUUUUGAGUUGAUUAUUGGUUCACCAAUCUACUAGGCUUUGAAUUUUAUGGGUAAAUGUUUUGUUUUUGAGUGCAUGUAACCAUGAUUCCGCCUUUAAUUAUUAAUUGCAUGCUAUAUGAUGUUGCUCAAAUGAACAUGUUUUACAAAAUAAUUCCUUCAGUAUGCCAGCCGGAGUCACCUAAAGUGACCUGUACAGCUGGGUCCACAACUCAUCAAUCAAAUUCUGCACACGAGUCGGAACCACCUAAUGUGGUUUGUACGACAGGCUAGGUGUAAACAAUUACGCUCUCAAGUGCUACGGUCACGUGAAGGCUGUGCGAAGUAUCGCAAGUCACCUACGAGUUAGAACCACUUAAACUGGUCUGUACGACAAGCUGACACCUGCCUUGGAUCCAAGGUGAGCGUGUGGUGCGAGAGGUGAACGAUCACGGGAAGGCUAGGCCUUGUCUUCUGAUGGAGCACUAACACUGGGGUGCAGGAUAAUAAGCUUAAAGUACAUCUCAGUACUAAUAUAUUCACUACCAUGACUACCAUCAAUAUACUCACCUGAAGCUUACCUGAGCAUCCAUAGCUUCGAGCAACAAUAUAUAUAUAUAUAUAUAUAUAUAUAUAUAUAUAUAUAUAUAUAUAUAUAUAUAUAUAUAUAUAUAACCAUACUAAUGCACAAUUAAACAUAGAGAGCAUUUGACAUGGCAUUUCGAAGUAUCAAAUCAUUUAAUUAAGUUUUCUGGGAAAAUACUAAGUAUAUAUAUAUAUAUUGAAAACCAAAAGCCCACUCACUGGUAUAUGGAAGGGUCGUAACCCUCGAGUCUUGCUUGACUGUGCUCGUCCUCAGGAUAGGUCUCACCUAUAUGUGAAACAACUAUUUAAACGUUAUUUUAAAGCACAUAAACAAAACUAGUUAAGAACUUUUCAUACAUUGCUCAAUUGGGGUAUUUGAAUACCACCGUGACCUACUCAACCUUAGGAACAUCCCUAUAUUUUUAGAAAAAUUUUCCGACCACUCACUCGCCGUUACGCGCUGACCAAGGCACGCCCAGACGCGCAAUCCAUGCGCAGGCACCUGCCUGGCACACUAACGGAUUCUCUAACGGCGUUAGGGAAUAUUCCGUUAAAUAUUAGAAUAUGCCAUUAAAUAUACUUGACACCGUUCGAAUAUUCCAUCAACUUUGACAGAAUAUUUGUCUUCUUCUCCGGCGAGUCAUCGGAUUUUGUCGCCGUCACCGUCUGUGUCAUCGAAAAUUGGAAAAUUUUCAAAUCUUCCUAUCUUCUUCAUUUCUCAACCAAAAUUCACGAAAUUUGAACCAAAUUGAAGCUUGAGAUGAGAGGAACAAAACCUUACCACUUUUAGGUCUUAAAUCCAUCGAAAAAUCGUCGGAAAAAUCCACGAUAGUCCGGCCACCUCUGUAACUCACUAACUCGAGCUUCCUGAUGUCCAAAAUACUUCAAAUUUCUUCCCUAAGCUUCGCAAAGACGUUCUAAGGCUCCCUAGCACCCUAAAACUCGAUGAAACCUCUGUGAUCACGACGGGGUCACUGUGCGCCUCAUUGGGGUUUUGUAUAACUCGAGUUCUACGAGUUCUCACGUCGAACCGAGGAUAUAAACGAACUCCUGGGCUCACAAGGAACACGAAAACCACCUCCUCGACGUCGAUCCGCGCAUGAAAAGGUUGGUUGAGGGAUGAUCCGUACAAUUAUAUAGAAAAUGGAUGGAAGCCGAUAAAGAAGGAGAGAGAGAGAGAGUCAAUGGGAGAGUGGUAUGGGUGCGUGUGUGGUCCAACUUUGGGCUACCAACCAACAAAUAAAAGCUUACUUCCAAUUGGGUCCAAAAAGUUAGGAAAAACAUGUCAUGGUCCAAAUCCUUAGCCCGUUUACACACACACAACCACUAAAUGCUUAAGGGCAUAAUCAUCACUUCAUGCUAUCAAGGAUAAAAUAAUAAGAACAUUCGGGACGGGCUGUGAUACCCUACCCCCUUAAAAAAAUUUCGUCCCCAAAAUUCCAUACAAUAAUGUACAACCACUAAUAGCCACAAAAUAAGCGUGGAUACAUUUCCUUCAUACGAUCCUCUGCCUCUCAAGUAGCUUCCUCCAUUGAGUGAUUCCUUCACAAAACUUUAACCAAGCGCACCGUCUUUUUCCUCAAAACUUUAUCUUUCCAUUCCAAAAUCGUCACUGGCUCCUCAUCAUAAGUCAAAUCUGAAUUAAUUUCCAAUGGUUGAGGAGGUAUCACAUGUGAUGGAUCAGAGAUAUAUUGACGAAGCAUAGAAACAUGAAAAACAUCGUGCAUUUUAGACAACUCGGAUGCAACUUAAGCCUGUAAGCAACCUCACCGACUCGCUCGGUGAUCUGAUACGGUCCAAUGUACCUAGGACUUAGCUUACCCUUUUUCCCGAACCGCACUACACCUCUCCACAGAGAUAACUUCAAAAAUACCCAAUCACCAACUUUAUACACUCGGUCAGUGGGAUGCUUGUCUGCUAGACGCUUUCAGGUUAGAUUUAAUUACCUGAAUGUUCUGAGUAGUCUCCUCUAUAAUCUCAGGGCCCACCAAAACUCUUUCACCAACCUUUGACCAACACAAGGGAGUACGACAAGACUUGCCAUAAAGUGCCUCAAAUGGUGACAUACCAAUACUCGAAUGGUAGCUGUUAUUAUAAGCAAACUCCAUCAAAUCUAACCGCUGAUGCUAGGCGUCGCCAAAUUGCAAUACCGAAGACCUUAGCAUAUCCUUCAGUGUCUAAAUAGUCAUCUCAGAUUGUCCGUCUGUUUGAGGAUGAUAUGUUGUACUAUAAAGUAAUCUUGAACCAAAAGCCUCCUGAAAUGCUACCCAUAACUUAGAAGUAAAUCUAGGAUCCCGAUCUGAGAUAAUACUAACCGGAACUCCAUGAUACUUAACAAUCUUCGAUAUGAACAAUUCAGCUAAUCGACUUAAAGAAUAUUUCUUCCUCAUAGGAAUAAAAUGUGCUGACUUAGUAAGCCAAUCAACUAUCACCCAAAUACCGUCAUAACCAUUUUGUGUACGAGGAAGCUUGUACACAAAAUCCAUAGUAAUAUCUUCCGACUUCCAUUGUGGAACGGGAAAUGGCUGCAUCAAUCCAAAUGGCUUUUUCCUCUCAGCUUUGACCUGUUGACAAAUGGCACAAUUACUCACAUACUCAGUAAUUUCCCUUUUCAUAAUCGGCCAAUAAUAAAAUGGUCGAAUGGUAUGAUACAUUUUAGUACCUCUAGGAUGCAUUGCAUAUGCUGAUACAUGCACUUCAUCAAGAAUUUCUUUCUUUAGUUCGACAUUAUUCGGCACAUACAUUCUUCCUUCCUACAUAAGCAUACCAUCCGAUUCUAUAAUCCUUAGAUCUUUUUUUCCCAUCAUUUCUUGCUUGAAUUAAUUCCUAGGUUUCUUCAUCAUUCAACUGAGCCUCGAGCACUCGAUCAAUUAAAAUUGGUCUAACCUGAAUAUUAGCAAGUAAGGCUUCAUUUCGUUCUUCCACCCCUAACUUCACUUCGGUGGACUUCAAAUCUGCAAGAAGAGGAACAUGACAAGCAUAAGCAUUAAUUCUCGCUUGAGGAUUCCUACUAAGUGCAUCUGCCACCACAUUUGCACGACCAGGGUGAUAAUCAAUCGUGCAAUCAUAAUCAUUAAGCAACUUUAUCCAUCUUCGUUGUCGAAGAUUAAGAUCCCUCUGAGUAAAAAGAUACUGAAGACUUUUACGAUCUGUAAAAAUCUUACAUUUUCACCAUAAAGAUAAUGCCUCCAAAUCUUCAAAGCAAAGACGAUAGCUGCUAACUCAAGAUCAUGAGUAGGAUAAUUAGUUUCAUGAGGCUUCAACUGUCUCGAAGCAUAAUCAAUCACCCUACUAUGUUGCAUCAACACACAUCCCAGACCAUUCAAGGAAGCAUCACUGUAGAUCUCAAAAUUACCACUAUCAUCAGGAAACGUCAAAAUAGGUGCAUGAGUGAGACAAUAUUUCAACUGCUGAAAACUCUGCUCGCAAUUAUCAUCCCACUCAAACUUAACAUCUUUCCUGGUCAACCUCGUCAGUGGUAAAGCAAGAACUAAAAAAUCUUUAACAAACCGUCUAUAAUAACCAGCUAGGCCAAGAAAACUCCAUACCUCAAUGACGGUUCGUGGUUACUCCUAAUUCUCAACAGCUGCUACCUUUUGAGGAUCCACCAGAAUACCUUGAUCUAGCCAAAAUUGGCACUUGCUAAACUUGGCAUACAACUGGUGUUCCCUCAAUUUCUUCAACACCAAAGUAAGAUGUCGAACAUGCUCUGAUUUCAACUUAGAGUACACCAGAAUAUCAUCAAUAAAGACAAUGACAAACCUGUUUAAAUAUUGUUGGAAUACUCGAUUCAUCAAAUCCAUAAAAGUUGCAGGUGCAUUAGUCAACCCGAAUAACAUCACAAGAAAUUCAUAAUGACCAUAUCGAGUCCUAAAAGCCAUUUUAGGGACAUCCUCACUUUUAAUCUUCAAUUGAUAAUAAAAAAACCUCAAAUCAAUCUUAGAAAACACACAGACGCCUCGAAGAUGAUCAAAUAAAUCAUUUAUACGUGGUAAUGUAUAACGUUUUUUAUUCGUUAUCUGAUUUAAUUUCCUAUAAUCAAUACAUAGCCUUAAAGUCUCGUCUUUACUCUCACAAAUAACACCGGAGCUCCCCAGGGUGAAUUACUAGGCUGAAUAAAACCCUUAUCAACUAAUUCCUGCAACUGAAUCUUUAAUUCCCUCAAUUCAACAGGAGCCAUUCGAUAAGGAGUUAAAGAUAUAGGAUCUAUACCUGAAAGUAAAUCAAUAGUGAAAUCCACAUCUCAGUCUGGUGGCAAUCCAGGUAAAUCAUCAAGGAAUAUGUCAGGAAAAUGCCUGACCACGCGAACAUUCUCCACAUUAGUCGAAGUAUUAUCAUUCAACGCCACAUGGGCCAAAUAUCCUUGACAACCUUUCUUUAACAACCUUUUAGCCCUUAUGGAAAAAAUAACACCAUGUUUCACCCCACUACUCUCACCCAUAAAUGUAACCUCAGGAAUCCAAGACGAUGAAAAGUAACUGACUUCCCAUAGCAAUCUAUAUUGGCACGAUUAUAAUGUAACUAAUCUGUGCCCAAAAUCACAUUAAAAUUCACAAUAUCUAACGGGAUGAGAUUAGUUGACAUAACUACAUCCUCCACUAACAUGGGACAUCUUGGAUAUACACAACUAACGUAACAUAUAUCCCCUCUAGGCAUAUCAAACUCUAAAUCAUACCCUAGAGGUGUGGGAUGAGGUUGAGUUAACUGAGCGAACGUACACCACAAUCAAUUAAUACUCUAGCAAAAUGACCAAGAAUAUUCAACGUACCCAUGAUCAAAUCAGGAUUAUUCUGAGCAUCCUGCAGUGUUAUGUGGUGAAUACAUCCCUAAGCCUGUUGUUGACCUCCACGACAUCUGCUAGUCUGACCACUAUGACUUUGCACGUUAUGCCCCUGGACUGGCUGAUUAGACUGUCACGAUGAUCAUGCACUGCUAGUCUGACCACCAGCUGAAUAUGGCGAAUAUGGCAUAUAACCUCCAAAAUACUGAGGAUAACCACUCUGCUAAUACGGGUCCUGUGGAUACUGAUACUACCCUGCAGAAUAAAGAGCUACAUCACCCUGGUAAUGAUAAGCACCUCCACAACCCGUAUGGGCAUAACCACUAGGUCCUAAAACUUGCUGGAUCGACAUUGGUGGUGGUAGAGAAGGCUGUUGGGGCCUUUGCUGAUUCUGAGGACAAUGCAUAGCCCUAUGCUUCAUUUGCCCACAAGUAAAACAUCAUAUACUACACUGCCUGCACUCCUUAAAAUGUCGGCUAUUACACCUACAACAAAACAGACUACCCGAACCACCAGAAACACCCAAAAUCUCUCUGCCUCUGCAAAACGAUGACCUCCAGAAAACCUACCACCACUCAUUUUAAAACUUUGAGUCUUACGAGGACCCUGAGAUGAUUGACCCUUAUCUUUAUCAUCUUUCUUCUUCUGGUUAUCUUCUUCCUCCUUUCUCUCACUAGGCAUAUUUUUUGAAUCUUUAAUAUGUAGUAAAAUCUCAUAAAACUCCUGGUAAGUAGCACAAGGAGUCAUGGUCGCCAUAGAACGCUAUUUCUUUCGAGUACCCAACCUGAAAUGAUGAAGCAUCUCAACCGGAUUAGCAACAACCUCUAGAUCAUAGCGAGAUAAAUCAGUAAACCUCCUGUAGUACUUAUUAGCUAUCAUAUUUCCUUGCUUUAGGUGCGUGAAUUCUUGCUUCUUGCAAUCUAUAUACUCUGGAGGAAUGAAUCUCUUCUGAAAUAACUACUUGAAAAUUUCCCAAUUAGCAACUUCCUCUGGUGAUAACUGAUAAGACUCCUGUCUCCACCAAGAUGCAGGUUCCGGACCUAAAAACCAGGUAGUCGUCUCAACCCACCUAUCAGAAGGAAGACUCCCUAACUCUGCAUCACACAGAAAGUCUUCUCAAUAUGAUUGAGCCACCGCUCUGCUCCUUCAUGUCAUUCAUUACCCAUUAAAUGAUUCAACUUCAAAUUAUACACAUCUCUAGAGGUGUUAUUUGGGGAAGAUGAAGCGAAGACUGAAUAGCAUUAGCUAUAGCUUCCCUUAGUUGAGCAAUAUUAGGGAAACUAGGCUCAACUGAAGGACGUGGCUCUCUACGAGGUAGCAUAGUUCUGACAGAAGACACCAAGAUAAUUAGAACAUUCACAAGAUAUGCAGAAUUGCCAAACCUAGGCUUUGAUACCAAACUGACAAACCCCAACCUAAUAUCGAGGCAUGCUGGCCUUCACGUGAGGGUGACGUAGCCAUAUGCAGAGUGCAGAAGCAAUAUUAAUAUAAGGAAUGCGAAUAAAUAAAAACAAACUGACUAAAACACUAGAGGAGAUAAAGUGAAAGUGCGAUAUUAAAGGUGACUACACCCAACCAGAGCGUAGGUAGCCUAAGUGCAGUCCAGCAGGACAAAUAUUAAUUACUUAAUACCAAAGAUGGUCAUACAUUUGUGAUGAUUUGUCAGAACCAUCGUCAAUUCCUCGUGAGCCACUAACGAGCGCUCCUACCUAAAACCUGGAGGGGCGUAAAACAGAAAGUGUGAGUGGGCAAAAACAAAGCUUUUCAAAACCAUUUCACUAUCCAAGUAGUAACCCAUCGCUGUAAAACCUGUAUAAUUCCCAGAAAAUAGCAUAUAUGAUUAUAUCCCAAAAUCAUAUUCAAAAAUAGCAAAUCCACCGAAUAUACCAUGUCAUACCUUAGAAAGAAAUAAGAAAGCCAAGUGAAAUACAUUAAUAUGAAAUAGUAUGCCAGCCGGAGUCACCUAAAGUGACCUGUACGGCUGGGUCCACAACUCAUCAAUCAAAUUCUUCACACGAGUCGGAACCACCUAAAGUGGUCUAUACGAUAGGUUGGCAACUGCCUUGGAUCCAAGGUGAGCGUGUGGUGUGAGAGUUGAACGAUCACGUGACGGCUAGGCCUUGUCCUCGAGUGGAGCACUAACACCGGGGUGCAAAUAUAUUCACUACCAUCACUACCAUCAAUAUACUCACCUGAAGCUUACCUGAGCAUCCACAGCAUCGAGCAACAAUAUAUAUAUAUAUAUAUAUAUAACCAUACUAAUGCACAAUUAAACAGAGAGCAUUUGACAUGGCAUUUCAAAGCAUCAAAUCAUUUAAUUAAGUUUUCUAGGAAAAUACCAAUUAUAUAUAUAUAUAUAUAUACUGAAAACCAAAAGCCCACUCACUGGUAUGUGGAAGGCUCGUAACCCCCGAGUUUUGCUUGACUGCACUCGUCCUCAGGAUAGGUCUCACUUAUAUGUGAAGCAACUAUUUAAACGUUAUUUUAAAGCACAUAAACAAAACUAGCUAAUAACUUCUAAUACAUUACUCAAUUGAGGUAUUUGAAUAUACCAUCAUGACUUACUCAACCUCAGGAACAUCCCCAUAUUUUUAUAAAAAAAAUUCGAUCACUCACGUGCUGGCCAAGGCACGGCCAGACGUGUGGCCCACGUGCAGGCACGUGUCUGGCACACUGACGGAUUCCCUAACGGCGUUAGGGAAUAUUUUGUUAAAUAUAACUGACGCCGUUAGGAUAUUUCGUCAACUUUGACAGAAUAUUCGUCUUCUUCUCUGACAAGUCAUCGGAUUCCAUCGCCGUCUGUGUCAUCGAAAAUUUUCAAAUUUUCAAAUCUUCAUAUCUUCUUCAUUUCUCAACCAAAGUUCACAAAAUUUGAAUCAAAUUGAAGCUUGAGAUGAGAGGAACAAAACCUUACCACUUUUAGGUCUUAAAUCCACCGGAAACUCGCCGGAAAAACCCACGAUAGUCCAGCCACCUCUGCAACUCACUAACUCGAGCUUCCUGACGUCCAAAAUACUUCAAAUUUCUUCCUUAAGCUUCACAAAGACGUUCUAAGGCUCCCUAGCACCCUAAAACUCGAUGAAACCUCUGCGAUCACAACGGGGUCACUGUGCACCUCAUCGGGGUUUUGUAUAACUUGAGUUCUACGAGUUUUCACAUCGAACGAAGGAUAUGAAUGAACUCCUGGGCUCACAAGGAACAUGAAAACCACCUCCUCGACAUCGAUUCGCGCAUGAAAAGGUUGGUUGAGGGAUGAUCUGUACAAUUGUACGGAAAAUGGAUGGAAGUCGAGAAAAAAGGAGAGAGAGUCAAAGGAAUAGUGGUAUGGGUGUGUGUCUGUGUGGUCCAACUUUGGGCUACUAACCAACAAACAAAAGCUUACUUCUAAUUGGGUCCAAAAAGUUAGGAAAAACAUGUCAUGGUCCAAAUCCUUAGCCCGUUUACACACACACAACCAUUAAACGCUCAAGGGCAUAAUCGUCACUUCAUGCUAUCAAGGAUAAAAUAAUAAGAACAUUCGGGACAGGCUGUGACAACAUAAAAGAUUAAAAAAUUAAAAACAUUUUUUUACAAAGCUAAUGGGUACAAACUUAUUCUAUUUUAUUUAUUUAUUUUGGAAAUGUUUUGAAUUGAAAAUUAGUUAGGAGUUCAAUAAAGGUGUGAGUAUUAAAAUUCUAAAUCAAUUAUUAAUUUUUAUUUUAAAAAAAUUAUGUAACUGACACGUAAAUUCAUUAUUAUAGUAAUGCUAGAGACUUGGAUCAAAAUCUUAGAAACUAAUAAGGUUUCAGUCAAUGAACAUUAGUAACUAGGGACCGGAUACUAAUUUUUCCAAAAAAAAUUGUAUUACACACUAAGCAUAAUAAGGGUUAUUUCUUUUGUUUUUCUUUUUUCCAAAGCAUAGUAAUGGUUAACUGAAUGUGAGGUUGUAUUACAUACAUAUGGAAACUUGUUGUUACUCCAAAUUAGUUAGCUUGCAUUCCACAAAGAAAUAUAGGAGAAAAUUAACAUUAAAAAUGAGUGCAUAAUGACUUUUAAGAGCCAAUAACAUUUUCCUAAUAAAAAUGUGAGCUUUAUUCGUUGAGCAUUGACAUAACACUAGAAUGAAACAAGAUGGAGGUGAUUUCACUUUCACAACCCAGAACGCUAAAGGCCAAGGGAGAGCCGAACCUUUGAUUGGCAUGGACACAUACAAAAUUCUCGACAUCGAGAGAUUUGAGAUUGUAUGAUUAACUUAUUGCAAUAAGACAAAUUUCAUUGAGAUGAAUCAAAGUUCUUACUGACACACCCCGACCGAGAUCAAGGCAUGCUGGCCGUCACGUGAGAGUGACGUAGCAAUGUGCACAGUGCGGAAGCGAUAAAAAUAAGAUAUAUACGAAUAAUCAAAAACCAAAUUACUAGAGUGCACUACUAAACAGAGAGUGAUAGGAGUUAGUUACAAUAGUAAACACUCCUAAUCAGAGCAUAAAGUCUAGGUGCAGUCCAGUAGGACAAGUACUAGUUAUACAGUACCAGGAAUGUCCUACUAUUAUUUAGAUAAGUCAGAACCGCCGACGUCCUCAAGCCUUCCAACAACAAGCUUACUUAAAACCUAGAGGGGCGCAAAACAGAAAACGUGAGUGGGCAAAAACAAAUGUUGUACAAAAUCAUUUUCUUUAUCAACGUAUCUAACUCCUCGUUGUAAAACAUGUAUAAUUUUUUCCAGAAUCAGAAUAUAAGUAUAUGCAUAAUAUAUAUAUAUAUAUAUAUAUAUAUAUAUAUAUAUAUAUAUAUAUAUUCUCAUUCCUACCUAGCACAAGACCUUUUGGGAGCUCACUGACUUUGAGUUCCGUCGGAACUCCGAAGUUAAGCGAGAAGAUGGCUAGAGAACUUCCAUGAUGGGUGACCCACUGGGAAGUUGCUCGUGAGUUCCCAGAAACAAAAUCGUGAGGGCGUGGUCGAGGCUCAAAGUGGACGAUAUCGUGCUACGGUGGUGGAGCAGGCCCGGGAAAUGAUCCGUCUUGGGUCGGGGUGUGACAAAUGGUAUCAGAGCCAAUCUCUGGCUGGAAGUGUGCCAACAAGGACUUUGGGCCCCUAAGGGGGUGGAUUGUAACAUCCCACAUCGCCUAGGGGAGUGAUCCUUAUAUGUAUAUUCUCAUCCCUACCUAGCACGAGGCCUUUUGGGAGCUCACUGACUUCGGGUUCCGUCGGAACUCCGAAGUUAAGCGAGAAGAUGGCCAGAGCACUCCCAUGAUAGGUGACCCACUGAGAAGUUGCUCAUGAGUUCUCAGAAACAAAACUGUGAGGGCGUGGUCGGAGCCCAAAGCGGACAAUAUCGUUCUACGGUGGUGGAGCGGGUCCGGGAAGUGAUCCGCCUCGGAUCGGGAUGUGACACUUACAGAUUGUCUUCAAUGGACACAAUUACAAAAGUUCAGGGACAAAAGUAAGAUGGAAAUAAGUUUAGAAUCGAAGCUAGAGAAUCCCAUGAAGUUCAGGGAUCAAAUUUGAAAUUAACUCUAGUUCAAAUAUAAAGAAAAAAAAUUGUCAAAGUGGGUUAAUUGUUAAUUAGCAUGAAUAGAAAGUAAACCUUAAUAAUAUUAAAUUUAGUUCUGGUUAAUAUUAUUAUUCUUGUCCAACAACAAACAUGGGUCAAAGUGGGUUUGAUCUGUCGAAGAUGGGAUGUCACUUUCUCAGAGCAAAACGGUUCACCUAACAAGUUAGUGGAAGCCAUCAUGGGCAUAUACUUUCUGUUCAUGCAUGAGAUGAGUCAUGACCCAAAUAAAACAUCUGGGUCCAUCUCAGCACGUGCCAAACUUUUUCAGAUGUAAAAAUUUAGGGUUUGGUUAUUUUGGUUUUGGUAAUGGUUGUUUGAGGUCAUUUGGUUCCACCAAGGUCUAAAAUAUUGAUAUUAUUUUGAUAUUUUUAUCGAAAUUUUCGUGUUUUUAGACUACCGAUAUUUCCGAUAUUAUCGAUAUUUUAGACCUUGAUAGGAACUUUAUAUGGUACUAAGUCACUCAUGUAUCUUACCAUGCAAUGUAUAAAGUGUAAAAUAUUGUACUAAUUCAUUAUAUAUAAAUGAUUAUGGUGUGUUUAAACUUCUUUCAUUAAUUACUACAUAUUUUCUACACUCACAAUGUUUGCCAGCUCGCUAUAUAAUCAAUUUAAAUCAGUUAAAUCCAUCAUGCAAUGCAUUUCCUUCCAAUUUUUUUGUAAUAAACUAAUAGAUAAUUGACUAAAUAAACAUCCUGUAAAGUUUCAAUAAAAAUUUCUAAGUUUUUCUUACAAUUUCCUUGGUUUUUAUUUAAUUUUUAUCAAUAUUGAUAAUAUCCCUAUAUUUCCAUCGAAAUUUCUGUGUUUUUAGAUUACCGAUAUUUCUGAUAUCAUCGAUAUUUUAGACCUUGGUUCCACCAACUACAUUUGAAAGGAAAUCUGGCUAGUAAGCUCAAUUGCUUCUUUUUUUUUUUUUUUUUUUUUUGGAAAGGUAAGCUGAAUUGCUUAGGGCACAGAAUUAUGAUACUAAUCAAGUUUUGAGAGAGAAAAACGCAAAGAAUUAGGAUUAAGAUAGAUUAAUUGUCCGAUUCCGUCAACAUAAUGUAAUUGGAAGGAAAAAAAAAUUAUGAAUACAUUGUUCGAAGCCACAAAAAACAUUUGAGCUUACAUGCGUACAAGUUUUGGUGAUUAGUGGUUCCACGUAUUCGUAGUUUUACUUUUAAAUCUUAUACUCGAUGUCUAUGAAAGAUUGAAUCUUGGGAUUUUUCUCAAACUUGCAGAGCAAAAACUUUAAAUUUUGUUCGGAGUUAUUGAGAAUUGGUGCACUUGUAAUAUUGGCGAAGCCUUUUUAUUGUUUCUAGAGUUGUACUUUAAACCGCAACUAGUUGAUUCGCAAAAGAUAGUAUAUGCAGUCCCCUUGGAAUAGUUACACAUAUCAACUCCUUUAUGAAUGGGGUGUGAUAUCCACACACCUCUUUUUACUUCUCUCAUAUUUCUUUAGUUUUCGGCCGUCGGAUCGGAUGAAUUGAAGAAGAUCAACGGACAUAAAUUAACAAGGGGUGUGUAAGAAAUAAAAAGGGGUGUGUGGAUAGCACACCCCUUAUGAAUAAUGUAUUUACAUGGUAAUAAUUCAUAAUCAAAACCUUUUAGUUUCUUAAUCAUCAUUUCUAAAAACACAUUCGAUUGUAGAUCGCUUAAUCAUCCAAAUAUGUCCAAUAAAUAGACGGUUUAUCAUAAAAAUAUUGCUUGGUGCCUACACUAUCAAUUUAUUCCAUACAUUGAAUAACAAAACGAUCUCCGUUUCGAAUAAUUUUUUGUAGGAGCAAUCUUCAAAUAAAAAUUAAGAAAUUGAAUGGUUUUGAUUAUCAAAUUUGUAUCCUAAAUAAAAUGACAUCAUUCACAACAGGUAGAGAUGUAUCCACCCUAUGAGGAGGUGGAUGCAAGGAAUAUCUAUUUAUACUUUCAACAUGCUGUAAGAAAUAGACUAGAAGUGGACAAGUUCCAAAACAAAUCCAGAAAAAUCUCCAAUGCCAUAAUGCAUGUACCUAAUCCUUUGGUAAAAUCUCAACAUCAAAAGCAUUCAGUCCCUUUUCUGGUUGUGUUUUUCUUUUCAAUUGAAGACACAUUAUUCACUCUAAUAAUGUAGGGAAAGAUUACAAAGUUUCUUUCUAUAGGUUAGAUGUUCUUUUGGGCGUUCAUCGGCAUGAGUCGAGUGAUACUUCUUUUCCCAAAUCGACAUAAUGUCAAGUUUGUAGUUCCUUGUGUCAUAAAUUAGAAAAACGAAAACAAUUGAAACUUGAUUAGGUUACCAUUUAUUUCUUUAAAAUGAAGACUAUAUGUCACAUGUAUAAGAAAUAAGGAUCUCAAAAAUGUAUGUUUAACCUAAAGUUUUGGACUAUUAGGUGACAAGAUACAUAUCAAGACAUUAAAACGUUUUAUAGUAUAAAUAGCUCAAUCUAUCCAAACUUGUAGCUUGCGUACAUAAGCAGCCUCUAGCCUUCCAGCAACCUUGUACAAGUACUCGAGCGACGGACCCAAAGACGGUGAAAGUCUCAGCGAGUAUGCAGGGAAAGUACGAGUGAACAUAUAAAUAUGUUCCCACAAACGAGAGGGAGGUGGAGAGAUUUUUUAAGCACUAUGAUGGUACUCCAAAGCACAGAUAUUUGUUUAACAAAAAUGCUUGAAUAAAGCUAAAUGCAGAAGCUAUUAGUAAGGUCUGCAUUCUUAUAUCAUGCCUCAAUAUUAUUGGAAGUUAGUUGCCAAAAAUGUGACGACCUCCAUUCAACUUUGGGCCGAUGGGUCAUGUAAAAAUACCAGAGUUUACCUUCAAUUUACGUAAUUAAACUUCUGGAUGAAAACAUGAGCAACUUACAGCCAAUAUAUAUUUCGAGGUAGUUUAAACGAUGCAGGAGUUACUGCAGAAAUCGGGAACCGAAUGCACAUUCGAGUAAAGCAACUAAUGCUCCAAGUCACCCAAAGACCUAAUUGCCCAACUAACAAAGUCUUUAUAACAAAGCACAUAACUAGCUACAUUAGUUUCAAACAAGCAGAACAUGAUUUAAAGAGAGGACAUACCUACACAAAUAUGAUAUGAAGAUAAUGCAGAAAUUUCACCGUGCCAGCCAAAUUCAGUUUGUAUCAUUGACAUUUGACAACUGUGUUCACUUCCUCGACACUAGAAUUCAAUUCGGUAGAUUUAUCACCCAACUCUGAACUUUCUGUUUUUGGUACUUUAACAAAUUGUUUACCGCGUGCCACACGAAUUCCCCUUCCCAUAAGCAGCUGCAGGAAAAGAAGUUUCCAAGGGGAAAAUUACCUUCCUGUGGGAAGCAGAAAGAGCUGCCUCAGCCUCGGUCCUGGUUUUGAAGCCCACAAAUCCAUAUCCUGUGGACCUUCGCAGGUUAUUUUGGAAUACAAUUUCUGCUGUAACAACAUUAUAAUCCUCUGAAUCGAAGAGCUCCUUGAGAUCUUUAGACCUUGCUUCAUACAGCAAAUUUUCCACUUACAUAUUGAAAGUUAAUGGCUUGGGUUGUGAAGAAGGGGGAGGAAUCUUCAUCUUUUUCGGCCUGGCAUAAGCCAUGUUUAUGACACGACCCUCCAUUUCCUGUAAGGCAUUCCAAAAUAAGAGAAAAUCAUUUACUAGACAAUAGGAUAAGGAAGCCGCAUAAGUAUCAUAUAUUUAAAGGUCGUACCCAGUGCACAAGGCUCCCGCUUUACGCAGGGUCUGGGAGAGGUGAAUGUCGGCUAGCCUUACCCCCAUUUAUAUUUAGUGGCUCAAAAUAUGAAGGAAAAAGCCAACGUAUCAACUUGGAAAAAAUUACUAGUUAACCCAAAUAUUACAUUGAUUCUUGAACUUCAAAAUGAGACACUUAACCCUUUAAACUAUACUCUGUAUGUUUGGUCCUUUAACAUUACUGAAGGGAGUACUCACUCAGUGGCAUAUGGAAAACUUAUUCAAGGGAAUAGAAAUUAUGAUCUCAUUCUCAAAUAUUGAGAAAAUGGUGGCAGCACUACCUCCAUUGAUUUCUUCCCUCUCCCUUUCCCUAAAACAUCUUCUAAUCUUCACCACCCUAUCACUCCAUUCAAACAUAUAUCUCUUCUCAUCUCCUUAAAACUUCAUGUUAAAUCCUCUCUUGCUUUCUCCUGUUUUCAAAAUUUGCCACUUUGUGACUCUCCUACAGCCAAAAAGUCUCGGUACAAGAAGAGGAACAAACCCAGUGGAUGAGGAAACCUUCACAACCUCCACAAAUAAUAAAAACUAAAAUGUGCACAGUAGAAGUACAGUAUACCAUAGUUCCAGCUCAAUCCCCUUGUUAUUUGAUGUUGGAGUAGCUCUGCAGGUUGAACACAAAUUGAACGUAUGUUCAACAAAGGUAAGAAGAUCACAAACCAAUGGAAGAAGGUAAAGAAGUAAGUGUGUGAUAGGGUAUGAUGCUAAAUAAUGAUGCCAUGAGAGAGGAUGUCUUGGCAUGAAUUGAUGACGAUGAUGAUGGAGUUAACUGGUUUCUAGAGGUGUUGGACGCCUCUAAGAGAUUGUCAUUUAUGCUCUCUCGGUGACUGAAUGCAUGACUUUUAUCAUCUACAAAUGAAGAGAUGAAACAGUAGACCUCCCUUCUAGGAAUAAGAUAACAAAUUAUGCCCUUAAAUUAGUGCUCAUGUGCCACCUCCAAUCAGAUGAAUAAUUGCAUUCCCAGAUAAAGGGCCUAAUACGGAGGUUAAACUUAAAGUCGAAGGGAUACCAGUGAAUUUCACCAAUAAAUUCAGCUCCAAAGUACAGGCACAGGAAAAGUGCACACAAAUAUACAUGAAACAAAGAACUAAAAUUCUCUUCUUAUAUUUUUAGAGAGCAACGAAUUUACAAUACGAACGAAACAAACACAAAAUGGUAGUCAAAUAGAAUAGUAGAACGCUCCCUCUCAUACAGCGGAAAAACUAUAAAAUUCCCAAAUUUCAUUUCACUUUCCCAACUAGUAGUCUUUCUAACUGACCAAACCAAGCAUAAAACUAAACUUACAACAACACAAGCAUUCACAUAAGAUAACAGAACCCGAUAUACUUACAGACGAUUCGAGAUAACCAGAGCCGUACGAGCCUCCUCGGGCGAUCCCAUUGUUACAAAUGCCAAACCCCUGUUCCUGGUCUUGUCAUACAUGGCAAGCUUACACCACCACCAAAAUAAAAAAUAAAAAAUAAAUAAAAAAAUAAAAAAAGACAAGAACAAUCAAAACCCAUCAAAUAAAAUCACAAAUUAUUAAUACCCAACAAAAAUAAUUCUCUUUCAAACCAGAGAAAAAUGGAGAAAAAUGACAACCUCAAGGUCGACGACGGUGCCGUACUUCUCGAACACAGAUGGAUGUCUUCCGGGAUGCAAUGCCAAGGAACAUUCUGGCAAGCAGUCUUGUGUUGGAGAACUCUAUGGGCUCCGCUCGAGGACUGGGGUUGCGUCGAGAGCUUGGUCUUGGGCGGCGGCGGAGAAUUGAAGGACGAAAUUCCCGAGCUUUUUGGCCCUGAAGGAGGAGGAACGAGUGGGUUUGGGGGAGAGAGAGAGGGGGAGGAAAGAGAGGUGGAGAGAGAACGAGUGGUCGGAGUGUGCUUGGAGAGGCGUCGUGGGUUUUGGAGAGAGAGGGGAGGUGUGAGAGGGAGAACUUGUUCAGUGGGGAAAGAGAGAUGACGAAGUAAAGCCAUUGCUGUUGAGCUUUGUUGUCCAUGAAGUCUGAAGUUUCAAGUAGGGGGCGGGGAAAGACAUCUCUUCCACUAUCAGAUUAAAUCAUCCAGAUAUUUGAAAUUUUAUCUAAUGGUAAAAAAAUUAUUAUAGCUUUUAAAUGAUCAAAUCAGGUGGGGUAUAGCUUUUAAAGAAUAAAAACAGGUGGACCGUUGAAUAAAAUUUCAAUAACUCAGAUCACUUGAUUCGAUCAUCUUGAACCUUGAUGAAAGAGAUCCGAGUGUGGGAGUUUGAAGUUUCAAGUAGGGUGUCAAACAUCAUGAUAAGGAGGCUAAAUUUUUAAAUUAAAUUUGAAAAUUAUAUAAUAUGUCAUAAAUAAGAAAUGAAAAAUUUUAUUUGGAUCCAAUUAUCUUAGUCUACACCCAACUAAAAGAUUUUAUCCACUAAACUUUCAAGUUUAACCUUAAAUAAAUAAAUAAGAAAAUAAAAAUAGAUGUAAAAAUUUUAUUUGCAGCUUCUACUUAUUUUCUUUUUUGGGUUCUCCAAAUUGUACCGUGGAUGAAACUACUUUUACACGAAUUGGAUUUCGAUUAUAUUACUGGAUAUGGUAUUGAUAAUUGAUCCUUGAAAAUUCCAAUAAAUAAUCCCAAUUGAAAAUUUUGGAGCCCAUGUUGUUCAUGAUCUUGAUAUAAUUUUUUGCUGUCACUUGGGUGGGUUAGCCGGAAAUAAUGGAGGAGUGCAGCAAUAUUGGGUGCAGAGAUAAAAAGACCAAUAUUUAUUUUUGUAUUCUUAUUUAUUUAAGGGCAAACUUGGAAGUUUAAUAGAUAAAAUGUUUUAGUUGGAUGUAGAGAUAAGACAACAGGGUCCAAAUAAAAUUUCCCAUAAAAAAUAAGCACGUUAAUUGACACUUCAUUAAUAAUUCAUUAAUUAACAACCACAUCAUUUGAUUUACACAAUUUGGUUUAAAAAUUUUGUAACGACCCAUCCCCAAAUCCUAUGGUUUUUAUAAUUUUAAAACGUGAAUUUACGAAAAUACCUUUUGAGGCUAAAACAUUGGCUUUUGUUGACCGUCUUGUUGUGUCGCAUAAGACUCUUUUCCUUGGCAUAUCCUUAUAGUAUUCGUUGCUAUGAACGAGUAGGCACAAGCGGAAUCGAGUUUGGAGUUAGAAUAAAGAUUUUACAAAAUUAGGAAUGAUAUGGGCAUUUCGGUAAUUUUACGUUCCACAAGAUAUUUUCCCGUUUCAUCUUUUCUUGCCUAUUUGGUGAGCCAGUGGGACCCACCCUUGCUUUCCAGCCUCUCUCUUUUUCCCUCAAUUUUCUCUAUUUCCUGCGAACCCUUUCUAUCUCUCUCCUUUAACUUUCAUCCCUCUAUUCCCUCAUAUCUCUCUUGUUCUUUCUAAUCUAUAGACGCCACAGAGGGUGGUUUCGCCACCCUUCGUGUCGAGCCCGACACAACCACCAUCUCAUUCUUUCUUGGUACUGUGGCACUACCACUGUGCUUGUGUUCUCCAGCGAGUUCCACCAUCUACGGCGAAGGUAAACCCCUUAGAAUGUUUUAGAUCAUGUUGUAGUGUUAGAUUAGGAUAGUUUUAGGUGCUGACCACACGUGGAUGCAAGGAAAACCUAAUGGGAGGCAUUGUGCAUUUUCUAGAAAUCCCAAACCGUUGCCAUUUAGCCACUUUUUUGGCCAGCUCCGACCUCCGUCGAGCCUCGAAAGGGUAUAUAUUGCUUCCCUAGGACCUUGAAUUACUCAAUUUGGUGUUGUAUUAAGCUCGGAAUGAGCUCCGGAAGUUAGCAUUUCCACCUACAAAAUCUGCAGGUUUUGUAGAGAAUGCGACGAUAGUGUACUUGCAGGCGUGUAGUGCUGCAAUUCCCGGUGCCUGGAGCACACGCGCCUUUACAAGAGGUACUAUGCUCCGCCGUUGUCCACGGUCCCGACCACGGUGGCGUUGACAACUUUUCCGACCCACUUUCCAACGACUCAACUCGAUACGUGGCGGUGCUUGGGGGAACCCGAGGUCCCUCCUUAGGUUUUUUGACAUCCCGAAUCAGACGUCUGUUUUCCCAAAUUCAAUCGUCUUAGUAAGGUUUCACUAAUUGGUCCUUUUAUGUGCCUAGGGUGCGUUUAUUAGUGGUGAUCAUGUCCUCUCUAGCUCAAACUGCUUUUUAGCGACAGAGCAUCUGUGAGUGGACCCCUUCUUAAAUUGCAUGAUUUUUAUUAAAUGCUAGGCUUGCAUUCAUGAAAAGCUUGAUUUGAUGAUUCAUCAAAUUUACAUUUUAUGAAAAUGUUAUGCUUUAUUGAAUUUACGUUUACGAAAGAUUUACAAACCAUGACUUUUUACGCCUUACAAUAUAUGAUGGUUUAUGAGAUGAUGAUUUGAGCUAGAACGCUCAUAUGGAUUUAUGAUAUGAUGUUUAUGCUUUGAAGUUUCGAGGUUUGAUAUGAAAAACGUGUUUAUGUUUUCAGUGCUUACUCAGUGGGUAAUCAUACAACAUAUACACACAACAUGAGUAUGUAUUUGUAUAUGGUCAUAGGACAUAGUUGAGGAGCAGUGAGAUAUUUAUGACAUACUCCCAGCUUCACUGACGAAACCAGUGUUGGACAGCUUCACUGGUCAUGGCUAAUGUCGGUGUGUUAUGUAUAUUUCUUCUAUGGCGUAACCCAGAGUCAUACAGCUUCACCCUCGGGUGAUGGAUAGGCCUUCGGGCAAAGAUGAUACACUUAUUUGAGUACUUUAUUGAUCUUAUCGUAUGAACGUUUUCAUAGCAUGUAGAGUUUUUUUUUAGAAAACCUAUUACGUAGUAUUAUAUGAGCUUUUCAAAACAGAGGGUUAGUAUGUUCAAAAGAAAAUUGAUUUUACUUAUUAUUAUUAUUAUUAACUUUGGUCUACUCACGCUUUGUUUUGUGCUCCCUUCAGGAUUUAGAAUCAAGACGUACAAUUUCGGCGUCAGGGCACUCCCGCAUAGAUAUAUUUGAUCCUUCUCAGUGUAGGACCCAUUCCUUUCUACAUACCUUUUUAUUAUGAUUAGUUGUAUGCUCUGAACACGUUUCUACAUUUGUUUACUUCUUUAUAUUUACACAUUCAUUUACCAUUAUCACUUACGUGCAUAUUAAAAUGGCUUCGUCACUCUCGGGUGUUGGCCAACACGUACCCACCUUGGUAUUUGGGAAUACCGUGGUUGAGGCGUGUCAAAUUUGGUCUCCCUAACAUCACCCGGUGUUAAGUGGGAGACUAGCAACAAAGGAGAUUUGGAAUAAAAUUGGCUAUAGCAGUGUGAUUUAGAAGUUUGGAUUAUUUUUCGUAAUUUAGAUGAAAUGCAAUUAUUACUUGUUGUGAACAUUCCUAGUUUAAGUGUGAUUGUGUAAAUCAUAGAUUAGAUUUGAUUCUAGUUAUCAUUUCCUAUUAUAUCUUGUAUUCCUUGGGGAUGAAGGCAUAUCUUCUCUCCUUAUAUUACUAUAAAUAAAGGCACAAUGUAUGAGGGAUAACAACACACACAUUCCCCUACAAUUUUACAAACACAUAUAUCUCUCUUCCUCUCCUUGUUGUCAACCACCCUAAACUUGUCAGAUAAAAUAGACCACAAUACGUUAUCAGCACGCUCCUAUCGCUGCGCUUAGGAAUCUGACGUAGAGAAUUUUUCUGCAACAAACCAGUUCAUCCAUAUCAUCACGUAAUUAGGUUCUUUCAAAACAACGGUUUUUAUCUCGAUAUUUUUGCAGCCCUGAUAGCAUGAACAUUCACCAUGAUGCAUGACCCAACUUUACGUUUUACGAAUUUUAGAUUCUACAUAAAUUGUGUAUGCCUCAUAAUCAUAAUUGUUGAAUUAUGUGAAUUUCAAUUCACAUACUAUUAUUUUUGCAUAUGCAUAUUAUUAGAUCAAAUUGAAUUUACGUUGAAUCGAAUUACAUAUGCAUAUAAUUGAAUUGAAUUGAAAAACAAUAAGAAAAAAAACGAAAUUGGGAAUCAUGGCCUGGGUUCUUCGAACCCAUGACCUCAAGCAUUCGCCCAAGCCUGCAGCUUACGGCCGAACCGUGCUGUAACAGACCGUCCCAAAUUUUACGUUUUUAUUAACUUUAAAAGCGUGAAUUCACGAAAAUGCCCUAGAGGCAAGGACUUUGACUUCCGUCGACCAUCGGUUGGAGAAACAUAUGAUUUAUUCUUUUAGUAUAUCCUCGUAGUACUCGUCGGUAUGGACGUGUGGGGGCAAACGGGACGUGAUUUGGAGCUAUAGAACGUUUGAAGUUUGGGGCAUAUUAAUAAUUUGGUUAUUAUUAGAAAACUCUAAAAACAUUUAAGUGAAAUCUGGUGUGCCAUGUGGGUGGCCUAGAUUUAAAGACAAGGAUACAGAUGGUUGUGAUGGAAAGGCAAGAAGAGAGAUGAGAGAUAAGUGGAGCAAUAAGGAGAAGAGAGAGAAGGGUGGACCAAUGAGGGAGGAGAGAAAUGAGAGAAAGGAGAGAAGAAGAAGAGGAGGGAACCGGCUAGGUUCACCAUGACCUGUGACCCGACCCGGUUCCAUCUCUCAAUUCCGACCACCAUAGACAGUGAGGUUGGUGUCAAAAUGAUCCUUAGCUGGAGGCCAUUUGAUAAUUCUUCCUAUUUCACCCAAAAAAUCAAGGGAUUUGGCAUUAAUUUCACAAAACCCUCACGGUGGGGUGCGACGGUUUUGGGUUCGAACCACACAAUUCCAAAGUUAACCACAUCCAUCACCACCACCCAUAGCAUCCUCUUGAGGCCUAAAAUAAAGCCCAAAUAAGUUUGGGGGUGGCGGAGUUGUAUUGGAGUCGGAUCGAACACACCCAAAUUCAAGGGUUUCGUACGGUUUUAGUAGAAUUGAAGCUUUUCUAGGUCAAAUUGGCCUUAGUCAUAGAUCGAUUCUUCUUGUCGAUUAGAUAAAUUUUCAUGUUUGGAUCGUGUGAUUUGGUUGAAAAAUAAGAAAGUUAUAACGAUUUAAAGUUUGCCCAGUUUCCAGCGACCUCCGCCACUUUCGAGGUAUUUUUCGGCCAAACCAUGGUGAGUUAGCCUUCAAAAAAGGUAUCAAUCUCUUCCUCUCGUCAAAACUAAGAUUUACAUUUUUGAAUCACUUGAUUUCGUGGAGUAUUGACAAAGUUAUGGACGUUGAAAGGUUGCCCAGAAAUUCCGGCGAGUUACCAGUUUUUCCGCGGACAGCUGUCUUUCAGACCAUUUUCCGGACACCUCUGGCCACCAUUUGGACUCCAAGCUGAUAUAAUUUGUUCUACAUUCUUCUAGCUUCGAUUUGGUAUAUCAUGGGUUGAAUUUGGUUGAGAAACAAGUGAGAUAUGGAGUUCUAAAGAUUGCCUGGAAAUAUGUGAAAUCUGCAGAAUCCAGCGAAGUUCUAUUAUCCACCACUUGAUUAGAAUAGUAAUCGACGAUCCGACCGUUGGAUCGUCACCAAACUUUGUUACAUUGUAUUAUGUAAUAUUUUAAGAUGUAGGAAUUUACGGAUUGGUAAUCCGAAAUACGGAUCUUCCCGAAUUGGAUUUGUAAGUCCAUAAAAUAGAAUGUUAACCGCCACUUGGUUUUGGAAAUUGGCGGAGAUCCAACAGUUGGAUCGUAAUGAAAUUUUAAUAUGUUAUUUUAGAAAUAUAAUUUGGAUCUUUGGAAGUUGCGGAUUGAAAAUCUGAAAUGCGGAUCUUCCGGAUCGAGUUAUACAAGAUUGUAGACCCUACGGUCGAUCAUAGAUCGACGGUUGAUUGAUGGUCAAUGAGUCUCAAACUAUUUUAGAAUGUCCUUGAUGAUGUAUUUUAUGUGAAUUACGUAGUCUAUUGAUAAAAGUUCUGAGAUGUGAUUCAAUAAUUGUUCUAGGCGCCAUUCAUUAGGGACGCCUCGAUGCGCGUGCUAGAGAAUCAUAGCGUGGACUCCAGGUGAGUGGGUCUUUUCCUUUUAUUAUAGGCAUAUAAUUGAUAGUUCCACAAACAUUGAUUUAUGCAUGUUACCUACAAUUAAUUAUUGUGAACUACGAAUGGAUUGAUCCUUGUUUAGGAUAUAUGUAGGUGGUCUAACGAGACGUUAGAUGCAGCCAUACAAUAAGUGAGAUUAAAUAAUCGAGACAAAAGCUUUGUUUGGGAAAAUGAGCAAUGUGAAGGAAUCUGGUGAAAAAACAUGAGAUUUAACCCUAUGUUUUGGGUGAAUAAAUGUUGGUUAUAAAUCAACAUGCGAGGAAACGAGAAAUUGUGGUUUUAUGUUUUAUAAAUGCCAUGCCAUAAUUAGUUUACAUUUUAGUAUGUGAUUUAGUACAACCUUGCACAGUGUUGCUCACCAAUGCGGAGGCUAAGGUAAGUUCAGGUGAGUAUAUAAUGUUGGUAUGAUUGAUGAGAUAUGAAUAAGUCGUACAGGUCACUAUAGGUGACUCCGACUUAUAUGCUAGUCAUGAUUGAUGAGAUAUGAAUAAGUCGUACAGGUCAUUACAGGUGACUUCGACUUAUAUGCUAGCCAUGGGAUAUGUGAUGAGAUAUGAAUAAGUCGUACAAGUCACUACAAGUGACUCUGACUUAUAUGCUAACUAUGAUUGAUGAGAUAUGUGAUGAGAUAUGUGAUGAGAUAUGAAUAAGUCGUACAUGUCAUGUAGCCAUGAUUGAUGAGAUAUGUGAUGAGAUAUGAAUGAGUCGUACAGGUCACUACAUAUGACUCCGACUUAUAUGCUAGCUAUGAUUGAUGAGAUAUGUGAUGAGAUAUGAAUAAGUCGUAUAAGUCACUACAGGUGACUCCGACUUAUAUGCUAGGCAUGAUUGAUGAGAUAUGUGAUGAGAUAUGAAUAAGUCGUAUAGGCCACUAUAGGUGACUCUAGCUUGUGUGCUAAUAUGGUUUAUUAAGCACAUGAUUAUUUAUAUUGCUAAUGAGUUGCUAAGUAGUAUUAUACUUCGGGGUUUACCGUUAGUAUAUUUUUUACUUCAUACUUCUACAUAGUAUGAUUUGCUGGAAACUAUACAGGUUUUACGGCGAGGGGUUACUACCUUUGAUAAUGGAAAUGACUUUGAAAAUCUUUGUUUUGACCACUCAUAUUUUUUAUUUUUGCACCCCUCCAGAUUCUAGUAGCAAGGUUUCCAUAUCGACGAGGAUUCGUGGCACUUCCUAGUACAUGUGGCUUCUUUUGAUGGUAUAGUCAUUAUCUUACCUUACUGUACUUUACUUAUGCUCUGUAUCACGCGUGAAAUGGGUCCAGACCUGCUCACCGCGCACUCGUGUACUUAGGUACUUUUAGAUUUUAAUUUAUUCACAUUUUAUACAUUAUCACACUAUAUGGCUUCGUCACCUUCUAGGUGUCGGACAACACAACUCGGUUCGGGAUCCUAGUGGACAUUCCAGGUCGGGGUGUGUCACCUGCCAAAGCCGUGAGAUCCAGGUGCCAACUGAUGCGAAAAUUAACUUAACACACAAAUUUAACCUUUUUUUGACAACUGUAGUAUAAGUAUAAGUAGGGAUCGUUCUGGACCGGGGAUUAGGAGGGCUUGCUAAUAACCUCUAAAUUGACUCAAAAACAUAAAACUAAACUUAAAAAUACUUAACAAGACUCACAAGACUCAAAUCAAACUUAAAAUACUCAAAACAGCUUAAAACAACUAAAUAAACUUAAACUAGACACUAGGAAUGACUUUGGACUAAAAUUGACUUUUACUUGAAUCAAAACAUUUAAAAACACAAAUUAAAACAUAUUCUAACUAAUUAGACACACUAAAGUAAAGGGGGAUUGAGUUUUGGACGAAGUUGAAACAAACAAACAAGUAUGAAAAACUAGACAGAUUGUAAAACAAAUUUGAGAAAUAAGAUGAUGGAUGUGAUAGCUAGAGGCUUUUUCUCCACACAUGACAUGUAUGCAAAUAACUCAAUUUCCAGUUACUACUUCAUUGAAUUAUGAACGACAAUGCUCCAAAUUAACCGUGACAUCAUUAGUUAACUCUCAUAUUUUCCUUGUUUUAUUGGAUUGGAUGACAUCAUUCGACAACCCAAAACAUUCUUCUAAAGUUCCCUACAUGAUAUCAUAAUAAAGAUACAAUCAAAUAUCAUUACGUUUAAUGAAAAUCAAAAGCAUUGACAAAGCACUUACAACUAUGACAUCAUGUCACUCAUGCUAGGAAUUGAACUUAACGCGAUCGUUUAUAAGUGACCUUCACUACAUGUGAAUAUAAGUUUGUAACGAUUAUGUGAAACUUCCUUAUAUUCUAGCAGCAGAUUUAUGCAUGCCAAUUAAGUGUCGACCCUUAAUUAACAAAUACAAAUAAGUUAUCAAUCAAAUAGUUAAGCCAAUUGCAUUCACGAUUCAAGAGUUCAUAACUGGAAUUUAUCAAAUUAUAUUGCACACAUAAUCAUGGCUUUGAAAUCACCCCUAGCCAAAAGGGGUUUAGCCACUCAUAUUUACAACAAAACGAAAGGAAAUGAAUUUAAACAUUAGAAACAAAAGAAAGAAAACAUCUAAACGCUCAAACGAUCCAAGUUGGACAACAAGCACGUACAAGCACUUUCAUUCCCUUCCUUUGCUACGGCACAAGGUGUUGGUGAGUGUUUGAAGGUUUGUUUGUAUGGAGGAAUGAAUGUGUUUGGAUGAAGGUUGUGUUGAAAUGGGAGUGAAUGAUCUAACCAAGUAUGAACUAAAUUUAUGUUACACACACUUCCUUUUAUAGAGGAAAUGCAUGGCAAUGGAGGGGAACAUGGAGUGGUGUAGCAAUUGAGUGCAAUGAUGCAUGAAAUUUGAAAUGAUGGAGGGAACAAGGAAUUGUGUAGCAAUUGAGUGCAAUUAUUCAAUGUAGUGAUGCAUGAAAUCUGAAAUGAUGGAGGGAACAAGGAAUGGUGUAGCAAUUGAGUUAUGAAAUGAUGGAGGGAACAAGGAAUGGUGUAGCAAUUGAGUGCAAUGAUUCAAUGUAAUGAUGCAUGAAUCUGAAAUGAUGGAGGGAACAAGGAAUGGUGUAGCAAUUGAGUACAAUGAGUGGUGUUUGAAAUGAUUCAAAGGUGAAAGUGAAGCGAUGAUGCAAAGCAUGGGGGUAAAAUGGAGUGGUGUUGCAGCUAGGGAACAUGAAUGAUUGUGCACAUGGUAGAGAAAGGAAAGGGAGGUGGAAUGAUGCAACAAAUGAGUCAAUGGAGUGAACAUGGAUGAGGAUGUAUGACAUAGGAAUCCAAAGGGAGUGCAAUGGUGGUGCACGACAAUGAUGGAAAGGUGAAUGGUGGAGUGACACCCCUUUGUGGCUGAGCUCUUUGUCCUUUUACAUUAAUUCUUCUUUCUCUUUAACACAUGUCUAGCCUCUUUAGUCUUCAAUUUCGUCCAUCCACCUUGCUCCAUGCAUGUGCUAUUCAUUCCAAGCACAAAACUGCUCCAAAAUGCACCAAAAUGCAUCUUAUUGCUUCAUAAGGGUUAUGGACCUACAAACACACGAAAAUAGCUUAAAAUACAUAAUUAACUAAGAAAUAACAACAUAAAUGCAUGAGAACAAGCUAACUCAGUCGCAUAAAUAUGCUCCUAUCACCAACCUAGAAAACCCGACCUCAUCGAUGGUGUCCUUGUCCAUAUUGACCACAUGAUGGCCUAUAGCCACCACCCUGAACAUUUUGUUCAUCAUGACAAUGACCAGAAGUCGUCUCACACCGAAAUUGUACUGAGAUUCAUCAGAAUUGUCCUAUAAACCCGAUUAGAAUUUCUAGGGUUUCACAACAAAUGUCGAGAUUUUUUUUCAAAUCUACAUUCUUAUUCUGAGGUCUUUGGCGACUCACGGACUCGUACUAAGCAUCAUUGUCCCAACGUCGACCGCCUGACGUGGCGCCGUCGACCAAAACCCGGUGUUCUUCCCCGGCAGUACACACCCAGCACGGCUAGGUUUGUGAUCGAAGACCUUUCUUUUUUGGGUUUGAACCCUCCACUACUUGUUUUUCUUUCCUACUUAGGCUCACUUGCCGUGACCCAAAAAUCCUUUGGGCCCACCUAUCUUAGCCCAUUCCCCUGGCCUGAAAAAAAAAGGAAAAAAAAAAAAAAUUGGGCUUGCUUGAAGCAGCCCGUAUUAGUUUUUUUUUUUUAAUUUUGGGCCUGCCUACAGCAGCCCAUCUUCUUGGGCCGUUUUGUUUCCCUCUCCCCAUGGGCCUGCAGCUUACCCGAGACCCCACAACCUAUUUUUUUGGCCUAGGUCUCACAUAACAAUUUUUUUUCAAGCCACCUGUGGCUUAGUUUUUUCCUUUUGGCCCCAAGUUAUAUUUGCCUAAUUAUUUUAGGCCCAAUGGGUUCUAUAUACUUUUCACCCACACUUUAAUUUGGCCGAAAGUCCAAAUAAUUAAAAUUCAAUUAUAAUUAUAAACAUGAAAUUAUAUUUUUUGCAUAUUCUCGUUGCAUAUUUGUUUGCAUAUAUAUUUGUGUUUACCUGCAUGAAUAUAUGAACCUGAAGUUCAUAAUUAUUUUGAAACCUGAAGUUUCUUAUAAACAUGCCUUAUUUGAAAACCUGAAGUUUUUCAUUUAAACACAUCACCCAUGAAAACCCAAAGUUUUUCUUGCAAAAUUAAACCAAAUCAUGUUUAUUAGAACCUGUAUGUUCUACUCAUACGUGAAUGGAUUGAUUUUUUCUCCAUUACACUAACCACAUCUUGUCCAUCUAUUUUGUGAUAGGAACAUGUUGAAUUUGAACAAACUCGAUUUCACCGCUUUAGAGGUCUCUGGAAUGAACUACCUCAAGUGGGUCCAAGAUGUGAAGCUCCACCUCACUGAAAAGAACUUGUGUACUGCCAUUAAAGAAGCAAUGGACGAGACUAUUGGCGAAGCUGAAAAAGCCACUGCUAUGAUCUUCAUCCGAAGACAUAUUCAUAACGCUCUGCAAACUGAAUAUCUUGUUAAGGAGGAUCUACGUGCAUUAUGGGUCGCUUUGGCUGAUCAUUUUAAUCACCAAAAAGACAUAUUAUUGCCUGAAGCAAGACACGACUGGCAACACUUGCGCUUCCAAGACUUUAAGUCUAUGAAUGAAUAUAAUUAUGAAGUUUGUCAAAUCCGAUCACUUCUCAAGUUUUGCAAUGAAACUUUGACUGAAGAGGAUCUUCUGGAGAAUACCUAUAAAACAUUUUCUGCUUUUAAUAUUGUCUUGGAACAACAAUAUAGAGCUCAGAAGUUCACUAAGUUCUCGGAUUUGAUCUCUAUUUUACUUCUAGCUGAAAAGCAGAACCAGCUGUUGAUGAAGAAUCAUCAAGCUCGACCUACUGGGGCAACUGUUAUGCUUGAAGCACAUUAUAGCAAUAACCAACGCCCAAAACGCCAAAGGGAGCGUUGUAGGGGCAGCCAAAAGCCAUCCUACCAAGGUUAACAGGGUUAAGGCCCAUCCAAGGGAGGAAACAAAGCCUAUAAGCACCCAAACCUCGCUCCCAAGGCCUCAAACUUCAAUAACAAGGGCAAAGCACCUAAAACCAUGGAUGCGGACAUGUGCUAUCGUUGUGGUUCAAAGGACCAUUGGUCAUGUGUUUGCCGAGCUCCUAAAAAGGUUGUAGAUGAAUAUCAUUCUCAUCAUAAGAAGUUUGAAUCAAACUUCAUGCAAAUGGACGAAUCAGAGACUACAAAUAUGAAGGUUUCUGAUUUUCAGGAGGAUACCACCCCUAUGGAAUAUUAGAAUCUUAGACAUAGACUUAUUUUUAGUUGAAAUAAGACAUUUGAGACCGAAUUCCACCUAGUGGCCAAACCCAUCCUUUGUUUUUGGUUGAUUUUUGAACAAUUUUCCUUUAUAUUUGGAUUAUUAGUUGGUGAUUUGUUUUGGAUAUUAAGUUUUUAAUCCUUGAAUAAAUGAAAUUAUUUUGAAUUGAUACUUGUUUUUUAUAAAACUUUUAUGCGUGUGAUCGACUUAAAUUAAUUUCUCAUUCUAGGUAUGACAAGUGGGAAAGUUAGUUGUCUGGCAAAUAGUGUAACCACACACAUAGUUUUGCGUGAACACAUCUAUUUCACUAACUUCAUACCUAAGAAUGCACAUUUGAUAACCCUCUCAGGCCCAUCCAACCUGAUAGAAGGAUAUGGUAAGACACGUAUAAUGUUUGUCUAAUGGUACAAUCUUGACCAUUUCUAAGGCACUCUAUUCUCCACGUUCCGGAAUGACGUUGUUAAGUUUCAAGGACAUUAGAGAUAACAAUUACCACGCUGAAACCCACGUAGAAAAUGGAGUUGAAUUUAUGUGCAUAACUUCGUACGAAUAUGGCUAGAAUCGUAUUCUAGAGAAGAUGAAGUGUAUCCCGAUUGGUCUGUAUACUAAGACCAUACGUCCCAUAGAAUGCCAUUAUGUGGACGACCCUACUACUGGGACCGUGCAUGAAAUUACGCUUUGGCAUGAUUGUUUGGGACAUCCUGGACGAAUAGCGAUGCGUCGUAUCCUCAAAUCUUCACACGGGCAUCCACUAACCCGAAGUUUAGGUUCGAUCCAAGGAAUCGUAUGUCAAACAUAUUCAAUGGAAAAACUUAUUACUAAGCCUUCUUAUGACAAGAUUCGUUCGAAUCCUCCCAUUUUUUUACAACAGAUUCAGGGGGCAUUUAUGGACCAAUUCACCCUCCAUGCGAACCAUUUAGAUACUUUAUGGUUUUGGUUGACGCUUCCACACGUUGGUCACACGUGUGUUUGUUUUCCACAAGGAACGCUGCAUUCUCCAAACUGUUGGCUCAGGUUAUCAAGCUCAUGGCUCACCACCCUGAUUAUCCGAUCAAAUCUAUUCAAUUGGAUAAUGCUGGAUAAUUCACAUCUAAAACUUUUGAUGACUAUUGCAUGUCGAUUGGGGCUGAAGUUGAACAUCAUGAACCCUAUGUUCACACCCAUAACGGCUUGGCAGAGGCUUUCAUUAAGCACUUACAAAUGAUUGCUCAAUCGUUGGUCAUACGUACCAAGCUUCCGAUCGCUGCUUAGGGCUAUGCAAUAUUGCACGUAGCAAAGUUGGUUCGCCUGAGGCCUGUUGCGACAUAACCAUUUAGUGCCCUUUAGUUGGUUACCGGAUAUGAACUCGACAUAUCGCAUUUGCGAGUUUUUGGUUGUGCGGUUUAUGUGUCGAUCUUGCCGCCCUUACAUACAAAAAUGGGGCCUCAGUGAAGGAUGGGAAUCUAUGUCGGAUAUGAUUCCCUUCGAUUAUUCGUUACUUAGAACCUUUGACAGGCGAUCUGUUUACCGCUUAUUUCACGGAUUGUCACUUCUAUGAGACAAUUUUCUUGUCAUUAGGGGGAGAUAAAAAUGUUAACGUUCCUGAAGAACAACGCGAAUUAUAAUGGACGACUCCCACUUUGUCUCAUUUAGAUCCCUGGACCGCUCAAUCUAAAAUUGAAGUGUAGCGCAUAUUAGAUCUUCAGAGCAUAGCUAAGAGCAUACCAAAUGCUUUCACCAAUCUAGCGCGUGUGACAAGAUCACAUAUUCCAGCUGCGAAUACACCUGCAAAGAUGAAUGUACCAAAUGUAUGACAGAUUGCCCUCAUGGAAGCCUGGGACGCCAAUCUUGGUGAUCCACGUACAUUAGCGGCUAUCCAAUCAUCUGCCUCUACACAAAAGCGUGGCAGACCCCUUGGUUCAAAGAAUUCACACUCCAGAAGAGGAAAACCAAGGCACAAGGUUCUAAAGAGCCUACCGUGAAUCCGACUAUUGCUUACUUAUUAUACCCAACUCAUGAGGAAAUUCUAGAUUAUGGAAGAGUCCUUAAAGAGACGAAUCCUCCUCUCGAGAAUCGUGAGAUUUUGGUCUAUUAUGCUAGCUUAGAUGAUGUGUGAUGUAGAAAUGAGAUGAUUGUCGACGAUGCAUUAACACUUGCAGUAACUACUGAGAUUAUGUUGAGCGAUGACAUUAAACAUCUUUCCGUUGAUGAAUGUCGACGUAGAACUGAUUGGUCAAAUUGGAAACAAGAAAUCCAAGUAGAACUCGAUUCGUUUGCGAAAUGUAAGGUAUUUGGACCGAUAGCUCCUACUCUUUCACAUGUGAAGCCCGUUGGCUACAAAUGGGUUUUCGUUCAGAAGUGUAAUGAGAAGAACGAAAUUGUGCGUUACAAAGCUCGUCUUGUUGCACAAGGUUUCUCACAACGCCCUGAGAUUGACUAUGAUGAAACUUAUUCACCCGUUAUGAAUGUGAUUACUUUUCACUACCUUAUCAGUUUGGUAGUUUUCGAAAAACUGGAUAUGCAGCUGAUGGACGUAGUAACUGCGUAUCUCUAUGGGGAUCUUGAUACGAAAAUCUAUAUGAAAGUUCCUGAAGGACUUACAUUGAUUGGUUCAAAUAUUUCCAAACCCCGGAACACGCUUUCAAUUCGGCUGAUGUGUUCACUAUACAGUUUGAAAUAAUCUAGAAGAAUGUGGUAUAACUGUUUGAGUGCAUACUUGACUAGUCAGGGAUAUGUGAACAGCGAACUCUGCCUUUGUGUGUUCAUUAAGAAGUCACAUUCCGGAUUUGCGAUAGUUGCAGUAUAUGUCAAUGACAUGAAUCUUAUCAGAACUCCUAAAGAGCUCGCGAGAACCGCUGCUCACCUGAAGUCAGAAUUUGAGAUGAAAGAUCUAGGUAAGACUCGAUACUGUCUCGGUCUCUAAAUAGAGUAUUGUUCGGAUGAAAUCCUAAUACAUCAAUCGAACUACACCUAGAAGGUAUUGCACCACUUUAAUGAAGAUAAAGCGAAGUCUUCGAGUACUCCUAUGGUCUUUCGUUCGCUAGAUGCAAAACGAGAUCUCUUCCGUCCGAAGGAGGAUGAUGAAGAGAUUUUGGAGCCUAAAGUUCCUUAUCUAAGUGUGAUAGGCGCUUUAUUGUACUUAGCUCAAUGCACUAAACCCGACAUCUCCUUCGUUGUUAAUCUUUUGGCAAGAUACAGUAAUGCACCAACACCCAGACACUGGACUAGCGUGAAAGACAUCUUCCGUUACCUUAAGGGUACUACGGAUUUGGGCUUGUUCUAUCCCUAUGAAUCCUCGAAUGGUGCCUCACCUUAUGCUCCUCGAGUUGAUUCUCGCCUUGUUGGUUAUGCCAACACAUGAUACUUAUCUGAUCUGCACAAGGCGUGCUCUCAAACGGGUUAUGUCUUUACCGUUAGAAGCAUCACAAUAUCUUGGAGGUCAACUAAACCGAUCUUAGUUGCCACUUUGUCUAACCAUGCUGAAAUUCUCACCUUACAUGAAGCAACUCGGGAAUGCUUUUGGUUGAAAGUAGUAAUGGGCCAUAUUCAAAGCUCAUGCGAUCUUUAUCCUGCCGUUGAUGUCCCGACGACGAUCUUUGAAGACUACACAACUUGCAUCGAACAUCUUAAGAAAGGUUAUAUCAAAUGAGACAACACCAAGGACAUUGCGUCAAAGUUUUUCUUUUCACAUCAACAACAAGAGCAUCAGAAGAUUGAAGUCACGCAAAUUUGUUCACAAGACAAUCUGGCCGACCUCUUCAUCAAAUCACUGCCGAAGACGACGUUUCAGAAGCUUGUUCAUGGAAUUGGUAUGCGUAAACUUUCUAAGUUGUAACUUUGCUAUUUCUUUUUGGAAUUAUGUCAAACUCAGGGGGAGUAUCUUGUAGAUACUUGCUUGAUCUUAAUGUACUUUUUUCCCUAUGAUUAGGAGCAUUUUUCCCACUGGGUUUUUGCUACCUAAUUAGGUUUUAACGAGGCACACACCUUGGGCUGGUCAUAUCCCUGAUGACGUCCCGUAGACGUUUAUUUGACUUUUGCAUUUCUCACGCAUUUUUUCUUAGAUUAUGGAUUUUGUCCCUACUCGGGUUUUUGCCAUAGCCUUAGGGUUUUUUUAGUGAGACUUACUACUUAUGCAAGUUUUUACCUUAUUGAGAAUAAGUGUUGUUCUUUAGAAUCAAUGCGAAUGAGUCGACUUCCUCAACUUCUGUAUGAUGCUAAAUCUACCUUGAGUAUUUACACACUCAAGGGGGAAUGUUGGAAACAUUCAUAGUUUAAGUGUGAUUGUGUAAAUCCUAAAUUAGAUUUGAUUCUAGUUAUCAUUUCCUAUUGUAUCUUGUAUUCCUUGCGGAUGAACGAAUAUCUUCUCUCAUUAUAUUACUAUAAAUAAAGGAAAAAUGUAGGAGGGAUAACAACACACAUAUUUCUCUACAUUUCAACAAAUACAUCUCUCUCUCUUCUUAUCCUUGCCGCCGGCCACCCUAAAUUUAUCAGAUAAAAUAGACCACAACAUUACUUUUUUUUUACUUGAACUAGGGUGGAUUCAAAAAAUAAAUUGAACUAAAGUAGAAUAAAAAUGAAUAAAAAAAUCAAAUUGAAAUAGAAAUCCGAACCGAAUUGAAGUACUCAAGUUUCGAUUUCAGCAAUUUGAAAGCUGAACCAAAUUGUCUUAAAACAACGUCGUUCUACAAGUUUUCUUAUAAGGCUAUGUGCUUAAACCCAAAAUUAAUAAACUUUUUUAUCUAUGGCAAUAAACCUUUUUAUUUAAUUUCAUAAAGGCUCACAUCUAAAUACCUCCGAGUAUGGCGCGACAUCAGUGCUUACGUUCUGCAUUGUACAUGAUUGUCUUGUCAGCAAGGUUCUAAAAGACGCUAGCGCUAGUCGGGCGGCGGGCUGGAGCCUAGCACUUUAGCAGUUUGGCGGGGCCUAGGAGAAUUUAAGUAAAUUUAUUAUAUUUCGUGUAAAUAAGUGUUUUUCUACAUAAAAUAUAUGUAAUUACAUCAUAAACUACAAAAUAGAAUGACAUAUAUAUUAUGAAGUAUUGGAAUAUAAUUAAAACAUGGGGAACAAGCAUAUAAUAUGUGUCAUUUAAGCAUUUAACAAGUCUCUUACAAUUUACUGAAAAAAAAUAAAAUGCAAUAUGGAAGUUAUCUAUUUUCUGUCUAAGUAAGUCGCAACCUAGAUGGAUCUGGGAGGGUUAGGCGGGUGCCUAGGCGGUUUAGGCUGACGCCUCAGCAGGUCUAGGGCCCUUUCUUAAUUUCCAAACGCCUAUGCAUUAAUUGGAGCAGUGACCAACCGCUUAGUGUCGAGACGGGGCCUAGGAGGCGCUAAGCGGGGAUUUUUAGAAUAAUAGUUGAACCGCUUCUUGAUCAUAAAACUCUUGUGCGACGGUAUUUUUGCAGACUUGGAGAACCCCUACGAAGUUUACAGCACAUACUUCUCUCAUCCUCCUUGCUAUGAUUUUUCAUAUUUUAUUUUUUAUUUUUUUAACCAAUUUUCAAAUUUGUUAAAAAAUAUCUGACUCGAAAAAAUAGAACUGGAAACAAACCCCAAAAAAAAAAAAAAAAACUGAAGAAAACAAAAUCGAACCAAACCAAAAAAUAAUUUCCAUUUGGUUUUUCGGUUUUGGCAAACAACCGAACCGAAUGAACCAAAUCCACCCUUAACUUUAACAUUAAAUUUCUUAGGCGUUCAUAAAAGCCGAAUUUUCAUGUCUUUCGACAUAUAACGAUAGUGUGUUCGGUCUUAAAGGGUGUGCCAAUAGAUGUUAGUCUCAAAAUCUAUCUCAAUUGCAAAGCUGAGGAUUUCGAAAUCUCUUGGUCCUUCAAGUUUGUGUUGCGGGCAUGCUAACUUGCAGCUUGGAGGCCAAUCGAGUAAAAUGUAAUUGGCGCUUUGUUUGACUUCUUUCAAAACCAUUGUGCAUACUGAGGAAGGAACGCAUCUCGGUUGUGCAUCCUUGUGCCUUAUGUGCAAGGACUUUGAUGGGUCUUGUUACAUGAUGUGUGAAUUCGUAUGUUUUUGUGAUAGGCGAGAAAUACAUAAGGUCGAGAUAUUCGCAUGUGAUAGAUACGAUGAAUGUGUAGUGGAUUUGGUUAUCAGGGUGUGGUAGGUGACCUGAGUGCUACGAUGAAUCGUAUAAAUCCAAGCAAACUGGUUGUGGGGAUUGAUUUGAAAAGGAACUCAAAUGUAAACUAUAAUAAUCUAAAUUAAAAUUUGAAGUGCGAGGUGGAAAAUAAAUCGAAAUAUACAAAAUUAAAAUACUGAUAUAGACUUUAAAUUACUGUAUUGAAGUGCAGGGCAAACAUGGAAUUAAAGCGAAUAACAAAAAAUAAUUAAAAAGAUAAAUUUUACCUAGUGUAGAAUGGAAAGCGAGUGAUAUAAUGCAAAAAUAUGGUUCGUGAUGUGAAUUUAAACCAACCUAGUAAAAAGAUUAAUUCAAACUAAAUUUAAUCGCAAGUGCAUGAAUCAAUUAUGGUAGAAAUUUAUAUAUACUACAUCGAAUCCACCGGGGUUGAAUUACCAAUUGAGUCUAUAACUAGUACUUAACAAAUUGAAAUAAAGAUUGGACUUGUAUCAAAGAAAAAUUAAACCUACACAAUGACUAAACAGAAAUAUGGUUGAAACAAAUGUAAGAAAACACUAAGGUUUUGAUUCCACCACUAUUGUCGUACCCUAAUAUCUAAUUGUGAAUUCAUGAAUUAUUAGAUAUUAACAAAAAUAACUUAUGUACACAUGUACGUGGUCAGAUACACAUGUUAAUAAUUUCCCAAAGAGAUGUGAGUUUUACCAUGGUUAGGCUUAAACCCCAGUUAUUCCUACCAUCUAUAUAUCCGUAGUUCGGUAUACACAAACAAGCGAAAAUCCAAUUAAGCACAAUGAGAAACAAAUUAACUACUCAUUAACUUAGUCACGUUAAACAAAUAGCUAAUUUACAAGGAAGUCACACAAACCAAUAUUCAUCUAUGGUCAAAUCAAAAUACAAGUUCAUGAUUCUCAUUCUCAAAGAAUAUAUAGAAUCCAAUUCAUGAUCAGAAAUAAAUUCAUAUGUAACUAAUUUCAAUAUCAAAAUUCUAGGCUAUGGUCAAGCACAAAGAACCAAAUAUCAAUUCAACUGGUGAAUGAAAAUUAAUCACCAAUCUGAAAUCCAUGGAUUGAACAAUUAUAAAACUAGAGUAAUCAUAAUUAAUUCCAAUCUGAUCAAAAGUCAAGAAUGCCCAAUUCAUCUUGCUGUACUCAAAACCAGACGAACUGGAAAUAGAAUUGGUAAAGUAACUUCCCAUCGUUCUCUGCUUUCACUUGACUAAAACUCCAACGGUGGGAUUAUAAAAUUGCAUCCACUCUCACCGCUUAAUUGUCGAUCGGUAGUUUCCAAAAAAAACAAAAAAAAUAGGGUAAAUUACACUUUCAUAUAUCAGGUUUGGGGUAUAUUUCAAUUCCUUACAACAUCUUUAAAACAUUUCACUUUCAUACCUUAAGUACUAUUUUAUUUCAAAAUAAUACAUCCGUUACAUUUUCCAUUCAUUGAUUUGUUAAAUGCUAACGUGGCUGCCGCAUAUAUGUCAUGUGGCCGCCAAAUGUGAAGAAGAAGAAGAAUAAGAGGGAGGAAGAAAAGAAAAAAAAAAUUGAAACGAAACCCACAUCUGUGAUGAGAAGAAGGAGAAGGAGAAAAAGAAGGAAGAGGGAGGAGGGUCGCCGGGCCAAGAGGGGGGGACCGGAGGUGGGUCACUGGCGGGGGGGGGGAACAAAUAUUUUCUUCUUCUUCUUCUUCUCUGUCGCUGGGGUGGGGGGGGGGAGGGAGGAGGGUUGCCGGGCUGAGAAGGGGGACGGGAGGAGGGUCGCUGGGCGGGGGGGGGGACAAAUUUUCUUUUUCUUUUUCUUUCUUUUGGGUCGCUUGGGGGGGGGGGACAAUUUUCUUCUUCUUCUUCUUCUUCUUCUUCUUCUUCUUCUUCUUGUAGAUGUAGGUUUCAAUAUAUUUUUUUUUUUGAGAAAAUUCAGGUUUAAAAAAAAAAAAACUAUUUUAUUUGCCACGUGGCAGAUAUUUGGCAGCCACGCCAGAAUUUAACAGAUCAAUGGAUGAAAAAUGUAACGGAGGUAUUAUUUUGAAAUAAAAUAGUACUUAAGGUAUGAAAGUGAAAUGUUUUAAAAAUGUUAUAAGGAAUUGAAAUAGACCCUAAACCUGAAGUAUGAAAGUGUAAUUUACCAAAAAAAAUUUGUUCGGUUGAAAUCUCUCAUCCGUAAAUAAUAACAAAGCCCACGUCAGCACCAGCACUUGGUUCAAAUAAUUAGAACUCACAUGGCCAAUUGAUCUUGAGCUCAAAAUCAAAUAAUAAUUAAUUAAAUAAAUGAAGGGUAUAAUAUAGUCCUGUUCAGAAUUAUAGUCUUGCAAAAAAAAUAUUUUUAAUGAACAUAGUCAUGCCAUACUCAUAUGUCAUCUUCAAUGUUCAACAAUUUAUUAGUUUUAAGUUUAUACUUUAAAUUUAGUGGUUAAUUAAAUAAAAUUACUGUUGGUUGUUUUCAAAUAUAACCGUUGAGUUUGAAUCAAUUAUUCUAACUGAAAAAUAAAACUCUAAAAAAAGCAAAGAGGGAGCUCCAUUUAGCUAGCCUGAUGCCUCUUUGACAUUUCAAGCUCAAGAUUUGAACUUGGAAACUCUAUUCUUGCUUCAUCAUGGGCACUAAUUUUGUUAACUUUCUCAGACUCCGCUGGACCAUGAACAUGGUAAGAAAAUAAAUUGGCUCCCUUGGAUUAGGACGUGUUCGAACUCGAGUGGCCGACUUGUAAAUUAACUCAAGCUAGCGCACUAACUUGACUUUAACGAGAGAUGACAAAUCUAGGUCCAAACAUUACCCCGAUUCUCAUGAGCCUCGGCUUAGAAUUGCAAGUCUUUCUUACUUGAACCCAAUACGCCUAAUCAUCAAUGCUUCUCAAGUAAUUCAAGUUUCGCCAGCAGCUUGAGCGGAAGCUUCCCCGCAGUGAAGUGACCGUUUUACCCUUUUAAGUCCACGCUUCCCUCAUCGGUCUUCCUUCCUAAAUAUAUUGAUCACUAUUGCAAGUCUUUCUUUAUGUUUUUUAAUUCAACCCAACGACUCCAAUACGCCUAAUUACCAAAGCUUUUAAAUUAAUUAAUAUUUUAAGUUUCCGCAUGAAGAUGCGUGCAGUGCAGCUUGAGAGGAGGCUUCCCCCGCAGGUAUUUAGAAUGCAUCUGUGUGGAAGAUCCAAUGUCUGUUCUGCAUCUUAAUCUGCACGAUUAAAUUCAGUGGUUGUUAAUUUUACAUAUCAUGAUCAAUCCGCUAAUUUUCCAUAUCUCAAGUGUGAAGGGCAAGCAAUUUAAAGUUCCUCCUGUUCAAAUCACCCAGAACCCAGGUUGCUAGCUAGGUUUUGUGUUCAAAUUUCGUUUUUGUUAUUUAUUUCGUUUUCUUUUCGGCGUUUGAAGGCCUCUGUGCUGAGGCUCAGUGAUAGCAGUGGUGAGUUUCUUUUUCAGAGAUUCCUUCUUCCCAGUAAUAUAUCAAUUAUUUAGGUCUGUUAGGGUUUUUUUAUUGCCAAGUUUUAUACAACAUAGUUAGUGAAGACACAGGUAUUUGAGAAAUAUUUAAUGGCAUGGCAGAUAUUUCUCAGCAAAACUGAGAGAGUAGUUAUAUUUUGUUUAAAUAUUUGUAUAGUUUUUGGUAGGGAUUAGCUUUAUGGCACUCCAGAUCUUCAGCGACUGAUCAGAGCCUAUUACCAAUCUGCUGCUACUCUAAACCUUCUCAGGGUGUUCGUCACCGGAACUUACGCAUCUAUGCAGAGGGUAGUGGAACUUGGAUUUUACAGAUCACAGCGAGCAGGGUGAUAGGUUUGUUUCCUCAUUUUUACCAUUUUAGAACUUAGAUUAGUGAUAAAUUAAUUCGAAUCAUGUGGCAUGAACUUAAACCUCUGUUUGGCAAAGUGGGCUCUUUACCCCCAAAGUUGCUUGCUUUUGGUAAUAUUUGGAAUUGUGCUUCUAAGCUGUUUUUCAAGCUUUUGGCCAUACUAAAUGGAGCUAAAUCGAACAGCUCUUUUGCUGCAUUGUAUUUGCUUUCCUAAAUCGAUUUUUUUUUUUUUUUAAAUUGUCAAUGGGUUUUGUAGAUCAAAGUUCUUCAGGAUGAAAAUUAUGUUUCAAAUUGGAUUGCGAUAUGAAUAUUUACACAAUCAAGGUGUUGAAUUCAUCUUUGUUUUGGUGUAUUGUGGUUUUGAAUGUUAUUUAGUGCAUUAUAGCGUCAACUAAAAUGUAGUUUUGUAUAUUUUAAGUACUCAUUUUGAUUUUGAGCAGUAAGAGAGAGAUUUAGCACGUAUUUGAGGAAAUAAGAACAACUUAUUUUGAAAUGGCUAGAGUUUGAGAUUCUCAGAAGGAAGCUCCUAUAAGAUUUUGGUUUUUGGUGUUGAUUCGAAUGAGUUUCAGUUUGAUAUUUAUUAAUUUUUGUUUUGUGGGUAGUAUUUUUCUUCAUGUUGCUAAGAUUUUGGUUCAUGCAGUUUUAAUUAGGAAUCUGAAUAAUCGUUUUAAUUUUGGUUAAUGCAGGAUUAGGAAUUUAGGAUUCCUAUAAGUUUGUGGCGGGAGGGUGGAGUGGUUUCAAGACGACAUCGUUGAUAGUCGAGGCUCAUCUGUGAAAAAUGUAAGAUUUUGUGUGGGUUGUUUUGUUUUGUUAUUCCAAAAGCGUAACACUUCAGAUGCUGUAAGUAUGAGUUAAUCGUUGUAUUUUUAAUUCAAUGUUUUAUUUGUUUGCUUAGUACCCGAGAAGACAAAGGAAAGUAAACAAGGAAAAUUGGAUUUUUAAUUCACUGUUGUAUUUUUAUUCACUGUUUUAUUUGUUUACUAAGCCUGAACUUCACUCUUUUCCAUCUACUUACAAUUGAUUUCAGUUUUUAGGUUCAUGCUGUCACAGCAAUCAUUUACAUGUUUGAAACAUAAGUUUUCAUACAAUUUUUAAUCCCGCAGCAAUGCGCGGGCACCAUUAACUAGUGUUUACUAAGCCUAAACUUCACUUUUUUCCAUCUACUUACAAUUGAUUUCAGUUUUUAGGAUCAUGUUGUCACAACAAUUCCUCCACCACUCUUUAAUCCUCAUUUCUUCCAUGUAUUUCCAUUUCUUCCAUGUAUUUCCAUUGUGUAUCUAACAAAAAAUGAAAACUAAAAACGGAAAGGUUAACAAAUGGGCUCCUACUUAUUCAAACCUGUCCAGUGCACUAUAAAUUUGAUGACUUGCAAUAAGAAACCGAGUAAGUUCUCCUGUCUUUAUGUCUCUCAUUAAGUCCCAAUGAAUCCGACUGCUACCCAUUUGUUUUAAGCAACAAAACAUAGUUAGCUCAGUAGUGGUACCUCACUGGUCAGUACAAUUAACUCCCUAACCUCGCUCUCACACAACAGUUUUCUUUAGUUUUCCAAAUCCUAGCUAUUUUUUGCUCCUUCGUUUCUAAUUAAUAAAUUUCGUUGUUGAUGUUGUACUGUUAUCGAAGAGGCGUUUGCUUUCUCAAAAGUUGGGCUGCUUAGAGAUCACGAGGGUUGAUCUCAGAAAUCGAAGAGGCGUUUGCUUUCUCAAAAGUUGGGCUGCUCAAAGACCACGAAGGCCGAUCUCAGAAAUCGAAGAGGCGCUCGCUUUCUCAAAAGCUGGGCUCCCCAGAGACCACGAGGGCCGAUCUCAGAAAUCGAAGAGGCACCUACUUUUCCAGCCUUGUCAGCACCUGUCACACGCACACUCAGCUUUGCGGAAAUUAUGGGCAUUCUGUCAAAGACUUCUGGGGAAGUAGAAAACACAUGAAUCUUACUGUUCAAUCACCCACUUCCCACACGCAACAAUAGCUCAUGGGCUCAUGGGUACCACAGAUAACUUUGCCAAAGUUCUCUGCCAAAGUUGAGCACGUGAAGCUUGCAGCUCCCACUACAUCGCUCUGACCAAGAAGGGUAAAAGAAUAGCAAAGAAACAGCACUAACAAAGUUUAGACACAUAAAUUUUGAAGGUCUAGCUACCAUAUUAUUACCCACAAGGGUAAAGGAACAGUACCACUGCUGGAUAAUUGGAAAGUCCCUGUGUGUCAACCUCUGUGCUUCGUGGCAAGGUAGACUAGCAAACAUGCCCAACCUUUACUCACAUUCGAGAAAACACUCCCAAUAAGAUUGCUUGCUCCAAAAUCGAAGAGGCACUAUCCUCCGAAUCUAAAGAGCCAGACUCCCAACAUGACUACUUUCUUAAAAAUCGAAGAGAGGGUAAAGGAACAGUACCAUUGCUGGAUAAUUGGAAAGUCCCUGUGUGUCAACCUCUGUGCUUCGUGGCAAGGUAGACUAGCAAACAUGCCCAACCUUUACUCACAUUCGAGAAAACACUCCCAACAAGAUUGCUUGCUCCAAAAUCGAAGAGGCACCGCCCUCCGAAUCUCGAGAGCCAGACUCCCAACAUGAUUACUUUCUCAAAAAUCGAAGAGACACUGCUCCCCGAAUCUCGAGAGCCAGACCCCCAGCAUGAUUGCUUUCUCAAAAAUCGAUGAGGCAUCGUUCUCCGAAUCAAUCGAAGAGGCGCUCGCUUUCUCAAAAGCUGGGCUGCUCAGAGACCACGAGGGUCGAUCUCAGAAAUCGAAGAGGCACCUACUUUUCUAGCCUUGUCAGCACCUGUCACACGCACACUCAGCUUUGCAGAAAUUAUGGACAUUCUGUCGAAGACUUCUGGUGAAGUAGAAAGCACAUGAAUCUUACUGUUCAAUCACCCACUUCCCACACGCAACAAUAACUCAUGGGUACCACAGAUAACUUUGCCAAAGUUCUCUGCCAAAGUUGAGCACGUGAAGCUUGGAGCUCCCACUACAUCGCUCUGACCAAGAAAGGUAAAAGAAUAGCAAAGAAACAGCACUAACAAAGUUUAGACACAUAAAUUUUGAAGGUCUAGCUACCAUAUUAUUACCCACAAGGGUAAAGGAACAGUACCACUGCUGGAUAAUUGGAAAGUCCCUGUGUGUCAACCUCUGUGCUUCGUGGCAAGGUAGACUAGCAAACAUGCCCAACCUUUACUCACAUUUGAGAAAACACUCCCAACAAGAUUGCUUGCUCCAAAAUCGAAGAGGCACCGUCCUCCGAAUCUCGAGAGUCAGACUCCCAACAUGACUACUUUCUCAAAAUCGAAGAGAGGGUAAAGGAACAGUACCAUUGCUGGAUAAUUGGAAAGCCCCUGUGUGUCAACCUUUGAGCUUCGUGGCAAGGUAGACUAGCAAACAUGCCCAACCUUUACUCACAUUCGAGACAACACUCCCAACAAGAUUGCUUGCUCCAAAAUCGAAGAGGCACCGCCCUUCGAAUCUCGAGAGCCAGACUCCCAACAUGAUUACUUCCUCAAAAAUCGAAGAGACACUGCUCUCCGAAUCUCGAGAGUCAGACCCCCAGCAUGAUUGCUUUCUCAAAAAUCGAAGAGGCAUCGUUCUCCGAAUCUCGAGAGCCAGAUACCACAGACCACUUUUUCAAAGUGUUCUGACAGAGUUAAAACAUGUGAAACUGGCAGCUCCCACUACCGUGCUAUGACCAAGCAGGGUAAAGGAAUAACAUUACUACUUGUUGUUAGGGAGACUCCUAUAUAUGUCGACCUCCAUCCCCAAUAGACAGGCAGACCUGCAAAAAUGCUCAACCCUUCAUCAUAUCUGAGAGGGCACUCCCAACGAAGCCUUUCGAAAUAUUCAGCUUUCUUUCCCCCCGAUAAUACCUCUGCAAACAAGCUAUACUAGAGCAAGAAUAUCUCAUAUCAUCAGGGUUAAAAGCAAGAGUAUCCCAUAUCAUCAUGCUUUUUCCCUGUCUUUUCUUUUGGCCUUGUUUUUACCUGCAAGACAAGGAGAAAGAGAGCAAUCAGUCAGCACUUGGAAUUAAGCUUCCAGCCAGGAACUGACUGCCUGGAACCCCUUACCUGAUUACUUACCUGGCAUUGCUCUCGAGUACUCAUCUUCAACAUCUUAUGUUUCCAGGGAAGAUUCCGCAUCUGCUUGAGGAACAGAUAGGGCAAGUGCGAAGGAUACAAGGAAGCAUGUGGAGACAAGCGUAACAGCACCCGUGCCGAUACAUCCAUUACUCUGUCAAAAGCAAAAGUAUCCCAUAUCAGCAGGGUGGAACGUACUCUAGAUUUGAUGGACUUGUUUUGACCCUCAAAUUCUUCAGUCGGCCUUAUACUCUGGAGGAAACCAGAAAACCCUCCAGCUCAGUUCAAGAAUAAGCCUGUGGAAAGUUACUUCUUCAAAAGCAAAAGUAUCUCAUAUCAUCUCUUCUCAUUUUUCUUCUCUUUAUCCUUCAUGCUGCUGCAAGAUGGGGAGAAGGUGAACAAUCAGUCGGAGCUCUGAUUGCUUACCUUGUCUCUCACCUCUUUCAGCAGACCCCCUAGCUCGGCGACUUGGGGGACUCCUACUACAUGGUUUGUAUCGCGCUUGACCAAGCCUGAAACUACAAGUAAGCUUCAAGUGAAAUUGAUACAUUACCUUGUGCAUCUCCACCAGUUAAAGAUACCACCCCUGGAUGGAGGAAGAGUACUUCCAGAGAAGAUGCCACAUCUACCUAUGAGACAGAUAAGGCAAGUCAAGACGACACCACACUCCGAUACUUAGAAGUUUUGUGAUUACGAGAUCAUUCUCCCACAAUAUUUCCUAAUGUCAUUUGUACUAAAUCAUUCACUUGUACUCACUAAAAGAGAGCUUGAACCUAUGUACUUGUGUAAACCCUUCACAAUUAAUGAGAACUCUUCUAUUCUGUGGACGUAGCCAAUCUGGGUGAACCACGUACAUCUUGUGUUUGCUUUCCUAUCUCUAUCCAUUUAUAUACUUAUCCACACUAAUGACCGGAGCAAUCUAGCGAAGAUCACAAAAAGCGACCGUUUUCGCUACCUAGGAUCUAUCUUGCAAGAGAACGGAGAAUUAGAUGGAGAUCUCAACCAUAGAAUACGAGCUGGAUGGAAAGAGUGCAUCCGGCGUGUUGUGUGACCGUCGUAGGCCACUGAAGCUUAAGGGAAAAUUUUAUAGGACGGCAAUAAGGCCAGCGAUGUUGUAUGGCACAGAAUGUUGGGUGGUGAAGCAUCAACACGUACACAAAAUGGGUGUAGCGGAGAUGAGGAUGCUUCGUGGGAUGUGUGGGCACACGAGAAAGGAUAAGAUUGGGAAUGAGGAUAUUCGAGGUAAAGUAGGAGUAGCCGAAAUUGUAGGAAAGAUGAGAGAAAAUCGGCUCCGGUGAUUUGGACAUGUGCAAAGAAGGCCGACUGACGCUCCGGUUCGAAGAUGUGACUACGGGACAGAGGUUCAGGGCCGAAGGGGUAGAGGAAGACCUAGGAAAACUUUGGAAGAGACUCUAAGAAAAGACUUAGAGUACUUGGAUCUAACGGAGGACAUGACACAAAACCGAGCGCAAUGGCGUUCUAGGAUUCAUAUAGCCGACCCCACUUAGUGGGAAAAGGCUUUGUUGUUGUUGUUGUUGUUGUUGAUGUUGUACUGUUAAAGAGGCACUAAUGUCUAAAAUGAUCAGGUAUGUUUUUAAAGCAUGUAUAUAUUCUUUGUAGUUUAGAAUUGGCAAUAUCCAAAAUGCUACCAUUUAUACAUUAAUGCGUCUGUGUGGGGUCUUUCUCGUGUAUUCUGAACAAGAUGAAGCCAAGACACAAACAGCAAUAAAAAGAUAGAAAACAACGGAUGUUUGCCACUUUGUAGUGUAUUUGUAAAGCUUCAUUUAUAUUUUGUGUUUUCUAUGCAGUAGAGAAACAGAGGUCGCACUUGGUGCGAUGGCAAGUGCCUUCGCCCAUAAGCGGUAGGUCUCGGGUUCGAGACUUGGGAGCAGCCUCUCCAUAAAAUGGGGGUAAGGCUAGCCGACAUUCACCUCUCCCAGACCCUGCGUAAAGCGGGAGCCUUGUGCACUGGGUACGACCUUUUUUAUGCAGUAGAGAAACCACAUAACAGAAGAAAACUUCUCGUCUACCAAACAUCCAAGAGGCAAGUCUUAAAAUGAUGAUGAAUCCUUUCAGGAGUACGAUGGCGAUGAGCACUGGAGAAACCUGUACACCUUUCCCUGCUUCAGCUUCUCAAUGGAAAUAUGAUGUGUUUUUGAGUUUUAGAGGUGAAGACACUAGAAAGGGAUUCACAGACCACUUACACACUGCAUUGGAAAGUCAUGGAAUAAUAACUUUUAGGGAUGACCCUAAACUUCAUAAAGGGGAAUCUAUUUCUCCAGGACUUCUUACUGCAAUUGAACAAUCAAGAUGUGCACUCAUCGUUCUCUCAGAAAAUUAUGCAUCAUCAUCAUGGUGCUUGAUUGAACUUUUACAUAUUCUUAAGUGCAUGGAAGCAAGAGCAGCAGUGCUACCAAUUUUUUAUAAUGUUGAUCCCUCUGAUGUACGAAAGCAAACAGGACGUUUUGCAGAAGCCUUCAUUAAAUAUGGAAACAACCCUGGGGCUGACGAAAAGGAGGUGGAAAGUUGGAGAUAUGCUUUAAUGAAAGUGGCAAAUUUCUCCGGGUGGGAUUCAAGGGACUGGUAACAUUUUGAUUUUUCUCGCAACCGUGUCCUCCUUAUAUAAUGACACACACACCCACACACACCCACACCCACACACCCACACCCCUUGUGUGACUUCUGUUUGAGGAAUAGAAAUAGAGCCAAUUAUAUCACAAAUUACAAUGGACAUAGCUAUAAAUGCCAUUAAACGAAUUCCAUCUAUAGUUCGAUAACUCUUAUACAAUGCACAUCAUAUCUAGGUGUGUGAUUAUUGUGUUUUGACUUGACUCAAUGCAAAAAAUAGUAAAAACAUUUUGGAACUUAUAUAUCUAACUAUUCUUUUCCAUAGGUAUGAAGCAAGGCUUGUCAAAGAUAUUGUUCAAGUGGUAUGGAAAAAGUUGCGCCCAACAUUAUCAUGUCAUGUGGGAGACAUUGUUGCCAUCGAUUCAAGGUCGAAACCAGUUAUUAAUUUGUGUUUAGAUGCAACGUUGAAUGAUGGUUGCUUUAUUGGGAUAUGGGGGAUGGGCGGUAUUGGUAAGACAACUAUUGCAAGAGUUGUGUACGAGAGAAUCUCUCAUGAGUUUGAAUUCCAAAUAUUUCUAGCUGAUGUUAGAAGUACUGUCGAACAAGGUGGUCUACCUCACCUGCAAAAGCAACUUCUUUGUAAAAUCGGGAUGGAAGAAAAUGACAAAUGGGAUGUUCAAGAAGGAGCAGCAAUCAUACGCAGGUUCCUAUGUGGCAAAAAGGUUCUUUUAGUUCUUGAUGAUGUGAACCAUUUGCAUCAAUUAGAAUAUUUGGCUGGAAAUCAAGAGUGGUUUGGAUUGGGGAGCAGAGUUCUCAUUACAACUAGAGAUGAGCAUUUGCUACUUAAACACGGAGUGGAGAGACGGUUUGAGGUUAAAGGACUCAAUAACGAUGACUCUCUUCAACUUUUUAGCCGGAAUGCCUUUAAGAAAGAUUGCCCUGAACCUUGUUUUGUUCAUUUGUCAAAUCGUGUGGUAAAUUAUGCCAAAGGUCUUCCACUAGCUCUUAAAGUCUUGGGAUCUUUUUUGUACGGAAGAGAUUUAAGUUCAUGGAACAAUGUGUUGGAUAAACUAAGAGAAAUUUGUAAUUCAGAAGUUUUUGAGACACUUAAAAUAAGUUACGAUGCUCUAGAUGACAAUGAGAAGAAAAUUUUUCUAGACAUUGCAUGUUUCUUUAAUGGAGAGGAAAAAGAUGGAGUAAGACAGGCACUUGAAGCUAGUGGUUUUUAUGCACAUAUUGGAAUAGAUGUCCUUAUUGAGAAAUCUCUCUUAACUGUUAAUUCAGUCGGUCAGCUGUCGAUGCAUGAUUUACUCCAAGAAAUGGGUCAAGAAAUUGUCCGUCGAGAGUCUCCUGAUGAUCCAGGCAAGCGUAGCAGGUUGUGGCGUACAGAUGACAUCAAUCGUGUCCUGAGCGAAAAUGCAGUAAGAGGCUCUUAUUACAGUACUGGAUUUGAUUGCACUAGUUAUGCUUUGCUUAUGUUAUGACCUAGAAUAUAUUCAUGUUGACCAGGGAACAGAAACAAUUGAAUGUAUAAUCAUGGACCCAGAUGAGCUAGGAGCAGUCCAAGUGAAUGCUAAAUCCUUUUCAAUGAUGAAAAAUCUGAGAUUCCUCCGGCUAUAUAAUGAGAACCUCUUUAACAGGCUUGAAUAUCUUCCCAAUAGUUUGCAGUUUCUUCAAUGGUGCAGCUUUCCUCUAAAAACUUUGCCGUCAUCUUUUUGUCCAGAGCAUCUAGUGGAACUUCACAUGGUGUAUAGUAGCCUUGAACAUCUUUGGAAGGGAAUAAAGGUAAUUCUCUCACUCAUUGAUUUUUAUUAACUACAUUAACAUCAUGCACUGCUAAUUUUGCUAUGUUUUCACAUGAUAACAGCAUGCGUACAAUUUGAAAAUCCUUGAUCUUAGUGAGUCUCCAGUUCUUGUGGAAACUCCAGACUUCAGAGGUAUGCCAAAUCUGGAGUAUCUGAAUCUUUCACUUUGCGACCAAUUGUAUGAAGUUGACCAGUCUCUGGGGACACUUGAAAGACUUCAGGUUCUGAUGUUGAUUGGUUGCAGAAACCUUGCGCAUCUUCCAAGAAGUGUAUCUGGUUUAAAGUCUCUGAGAGUUCUUGAUGUUUAUGGUUGCUCAAGGCUUAAAAAUUUGCCAGAAGACUUGGGCCAUGUUGAGAGUUUGGAACGGCUUGAUGUGUGUGGAACUGCUAUAACUGAACCACCUUCUUACAUUGGUCUUUUUAGGAACCUGAAGAAAUUAUCAUUCGACAGUUUUACAAAAUAGAAGUUCAAGUUGGCCACAUUUGUGGUUGUCUUCUUCAUCUGGUUGGCAAUCUUUAACGCACUUGAGUCUACGAGACUGCAAGAUUUUGGAUGGAGGAAUUUUAAAUGAUAUCGGCUGCCUCUCCUCAUUAAGGCAUUUGGUUCUAGCCCGAAAUCCUCUUUCUAGCUUACCCAUGAGUAUUUGUCAACUCUCCAAACUUGAAUACCUUGAUGUGUCUGGUUGCUACUGUCUUCAAACAUUAAUCCCAGAGCUUCCUUCUGCAAUAUCUUUUGUUAACGCUUCCAAUUGCACGGCAUUGGAAUCAGCUCGUGUAGACAUGAUUAAGCUUUUUGCUAACUGUUUCAAGCGGGUGGAGAAGCAAGUUUGCACGAGUAUGAUAUUUGAUUGUCUAGGAUGCAAGUUUGUGGUUCCUGGAAGUGAAAUUCCAGAGUGUCAUGUUAUAUGAAUUUGGUUGAUUCAUGUUUCUCUCACUUCAUAAAAUUUGCUUCUAAUUUGAUAUAGGAAUUAAUUUGGAAAGUUUUCUUAAUCUUAAUAACAAUUUUCAAUUUAAAUAUAUUUUUUAAUGAAAUAGUCUAUCUUUUAAAAUAUUUAUCAAUAAAAUAAUGUACCUAUAUAUAUAUAAUUUUUUUUUUGCCAACUAUAAAUUUUUACCAUAAUUUACCUAUAUAAUAAUGUACCUGUUAUUUAAUUUUUACAACACUAAUGUAUCUUAAAAAUAAUUUACUUAUUGUUUAGUUUUAGCAAAAAUAAUUUACCUACUGUGUAUAAUUGGUGAAGCUAAUGAUGUACAUAUUGUUUAAUUUUUUAAAAAUUAAUGUAUGUACAAAAAUAAUUUAUCUAUUGUUCAAAUUUUAGGAUAAAAAUUUACAUGUUUUUAUUUAACAAUAAUGUAUCUACAAUUUUAUUUUUGUAUGAAUAUAAUUUACCUACUUUUUAAUUUUAUAUGAAACUAAUUUACCUACUGUGUCAGUAAUAUAUCUACAAUUUUACAUACAAUAUUUACCUUUUUUUUUUCUCACAACAAUAGUGUAUCUACAAUUUUGUUUUUGUAUGAAUAUAGUUUACCUACAAUUUAACUUUUCAAAAAAUGUAUCUUCUAUUUUAUAUUUUACUAUCAUAUAUAUGUUUCUGUGUUCGCAAAAUAAUUUAUCUAAAGUUAUAUAGUUAAGAGAUAUGCUAAUGAAUUAUAUUAAUUCAUUAUUAGACUGAUAUAAGAAAUUGUUAAAAACGUUAGUUAUAAUGGUUGGCUAAUAAUGGUUGUAUGAGAACAGUUAUAGAAAGUUGUGGCAUAAAUUGUAAAUAACUUAUAUUAAUAGGUUAUUUAUUUUCUUAUGUGGUAAUUUAUUUAAAUUUUGGGUUUUGAUUGAAUGUUUAUUCAUAAGUGGGUUUUUAUCUGAAGUAUAUGAGUUGUAUGGGUCUAUAUCUAAACAACCCUUAAUUUUAUUCAGUAAGCAUAAACACUUUACACUUCAUAUACAGCCUAAAACAAUAGAGCAAUAUAAGAAACUGUUGAAAGCAAACAUUAAAUUUGCGAUUACCCCAAUCUUCUACUUGAUCAUAUACCAAGUUAUUGAAGCUGACAUUUUUUAUUCUAUAAGCUUAGAAAUCAUAAGAAAAACAAUUGUUGAGUUGAUAGUAAUCUCAAAUAGCAAUCUCUAACAAAAAUUUGACCAUAAAAAAUGUAUAUCCAUCUCCCAAUCAGUAUCAAUCUUCAUCCUCAACAAAAAGUUUCAGUUUUUCUUGCAAAAACACACAUACCCCAGUGCUUAGUUUUCCAAAGAUUAUAACCAAAUGGUUCAGCUGCUAGUGUUGGUGCCCGAAGCGCUGAACUGAAAUGCACCCACUAGAAAUCCAAAUAAACAACCCUGCAAAGCAACUAAACUAAUUUCAGCAAUUCUACCUAAACAUAAAUAGAACAAUUACACAAACCUUACAAUCAAAGGUCUAAUUUUUCAACUACAUACAACAAACUCAGAUCAUUUAGGUGUGAAUCAAAAUCAUAAAUACCCAAGCCUAAAAUAGAGACUUUAAAGACCUAUUUGAAAUUAAUAUCAUGUAUGCUUUUAGUUUCUAAUUAUAAUGGAAAUGACAUGGAAAAUAUAUUCAUUGAAACACUAAAUGAACAACACAAUAGUAUCACACCACAAAUUCCCAAUUACAGUGAUACAUGCUUGAUCACACAAACUUUCUGUUCAGCAAUCCGAUUAUGAAACCACCAAGUCUAAGGAGUUUUAUAACUAAAAUUCUAGUGGGUAAAGGGUGACAACAUUUUUGAAGUAAAAUUAAAGAUCACUAAACAUAUAUUAGUACAAAUAAAGAUAUACCCAACACACAAGAUCACAAAAGAAGAACUUUUACUUGAGCAGCACAAAAGGACAUCCUCUGCAUUUCAUUCAAAAUCCAACAAUCUGAGCUCAAAAUAAUUCAAAAAUUGUGUGUGAAACUCACUUAUCACUCAAAAUGAUUCAAGAAACUUUUACCUUACCAUAUAUUUGGAGUGCAGUGAGGCUUUGAGAGUUGACACUGUUCAGUGCUCAUCAAGAAUUGUGUAUCAUACUCACUUAUCACUCCCCUAUAUAGGAAAAGAAGGCCAUAAGUAUUAUGGACAUAAGUAAUAUGAAUAUUUUCCUUUUUAUUUCUCUCUCAUGAGGAAUUCCUAUGCAAGGGCCUUUAGCUAAAGUGUUUAAAAACAUUUAUCGUACUCGAGUCCUAAGUUUGAUUCUAGAAGUUAUUGAAAUUUCGAAGACGAUGUGGAAUGCAAUAACAGAUCGAUGUUACUCUUUUUCCUUCCAAGCAAGAUUUUGAUGAGGCCACUCAAAAUUGCUUCAUUUCAAUUUUCAAUGAAUAUUCUACUUUUUUUCGAAAAAAAAAAAAAGGUAAAUUACAUGGUAGCCCCUCAUGUUUGAGGUCUAUUACAACUCCAUACAACAUCUUUAAAACAUUUAACUUUCAUACCUCACGUACUAUUUUAUUUCAAAAUAAUACUUCUGUUACAUUUUUUAUCUAUUGAUCUGUGAAGCACUGACGUGGCUGCCACAUUUGUGCCACGUGGCAAACAAUUUUUUUUUAAUUAUUUAAAAAAAAAACCUGAAUUUUCUCAACCAAAAAAAAAAAUUAAUAAAAAAAGAAAAAAAGAAAAAAAAGAAACCCAUCCCAUUUCCUCGCAACCCCUCUCUCCUCUCUCUCUACGCACAGAGCUAUCAACCAACAACAAUGGGAAUCUCAGUCCCCAGCUUUUUCAAAGAGCGAAAGUUCUCUUUCAUUUUCACACUUUUACUCCCACUUGCCUGCAUCACCAUCCUCCUCUUCACCAAGACCACCACCAACGCCCCUUACCCUCUCUUCUUCUACUCCGAUCUCCAGACCUCCCCCUCCUCCUCCCAACC